CACCUAGUGAUAGUUGUUUUAUUUAUAAUAUGAUAAUAACAACCACCUAGUGGUAGCUGAUUUAUUUAUUACAUGCUAAUAACAACCAUGAGUUGAUAGUUGAUUUAUUUAUUAUAUGCUAAUAACAGCUAUCAGCUAGUGGUUGAUUUAUUUAUUAAUUGCAGUCUUGUUCAUUUACUUCAGUCUUUUUAUUUAAUUAUGUUAAAUCAUAUGUGAAUCCUAAUUUGUACUUGUACUCACAGAAAAUAAACCUAAGAAUUCAUCAAAGGAAAUAAAAGAUAAACGACAAUACAAAUAUUGCGUUUUGUUUUGUCUUAUUUUUUAAAAUUUUAUUUUCAAAUAUAUACGCAUGCAUGAUAAAGAUUCACAAUUAUAUAUAUAUAUAUAUAUAUAUAUAUAUAAUCCGUCGAGGUGUUUUAGUUGACUAGCUAGUAUAAACUACCAUCUACCAAAUCGUUAUUAGCUAACGAGCUAGUGUAAAUUUUCAUCUUGGAAGCUAGUAUAAACUAUCAUCUAUAAAAUUGUUAUUAGUAGAGGAACUACGAAUGUAAACUAUCGUCUAACAAACUGUAUUAGUUGAUGAGCUAGUGUAAAUUACUAUCAUUUACCAAAUAGUUAGAUAGACUGUUGGCUACAGUCAAAUGUGUUUUGGAUCAAUUCCUAUAUAUGUGUGUGUGUGAAAAAUUCAUGAAAAUCUAAAACUUAGUUGUUUUGGUACUAUUGAAUUGAUUUAUCUUUUCAUCUUUAUUUUUUUUUAAUUUACUACCCGACCCAAAUCUUUUCUCUUCUCGUAUCAAUAGUAAGUUUAAGAUUGGAUGAUAUUUUUGUCCCUUCAUUUUUUGUCAAUUGAGUCCUUAAAGUGGUCAAUUGAUGUCAAUUCUGUCUCUUUUCUCCAAAUUAACCCAAUUUCUUCUAAAUUGAAGUACAUGCUCGGCAUAUAUAUGCGAUUUAAGUUGGGGCAAAAAUGUCUCCUAACACAAUAAUAAUAAUAAUAAUAAUAAUAAUAAUAAUAAUAAUAAUUCAAAAUUAUCUAAUGAAAAGACAUAAUUUAAGCAGUACCAUCUUGUAAUUUAUGUAAUCACUUUAUUUAAUAUCACAAUAAACCAGCUAGUGAUAGUUGUUUUAUUUAUAAUAUGGUAAUAACAAGCACCUAGUGGUAGUUUGAUUUAUUUAUUACAUGCUAAUAACAACCAUGAGUUGAUAGUUGAUUUAUUUAUUAUAUGCUAAUAACAGCUAUCAGCUAGUGGUUGAUUUAUUUAUAUAUCGUGCUAAUAACAACCAUCAACUAGUAUAUAGUUUCUUGAUUUACUGUUGAUCGGAAGAUUACUGAUCGUUCAUUUAGGUGUUGGUGGGACUAAUGUUAACACCAUAGAUAACUAAACCUGUCUUCAUAGUCACGUUUUCAGUCCCGUCAAGAGCAAAUAUGAUAUCUCCAUAGUCAAACUUAUUGAAGAAUUCCCCAGCUUUGAGCGAAAAUGGUGUGUUUCUCGGAUAAUUCAUCAAUCCAUAUCCGUUCACUUGCGAGGAUCCAUUCGGAAGAGUAAGUGUAAGACUCACCGGACUUGCUAUGUUAAAGUUGUCUUUCAGCAGCACCACAAAAGAUACCUCAUAAGAUAAAUUUUCAAGCUUUUCUGUCAUAUAGUUUCCGUCAACAUGUAGGACUAAGCUACCAAUUAAUUCAGCACUGUCAGGACUGUACAAAAUGAUAGUAGAAUUAAAGUCAGAAACUUUUGAUAUAAGGAGCUUAAAUUCAUUAGGUGAUUUUAUUGAUUUAUUUAUUUUUUGCUGGAAUAUUUUUAAUGCGAGUCCUUCUAUCUAACUAGACUUCAAUAAAAUUUCUAUAGUCCUUCUAUCACUUUAAUUUAAUGACAAAGUUGCUUAUAUAUCCCUAUUUUUAACUGAAUAAAAUUCAGGUGUUUAAACACAAAUCUUGACCUUUGACGUCAAUUAAGUUAACUAAAUCUUAUUUCUACUUACGUAAACUUCCAGCCUGAAGGGUUGGCAUAAUUGAGUUUACUGGCAGGUACAUAAGCGCCAGAACUCUGAAUAAGACGAGAAAAAAAAAUUCAUAUCAUCCAUUACAAAAAAAUUUCACUUGCAAAAUUUACAAAUAUUAAGGAUUAUUUUUGUUCUAUAGCCAACUUUAGCUAUAUAUAUGAUGUUUGUUUACAAUUUCAGUAGACUUACCUUCUGGCCUAUUCCGCCGUUUUGGAGCAACUCCAUUUCCUUGGCUUGGGACAACAAUGCCUUGAGGUCAACCUCAUUAUGCCUCACUACUUGUGCCAUCUCCUCGAUCGAUCGAUAACUAUCCUUUAAUUCUGCUAUAUAUAUAUAUAUAUAUGUAUUUUCUGUUUCUAUUCUUGAUGUCUAUAUAUCUCUCUUCCAAAGGCUAGCUCUAUUUAUACUGGCACAAACAGAGGGUACUGCGAUUAUUAUAUCCCAUAAUAUCCUAUCUUCAAAUAUUCCUUCCCUUUUCAAAGUAGGGAUCCGAUCCUGAUAAGUUUAACAUCAUCAUCAUCAUCAUCAUCAUCAUCGCCAAGGAUAUAGAGCAGCAGAUUCUGUUUAAUAAUUUUGUUGGAAUAAUUCUUUUCCAUUUCCCAGUUCAAUAGUUCUUUCUUUAGCUUGUUGCGCAGGCAAAAUUCCAUGAAGGCGAAAGGCACGUAGGCAUACUAGUUGUGGGCAAGGAAAUUGUACCUUGCUAGGGUUAGGAUUUCGUGUUGGCUGAGGAGGAGAGAAAUUCACGAAGAGCACGGAAUUGAUUGGUUGAUUGAAGAGGGGAGAACGACAGGUGGGCGAUUACUCCAACGACGUGUGGCAGAACCCCUAGAAUCCAGGAACCGUGUUAGGGUAGUAGGGAUUCCAAGAGCCUUCUUGAGUCCUUCGUUCUUGAGAGAAUGUCUAAACCCCUUUUAGUGCUUUUAGGUGGAAUCUCCGAGCCUUUAAGUCACCAAAAAGGGUUCUUUGAUCUUCCGAGAGUCCAAGUCUUGAGUCUAAAGAGAAGUCUCUUUCCCAAUGGAAUGGAAGGGUAUUUAUAGGGUUUUCUGGAAAGUAGUCAUGUGCGAGGCACAUGCUUUCAGGGAAAUUCCAGAAAUGCCCUUUAGUCAUUAGAAUAAUGCCCAUGUUGCCCUGUCCUUCUAGCCACCAAUCCAAUCCCUCAAUUAAUUCCCACAUCGAGCCGCCUCCACGAGUCUUCUGCCUCGGGACACGUGGAGGCUUCUCCCGGGUCUAGCACAUUUAUUUAUGACUUUUUCAUCUUCAUUCCAUUCGGUUAUGCGAACACUAAUUUGCACAUUUAAUGAGGCCGUGGAACCCUAAUUGCGCAUUUAAUUCAAUUAGGUCAUGUGAACUCUAAUUUUACACUUUGGCCCACAUUUGCCCCCUGCGCGAGAGUCGCAUUUUCAAAUAGACGAUCGUGCAAGAAAACUGCAAGCCUUUGAAUGAUUUUGCGGGACUUCACUUUACAUGUCUUGAAGACAAUAGUCCUAGAAGAGGGAACUCCUAGGGAGCCAAACCCUUAGAGUUAAACCCUAGGAAGGCAAGACCUAGCGAGGCUCUUCCUUGGACAUAUUGAAAAAUCUUCUGAAAUCUUUCUGUAUUUUGCCCAAUAUUUAUUUCCAAUUCCGCAAGCAGAUCAACUGUCCGAGCAGCCUCAAUACGAACAGAAACAGAUUCCGAUAACUUGGAAUGGAAAAUAGAAUUAAGACCAGGCAAAACAUUGAAUAGAGCGAUGUAGAGAUCUAAAAUUUCAAACAACUUGAGAAACGAUGGACGGGUACUACUAACGCCUUCUGCAAAGUUAAUCAAGUGCAAGGCGGAUUCUUUAACUAUACCCAUAAAACACACAUCAAAUGUGGAGUUACCAAGUCCACUAAAGAUUUGUUCACAGAGUUUCUUCUCCUUUAUGAAGAGAUCUUCAAAACAAACACGAGAUGCUCGUAUCCACAAUUUGAUCUUUGGUGCCAACAUAUCCCACUCCAAACUCCGGAACUCACCGAUGCUAUAUUUACCGACGCCGAGGUGUCGAAAUUCUGCAUCCACAAUCAACUUCCUUGAAGUCCUGUAGAAUUCAACGCAGUCGCCAACAUUACCGGCUGAGUUCAAUCGUUCAAUGAUACUCCUAAAACCAUAAACUUCGUCAAUAUGUCCAUCAUCCUGUAAUUCAUAGCUAAAAGUAUCGGUUAUUGUACUUGAAAAAAUGGUAGAACUCCUAUCGGCCAAGAAAGCAUUGUGGACUCUGUUGGUUUGUCGGGUCAAUAUGACCCGAAACUCUAACGGAAGGGUUUCCAUGCCCGUUUAGAUCAUGUUUUGAUGCUUUCAGUUUGGGGAUCUGAGAUUAUUCUCGAUCGUCUGAAGCUCGUCAAAAGUACUGAUCAAUCUCAUGGCGGUCUCCGUCGAAGUCGAAGAUGAUGAAUUUAAUAAUUCCGCCCGAAUAUUUUGUGUUCUACCAAUUCCAUUCAGACAAUACAAAAGAGAUAUAUAUAUCUGCCUAAAAAUUGAAAACCGAAAAUCAUCUCUGAACAGCAGGCUUUGAAAAUUACUCCUACUAGUAGUUUAUAAAUAUAAAUACUUUGAAGAUUGUAAGAAGUUCAUAGCCAUCCACUAGUAAAAGUACUUACCAUUACUAAUUGAUGUCACGUUACCGCAAUUAGGACGGAGAGAGAAAGUCGGACCAACUCUUUUUUUUUUUCAAAUCAAACAUUAAUUUUUUAUUUCCAAAAUCAAAUCUUAAUUUUUAUUUUCAAAAUAAAAUCAAAUCUUAAUUUUUUAUUUCCAAAAUAAAAUCAAAUCUUAAUUUUUUAUUUCCAAAAUAAAAUCAAAUCUUUCUUAAUUUGAAAAGAGAUUUUUUUUUUUUGAAAAUGAAAUAAAAUAAAAUCUCUCUUUUUUUUUUUUGGCAAAUCAAAUCAAAUCAUUUUUUUUUAUCAUUCACGCAAAAGAUUUAAGUGCAUGAAUAAAAUAAAAUAAAAAUGCAUGAAUUUAAGAGUCAUAUAAUCUCACAGAUCUAAUGAAGGGGAAUUGCCACAUGCCUACGACAUUCUCUAUGAAAAAAAUGAUGAAUUAAGGCAAAACGAGAUCCAAUCAUGUAUUAUUUUUUUUUUGAAAAUAAAAUAAAUCUUAUUUUAUUAUCUUUCAAAAAAAUAAAAUAAAAUCUUAUUUUAUUAUUAUUAUUUUUUAAAAUAAAUAAAUAAAUAAAUAAAACAUUUACUUAUCUUAUUUUUAAGAAGUAAGGAGUCGAUGAGAAUGUCUUGUAUCCAUAUUGAAGCCUUUGAUAAUUCUUUGAGCAAAGAUGAUUAUAGCUUUUUGAUGAUUCUGACAUCUUUUAUAUGAGACAAGUCUUCACAUGCUUCCGAUUUUUAUUUGCCAUAAAGAAAGAAUCCAUUAAAGCUUCACAUGCCAGUUGCCACUCCUCUGUUAGCCAACAAAAAAAAAAAACAUUGUUUUGCUGCUUUAUUUGGGUGUUAUAGCCACAGGCAAGCCUCUUUCUAUCCACGCCGAACCCUACUGAUUCAAUUUUUUAUUAUUUUUUUUUUAUUAAAAAAAAUCAAGAACUUUUGGAACACUUAUAUUUAGAAGAAGCUUGUACGUAUGGGAAUUGAUGAUCCAAAAACCCACAACCCAAUUCUUAAUCUCAGUUUCUUUCUUGCUAAUCUUUCUCAGUUGAUGAACCCUUUGGAUAAUAUUAACGAUCCUCUUAGGAGGUUGCAAUAUUCAGAUCCCACUCAACUACUAGCCAAAAUCCAAAUUUUACAUAACCUAUUGCAGGCCAUAAAUGUGAGUCCUUCUUUCCCAAAUAUUAAAGUAGUAAACGUGAAUAAUCUCUUGGGAUCAUAUAAUUAUCUUAGCCAAUUUGAUGGAGUGAUCACGAGUGAAGCUAUCAACCCCAUGAUUAAUCCUAUCCCCAACAACCGGCCUUUAAUAUAUAUACUCCAAUCCCAAACUCAUUUGGAUUCUUUAGCCCACAAAUAUUUAACAAUGUUAAUAGCUUAAGUGGUGUUGCAUGCAAUAUUACUCAUCAAACUGAAAAUCAGCUUCCGGAAAGUUCCAAUACCAAGGAAAUGGACAGUAUGAAGCCUACAAACAUCCCCUCCGGUUCAACCAACUCUGACAAUAUCUUUGAGGUUUUGGAGAAAUUUGUUGAUUGUGAUCAAGCCAAUAGUACUUCCUUCUUGCUUCUUUUUUUUUUUUAUUCAGGUAACUCUAGUCUUUCUUUUGUCUUCCGAGCCCCAUUACCUUGAUCAUAUCUUGGUUUUUUCCCUCGGAUCAUAAAGAAAGAUUGGUAUUUUUUUUUUCUUGCAGGCCCUCCCUGUUGAACAUUCUGCAGACUUGGGAACAACCAAGGAGGCCCCGUUUCUCAAUAAUUGGGGAAGGGAUCCCCUCUUUUGGUCUUUCCGACGUCUUUUGAGAGCGAGUCUAGACUUAUAAUCGUACAACACUUCCUCCGCCAGAGAAGAAAGGCGUGUUUCUUUAUGUCGCGGCUUGCGGAGGUUUGGGUGACUUCCUCCCUUCCGAUCGCAUUCUCCGCAUGUGCAUAGAGAAACAAGAAUAGCCUUUCAGUCCCUUUCGCUUCCUGUCUGACUCAUCUGACCGCCUUCAAGGAUGGCAACAUUGGACCGACUUCCCGUUGUGUGCUCUUCUUCAUACACAUUCAUUACUACUUGGGGGGGAAUUCACCCCUAUUCUAGAGGAUGUCUCUGCCCUCCACCAGUAGGUCGUACUUCGGUUUGCCCCCUGCACGUGAGUCACACCUUUGGUGGGACAACCGUGCAUAAUUUCUCCAGCAUUGAAAUCUUGCUACAAAUUUCUUAAUGAUUCGCGGAGCACGAUGGUGCAAGCCUUGAACAUAAAAUCCCUAGGAGGGGAGACCUGUAGGGGGCGAGCCCUAGAGAAGCUCUCCCUGGCUAUCUUGGAAAAAAUCUUCUAUCUUAUCCUUCCGAAUAUUACUUUCUUUUGGAAGUUCUCUCAUUUUCAAAAUUAAGAAGUCAACGAGAAGGCACCGAGUGAACAUACUUCAAAUUGGGGUGAACAAGCGAUGAAGGAGAUCUUUCCUCUAGGUACCCGAAUCCUGAGCGGCUUCAUUCUGGAACAUUGAUUAACGAGCUAGGAGAAGUAAAAGGUAAGAGGGGAGAGCCUCUGUAGGUGUUUGAACCCCAGGGGCCGAACCCUAGAAGACUGCCUAUUCCUUCACUCUUUUUUUCCUUCUUCCUUUCACUUGAAUCUUGGUCGUGUCCUAGCUUGGUUCCCCAAUAUAGUUGAUCGGAUACAUCUUCAUAGGACCCUUCUCCAGAUUUUCUUGCUCGAUUGUCUUCUGAGACUUAUUCUCGAAAUGCACAUUCUCUCUCUAUUAUCUGUGAGCAGAAGACUUAGAGGUGUUUUAGUUGUGAAGUUGAUGACUUCUCGAUCCUUCUUGGGCCUUGACAUGUCUCCCUUCCGUGCUAAGCUGGAUCUCUUCACUUUCAGUUAUCAUGUCAUUGCACUUUGUUCGGAGGUCACUUCACGUCCUCAUGAGAAUGACUUUCUUUAUGUAAGGGCCUCAGGAGCUUCAGGACGUCAUGGAUAGAUUGAAGGCCAAGCUUCGGGAAAUUGAUUCAUCUGCCCAAGACCUUAAGGAACUGUUAGCCUGAAGUUCGAAAGGCUCGAGAUACUGCCAUUGUCGACUUGGAGGCUUUAGCUAUGCCCCCAGUUCAGUUUGAUGUAUCAUGACCUUUGGAUCAUGACUUCAUGUAGCUUUUAUUUCUUCCAUCACUUUUGAAGAUAAAGUGUAUUAUCGAGGAUUUCAGGGUCAAGUGUCUCAAUCACUUUUGAAGUUGAAAGUAUAACUCUUUUUUUUUUCUGGAUCGAGGGCUGAUUAAUCAGGUGCCUCAUUACUUUUGAAGUUGAAAGUAUAACUUUUUUGGGUCGAGGGCUGAUUAAUCAGGUGCCUCAUUACUUUUGAAGUAGAAAGUAUAACUUUUUCGAGUCGAGGGCUGAUUAAUCAGGUGCCUCAUUACUUUUGAAGUUGAAAGUAUUUUUUUUUUGGGUCGAGGGCUGAUUAAUCAGGUGCCUCAUUACUUUUGAAGUAGAAAGUAUAACUUUUUCGGGUCGAGGGCUGAUUAAUCAGGUGCCUCAUUACUUUUGAAGUUGAAAGUAUAACUUUUUUGGGUCGAGGGCUAAUUAAUCAGGUGCCUCAUUACUUUUGAAGUAGAAAGUAUAACUUUUUCGGGUCGAGGGCUGAUUAAUCAGGUGCCUCAUUACUUUUGAAGUUGAAACUAUAACUUUUAAGAAAUUUGCUCUGAUCAAAAUUUGAUGUAUUUAUUUAACGAUCAAGAUAUAAUACAUUUUUUUUUCAUUUUCUAGUCUGCUAGGGCAGUAGCUUAUUCAGCAUUAUGCUUCUUAUUAUAGUUCGAUUUCACCUGCCGCUAAUUUUUCAUGAUAAAUUCUCCUCAAAUUACGACAAUUCAUGAUGGAAUGUCCUGGGUAUUGAUGAUACACGCAAAAGUCUGAUCUCUUCUUCAUCUCCUCGGUCACAACAAAUCUGGGUUUUGGAGGCUUCACCAUUCCAUUUUCUACCCAUUUCUCAUACAAAUCUUUAAAUAUCUCCUCACCACAAGUGAUAGCUUCGGGCUCUAGCGAAUUUAUAUUCUUUUUGAUUCUUUCCCUCUUGCCCCCCUGUGGCUCUGACUGAGAGUCUGUCAAAGCCGUAGUAGCUGUCCUCUUACUCUUCCAGGUAGCAAUCGGAUGGUUCACAGAUACUGCCAUAAUUUCUCCAUGGUCCUGUGCAAAGGUGGAAAGUGUCGCAAAGGAAUCACAAGACUUAGUGAUCAAGUGGGGCUUGAAGGCGUCGAGGGCGCCGUUGUUGCAAAUACUCACUAAAUUCUUCUCUUCGAUUGGCUCCACACACUUCCGCGCCUGGGCCCGAAAGGUGGAAAGUGUCGCAAAGGAAUCACAAGACUUAGUGAUCAAGUGGGGCUUGAAGGCGUCGAGGGCGCCGUUAUUGCAAAUACUCACUAAAUUCUUCUCUUCGAUUGGCUCCACACACUUCCGCGCCUGGGCCCGAAAUCUGUCAACAUAAUCAGAUAACUCCUCAUUCGAAUUUUGUUGAAUUCUCAUAAGCUCUAUAAUUGACACUUCCUUCUGAACAUAAAAGAAUUUUUUGAAAAACUGGUGUUUCAUAUCAUCCCAAUCUCGAAUCGAACCCUUCUCCAAAUUGUAGUACCAGCUGAAGGCACCGUUAGUGAGCGUCUUGUUAAACUCCCUCAAUAGAAUAUUGUGGUUGCUCACUUCAUCUAUUCCCAACCACGAGGACAUCGACUCCACAAAUCUUGCAAUAUGCUCUCUCGCAUUCCCUUUCUCUCCACUAUACUUAGGGAACUGAAGUGGAUGUUCAAUGUACCCAGCAGGGUAUGGCUGUCUUCUCACAUGCGCCGGGUAUGGUGGGGUGAAAUCCAGUUCCGCAGGCCUGACUGUCUGUCUACGCAUCUGAUUGAUUACAUCCAUCAUGUCUUCCCUUGUCGCAUAUUGACUGGUUUCUGGAGCCUUUUGGGACGUCAUCGCAUACUGGUUUAUCUGAGGUGUAUGUGGAACACAUGUUGAUGCACACUUGCCUCAUGUAAGAUUGGUUGUACUUGCUGGAUUAUUGGUUGUAUAUGGCUUGGGAUGGUUGGUAUCUGCACUUGUGAAAAUGCUGGGAGUGUAAUCGGGAUGAUGUUUAGCUGAGGCUGGCUAGCUUCCAAUCUAAGUGGUGGUACAUCACCACUGUUCUGGGGCUCCAAGUUGAUGACUGGAAUCGGCUGACUCUCCAUUGCUGGAGGUAUAAUCUGAUUCUCUUUGUUGUUGUUGUUGUUGUCCUCCACUUCUCCUGCUCGUCCCCCUUGCGAACUUCCUGGGAACAUGGUCUUGAAAGUGGGGAUUUGCAUCAACUGCUGGCAAAAAUUCUCCAUUUCUUCUUGCUUUCUCUGCAUCUCUAGCAUCAUGGCCAUCAUCAUCCCUUGCCCUUCUCGUGCUUCUUUCAAUGCUUUAAGCAUCUCCAGUUGCACAGCAUUCGUCUGGUCUCCCCCUGCAUCUUCGCCUUGCCUUCUUGCAUUGGUUUGUUGUUGAUUGGCCAUAUGUGGUGAUGUCGAACUCCCUUCCAAAGCGUCUUCAAUAAUUGGUUGGUCAAAAUCCAGGUUUGCGCCUUGGAAAACUUGAGUUACUUGUCUUGGAACUGGAUCCGGUGACGUAAUGCUAUUUGUUGGUGAAGCAGCUCUUCCUGUAAUUCUCCCACUUCGAGUCGUGGGCAUACCCUUCACGAAUUAUACACCUCCCCAGCAGAGUCGCCAAAGAAAUGUGGGCAAGGAAAUUGUACCUUAGUAGGGUUAGGGUUUCGUGUUGGCUGAGGAGGAGAGAAAUCCACGAAGAGCACGGAAUUGAUUGGUUGAUUGAAGAGGGGAGAACGACAGGUGGGCGAUUACUCCAACGACGUGUGGCAGAACCCCUAGAAUACAGGAACCGUGUUAGGGUAGUAGGGUUUCCAAGAUCCUUCUUGAGUCCUUUGUUCUUGAGAGAAUGUCUAAACCCCUUUUAGUGCUUUUAGGUGGAAUCUCCGAGCCUUUAAGUCACCAAAAAGGGUCCUUUGAUCUUCCGAGAGUCCAAGUCUUGAGUCUAAAGAGAAGUCCCUUUCCCAAUGGAAUGGAAGGGGUAUUUAUAGGGUUUUCUGGAAAGUAGUCAUGUGCGAGGCACAUGCUUUCAGGGAAAUUCCAGAAAUGCCCUUUAGUCAUUAGAAUAAUGCCCAUGUUGCCCUGUCCUUCUAGCCACCAAUCCAAUCCCUCAAUCAAUUCCCACAUCGAGCCGCCUCCACGAGUCUUCUGCCUCGGGACACGUGGAGGCUUCUCCCAGGUCUAGCACAUUUAUUUAUGACUUUUUUGUCUUCAUUCCAUUCGGUUAUGCGAACCCUAAUUUGCACAUUUAAUGAGGUCGUGGAACCCUAAUUGCGCAUUUAAUUCAAUUAGGUCAUGUGAACUCUAAUUUUACACUUGGGCCCACACUAGUAAAUGAUGAUUUUCUUCUAACCAGAAGUAUGAGCAGGUUAAAAGUAGAAGAAUAAGCAUCUCGCAGGCCAAAAAUCAAUAAAAAAACGAAAAGAAGAAAAAGAAAAGAAGAAGACAGCAAUAGCAAGACCAUAUUUUUCUUCUUCUUUCUUUUUAUCUUUUCUUUCUUUCUUUUUUGUUUCUUUUUAGACGGAGGGUUUUAUUUCAUCUUUGAAAAUAAACCUAAGAAUUUAUCAAAGGAAAUAAAGGAUAAACGACAAUACAAAUAUAUAUUUUUAUUUUAUUUUCAAAUAUAUACGCAUGCAUGAUAAAGAUUCACAAUUAUACACACAUAUAUAAUAGGCUACAACCAACAAUCUACUAAACAAUUUGUAAACCAUCGAGGUGUUUUAGUGACAACCUACCGUCUACCAAAUCGUUAUUAGUUAACGAGUUAGUGUAAAUUUUCAUUUUGGAAGCUAGUAUAAACUAUCAUCUCUCAAAUUGUUAUUAGUAGAGGAGCUACGAAUGUAAACUAUCGUCUAACAAACUAUAUUAGCUGAUGAACUAGUGUAAACUAUCAUUUACUAGAUGUAUGAGCAUGUUAAGAGUAGAAGAAUAAGCAUCUCGCAGGUAAAAAAAUAGGAAAAGAAGAAGACAACAAUAACAAGGCCACAUUUUUCUUUUUCUUCCUUUUUAUCUUUUUUUUUCUUUUUUGUUUGUUUUUAGACGGAGGACUUCAUUUCAUCUUUGAAAAUGUGGGUAAAGAAAUUGUACCUUAGGUUUUCAUGUUGGCUGAGGAGGAGAGAAAUCCACGAAGAGUACGGGAUUGAUUGAUGAAUUAAAGAGGGCAGAAGAACAUGUGAUCAAUUACUCUAAUGACAUGUGACAAAACUUUUAGGAUCCGAGAACCUUCUUAGGGUGCCAAAGAUCCAGGGAGUCUUCUAGGGUGUGCUUCGGGUUGAGAGAGAAUCUCCAAGUCUUCAAUCUUUCGAAAAGCCCUCUUCUUCAUAGAAUAGAAGGAGUAUUUAUAGAGUUUCCUGGAAAGUGGUCACAUGACAGACAUAUGACCUCGAGCAAAUUCCAAAAAUACCCUUAGUCACCAGAGUAAUGCCCAGAUCGUCCUGUCUUUCUAGCCACCAAUCCAAUUCCUCAAUCAAUUCUCAAAAUGAGUUGCCUCCAUAAGCCUUUUACCAUGGAGGCUCUUCCUUGAUCUCAUGAUACAAAGCUCUUAUUGCUCAAACCAUGCUUACUUGCUCUUCCUUCUUUAUUUAAGAAUCUCGUCGCCAGAAAUCAUCGGAAGAACUCUGCGCAAGACCCGGGAAGCCGCGUGUUACAAACCAGUCCCACAUCGAAAGAUAUGGAAAAAAAUUAGUCUAUAUAUAAGGAAUUAUGUUACUACCAAUAAUAUACUUUUAAGUCAUGACCUUUUGGGUGAGCCUGUGGUGGGAUAAGAUGACCCAAUAAUAUACUAUUGGGUCAGUGGUUUAAGGCCUUGGGAUUCGGACUUGGGAUUUGACCCAAGAUUUGUUUUGGGCAAUUUUACUCAGGUUGUUACAUAUGGUAUUAGAGCCGACUCUCGAAAGCUCGGGUCGGAUCAUCCGAUCGGGUUGCCGGAAGUGGGGACACGAAACCAGCCGAUAUUAUCCCACAAUGGCUAAAGAGGCAAAGAUCUGUGGAACGUAUAUGUGAUCGAUUUUGAUGGAGAUGUCAAAAAUUUAAGUGGGGUAGUUUAUAACACCUCAGUCCCACAUUGAAAGAUAUGGGAAAUACUAUUGUGCAAUGAUUUAAGCUAUCCAGCUAUAUUGUUAUAGUUUGGAUAUAUUCCAGUAUGAGAAUUAACAAACCCUGAAAUGGGAUAUUUUUAUUGCACUCUGGGAGUGGUGACGUUGAACAUGGAAGUUGUUCUGGAUAAGAUAGUAUUGAUUAAUAAAGGGCAUAUAUAAAGGGCUGAUCAUCCAUCGUGCUCAUAAGAUAAGAUGGUUCACAAAUAAAUUUUUAAGAAAACCUUUUCAAGAAAAGAAAAAGCUUGUUCACGGUCUUAUGACCUCUCAGAUGUUCAAUAUUGAUAUGAUAUUCCAGGAAUAUGAAUGAUUCAAGAUUUAAUUGCUUUACAGUUUUGUUUCACUGUUAAAGCAUGUCUCAAAGAAAACAUUUAAUUAUUGUUAAGAUAUUAAAGAAUGCUAUUACUUAUUGAGCAAUUGAAUGCUCAUUCUUGUUUUGUUAUAAAUGUUUUCAGCUAAUCAGGCUCCAACGGAGGGGUCUAAUAGAGACAAAGGAAAAGGAAAAGCUACUGAGUAGUAGGUAUAUGUUGUAAUAAAUAGUUUAUAUGUUUGUAGAUAUUUAACUAUCAUGUAAUAAGCACUUAAUGGUUACGUACCUGGUAUUAGAAGAACUCUGAUAUAAUAAAUCUAUCAAGUUUGAUAUUAUAUUAUGUUGAAUGCUUGAUAUCUUGAAGCACUGAAUAAGGGUUUAAAAUACCCGAAUUUGGGGGCGUCACACGCCCGAUUCGCCUCCUUUGCGUAUGUUUAACAUGCUCAUACAACUUGUCUAAUACUCCAUUGAUUAAUUCUAAGUAUCAUUAUAUUUCAUAACUUUCAUGUUUAAUAACUUAGAAUAACAUAUUUUAUCGUCAAAAGCAUCCACGUAGUACGAGCAUGCCCGACGCCCUCCGAUCGCCUCCGAUCGAAUGCACAAUAGUCCUAAAAAUAGCCAUUUUAGCCCCUUCUCCCGACCUCAAAUCUCAAAACUUAUAAAAUAAAAGUUUUAGGUCAACUUCUAAUAUUUUCGAAUCAUCUUGAAUCACCUCAAUCAGAGUUCGUAUAAAAAGGUUAUGCAUGUUUUACUAAAGAACGUCAAAGCUGACUUUCUGCACUUUUGGUUCAGCGCCCAUCCUAGGCCUAUUUCCAACGCCCCGGGGCUGGACGGCAGUACGUUCUCAGCCAAAAACUUCAAUUUUCAAAAAUCUUCAGUUUUGAAUGAUUUCAACAUGUCUACUUUGAAAUAUCAUAAAUUUCUCCUCCGAUAUCGAAAUGAGCUCGUUCUUAAUGGGUUGAAAAGCUUGCAACACCCUCUACAAAUUUCUCAGGACAAAAUAAUUUUCUGGAUUCUCUAACAAUCCUUUAAACUUUCUCAAAAGUCCAUCGAGACUAAGAUUUUUAUCAUUCAACAUACUUUACCAAAAUUUUCUGCCAUGACUUCGUUUUAACAUAUUUUUACUCCGUUCCAAUUAGAAUAUCUUCAUAAAUUCCUUAUCUAUAAAUCCUUAUUCCCGAAUUUUAUUUAUUACAACCCUAUCAACAAUAUUAAAAUCCAAUUUAAGUACUCUAAAUAAAUAAUGUCUAUCCUUUAAGCUUUGGCCUACGAUUCCAUUCUUGUUACCACUUCUUAUGCAAUUUAACAAGUUAUUUAUCAUGAUCAAAGCACACAUAACUUUAUUUACUCAAGGUCCUUCAUACUCUUUCAUUAAACAACCAUCGCCAACAACUAAUGAUUCAAGAAAGACUUCACAGAAAUGAAAAGAUGGAUGGUUCUUACCUUCUUAGUUAUUCUUCUUCUUCCUAGCUUAUGCUUUGUUAGCAUGAUAUACAUUGUUGGGCCCUCCAUCUACCAACUUAAGCUUUUAAGAUAAGUUGGUUACUUAACAUGGUAUCAAAGCUUUGGGUGUGCAAGGUCUUGGGUUCGAAUUUUUCCAGCUGCACAAUUAUCUUUCUAUUAAUUUAACAGUGCAAAUGCACUUUAAUUUCUCCCUUCUCUAUAAAAAAAAGUUGCGUUUGAGAGGGAGUGUUAGCAUGAUAUACAUUGUUGGGCCCACCAUGCAUCUAACAGCUUAAGCUUUUAGAUGAGUUGGUUACUUUGCUCUUCUUUCUCUUCUUAUUGGUAUUCGGCCUCUCUAUUUCUCUCUCUCUCUCACUCUCUUGUUUUCUUUCUCUUCUCUCUAGUUUGCCCUCUCUUCCUUUUUUUUUCUUGCAAAUGAAAUGAAUUGGCUAAGUGAAAAAUCCUCUAGAUCAAUUGAAUUCUCCACUAACUAACUCAACCAUACUUCUAAGGUUAGGUUAACUCGUGUAGGGUUAGGGAAUGAUAGGAUGACACUUGUAAGCUUAAUGUUUAAGGAUGACAAGAAGAUAUAAGCUAGCAUUAAAUUAAAUUUUCACCUUGCUAGAUGAGUCACACAUACUCUCCCUUUUGCUUCUUUAAUUGGUUGGAUCACCCCUCCCUUUCUUAGCUCAUAUUUUAAUUAUCCCAUGUGGGAUAAACAUCAAUCCUCUCCCUUAUCUUACUUUUUCACCCAACUUAUCUUUUAUGAGAUAACUACUAAGUCUCAUUCCUUAUCUUUUCUUCGAUAAGCCUUGUCAUUAAUCCUUAUCUCUUCCUUGUUUUCCUUCAACCCAAACUUACCAUAAAUAGAAAGUUUCCAUCUCACCUUCUCUCUUCUCCUUGUCCAUAUUCAAAUCCCCACAUGUUUAAUUCUAGCAAAUGACACUUGCCCUCUUAUAACUUUGGCUCCUAGUUUGGCUCACUUUUUGGCUCAAAGACCAAGCCAUGGCUCCUAUCCUUUGACUCUAAGCUUAAGCCACUCAAACCUUAGGCUCAACCCUUAGCUAAGCCCCUUUAAAUUCCUAACCAAGUCAUUUAAACCUUAGGUUUGGUUAGACUAGAAUUAAUUUAAUUUCUCUUUUUCUUUUAAAUUAGUUAGAUUUCCUAAUUUUUUAGUUACAUUUUUCGUAAUAUGCUUGGUUAGCUGACAAUCCGACUUUUGAUUUUCAAAAAUCCAAUUUCGCCACCAUUCCUUCUUUCCCGAAUAAACGCUAUGUAGUUCUUCGAAAUUUUAAAAAAAACGAAGUUGGGUUUUUAGCGUGAAUAGUUUUUUUUCAUACGACUUUUUCUAGAAAAAUAUUUUAUUAGAGAUUUCAUCUCGCCUUCUCAAAUAAACACUAUGAUGUAAUUCAAAAUUCUCGAAAAAGUAUGUUUAUUAGCGUUUUUCUGUGAUUUUAAAAAUAGUAACUUUUUCGUCUUUUUCUCGAAAAAAUUAUAUUCUCCCAAAACUCCCAACACUUAUACAUAAUCACGUAACACGUAAACUAGGUCAUUAAUCGACCUAAAUCAUGUAACACAUAAUAAUAUCUAUAAAAUUUUAUUUUAUUAGAUAUUCACAAAUAAAACCUAUUUUCAAGCCUAUCUGAAUUCUCGGGUCGUCACAUAGUAUUUAUAGAGUUUCAUGGAAAGUGUUCACAUGCCAGGAACAUGACCUCAUGGAAAUUCAAGAAAUACCCUUAGUCACCAGAGUUAUGCCUAGAUCAUCUUGUCCUUCUAACCACCAUGCAAUCCAAUCCCUCAAUCAAUUUCAAAAAUGAGUUGCCUCCAUAAGCCUUCUGCCUUGGGACCCAUGGAGGCUCCUCCUCGAUCUCAUGCUUCAAAGCAAUUGUUGCUCAAACCAUACUUUCUUACUAUUCCUUCUUUAUUUGAGAAUCUCGUCGAUGGAAAUCCUCGGAAGAACUCUGCGCAAGAACCAGGAGGCCGCGCCUUAGGGGGGCAAUCCUUAGGGGGCGGAACCCUAGGGAGCUGAACCCUAGGGGGGCCUCCUUCAGUUCUUUUCGUUCGUUUCAACCUUUCUUGGUCAGUUUUCAUCAUUUUCUCAUGAUUCUUGGUCCUGUAAGAAGCCUUUCUUGUCAUAGAGAUUAUAAGGCUAAUCAUUAUUUGGAGUUUCACAAGAUUUUAGUUUAUUUUUGUAGUCCAGGCUUAUUUCUUUGUCAUUGCAUCGAUGAAACCCCUUCUAGCAUGCCAAUCGAGAAAAUGAGGUAGCAUAUGCCCUAGGGUGCCGAACCCUAAGAGGUAAUUUAGAUUUCUUUUGUCCAUCUUUUGUCUGUUUUCCUUUUUUCAUUACGAUAGUUCCAACCAAAUCCAGUCGGAGAAGAAAUUGGUUUUAUCUUUUCUUUAAGGAGAAGUCAUCUUGGAGUGGUUGAACCAUAGGGUGGCCGAACCCUAAGGGGCCAAAAUCCUAGGAUUUUUCCCUUUUUGCUGAUUUAAUGCUUCGUUCAUUAAUUGAAGUCUUGUUCAUUUACUUUCGUCUUUUCAUUUAAUUCAAUUAAAUCAUAUGUAAACCCUAAUUUGUACUUGGGCUCACAGAAAAUAAACCUAAGAAUUCAUCAAAGGAAAUAAAAGAUAAAUGACAAUACAAAUAUUGCGUUUUGUUUUGUCUUAUUUUUUUAAUUUUAUUUUCAAAUAUAUACGCAUGCAUGAUAAAGAUUCACAAUUAUGUAUAUAUAUAUAUACAUAUAGAUACAUAAUAUGGUAAAUAAUAGGUGGUAGUUGUUUUAUUUAUAAUAUGGUAAAUAAUAGGUGGUAGUUGAUUUAUUUAUUACAUGCUAAUAACAGCCAUGAGUUGAUAGUUGAUUUAUUUAUUAUAUGCUAAUAACAGCUAUCAGUUAUUGGUUGAUUUAUUUAUAUAUCGUGCUAAUAACAACCAUCAACUUGUAUAUAGUUUCUUGAUUUACUGCUGAUCGGAAGAUUACUGAUCGUUCAUUUAGGCGUUGGUGGGACUAAUGUUAACACCAUAGAUAACUAAACCCGUCUUCAUAGUCACGCUUUCAGUCCCGUCAAGAGCAAAUUUGAUAUCUCCAUAGUCAAACUUAUUGAAGAAUUCCCCAGCUUUGAGCGAAAAUGGUGUGUUUCUCGGAUAAUUCAUCAAUCCAUAUCCGUUCACUUGCGAGGAUCCAUUCGGAAGAGUAAGUGUAAGACUCACCGGACUUGCUAUGUUAAAGUUGUCUUUCAGCAGCACCACAAAAGAUACCUCAUAAGAUAAAUUUUCAAGCUUUUCUGUCAUAUAGUUUCCGUCAACAUGUAGGACUAAGCUACCAAUUAAUUCAGCACUGUCAGGACUGUAAAAAAUGAUAGUAGAAUUAAAGUCAGAAACUUUUGAUAUAAGGAGCUUAAAUUCAUUAAUAUAGUACAAUUAAUGCGAGUCCUUCUAUCUAACUAGACUUCAAUAAAAUUUCUUUAGUCCUUCUAUCACUUUAAUUUAAUGACAAAGUUGCUUAUAUCCCUAUUUUUAACUGAAUAAAAUUCAGGUGUUUAAGCACAAAUCUUGACCUUUGACGUCAAUUAAGUUAACUAAAUCUUAUUUCUACUUACGUAAACUUCCAGCCCGAAGGGUUGAAAUAAUUGAGUUUCUCAGCAGGUAUAUAAGCGCCAGAACUUUGAAUAAGACAAGAAAAAAAAAUUCAUAUCAUCCAUUACAAAAAAAUCUCACUUGCAAAAUUUACAAAUAUUAAGGAUUAUUUUUGUUCUAUAACCAACUUUAGCUAUAUAUAUGAUGUUUGUUUACAAUUUCAGUAGACUUACCUUCUGCCCUAUUCCGUUGUUUUGGAGCAACUCCAUUUCCUUGGCUUGGGACAACAAUGCCUUGAGGUCAACCUCAUUAUGCCUCACUACUUGUGCCAUCUCCUCGAUCGAUCGAUAACUAUCCUUUAAUUCUGCUAUAUAUAUAUAUAUAUAUAUAUUUUCUGUUUCUAUUCUUGAUGUCUAUAUAUCUCUCUUCCAAAGGCUAGCUCUAUUUAUACUGGCACAAACAGAGGGUACUGCGAUUAUUAUAUUCCAUAAUAUCCUAUCUUCAAAUAUUCCUUCCCUUUUCACAGUAGGGAUCCGAUCCCGAUAAGUUUAACAUCAGCAUCAUCAUCAUCACCAAGGAUAUAGAGCAGCCGAUUCUGUUUGAUAAUUUUGUUGGAAUAAUUCUUUUCCAUUUCUCAGUUCAAUAAUUCUUUCUUUAGCUUGUUGCGCAGGCAAAAUUCCAUGAAGGCGAAAGGUACGUAGGCAUCCUAGUAAAUGAUGAUUUUCUUCUAACCAGAAGUAUGAGCAGGUUAAAAGUAGAAGAAUAAGCAUCUCGCAGGCCAAAAAUAAAAAAAAAAUCGAAAAGAAGAAAAAGAAAAGAAGCCACCAAUAGCAAGACCACAUUUUUCUUUUUCUUUCCUUUUUAUCUAUUCUUUCUUUGAUUCUUUUUUAUAAUUUUUUUUAGAUGGAGUCUUUGAAAAUAAGCAUAAGAAUUCAUUAAAGGAAAUAAAAGUGUUGAAAGUUGUCUUGCAUUAGUCUUCUCCAAAUUCUGUUCCCCUUAGACUUUAGAAUUUAGCCUUUCCCAAAAUUCUGUUCCCCUCAGAUUUCGGAAUUUUGCUUUCCUCAUUUCUUGUUCUCCUCUCCAGAUUUCUCCUAUAAAAGGGAGCUUUGGUGUAAGACCCCAACUUUUAUGAAUAAAGACGAAUUUUUCUAUAAAUAUAAUUUUUGAUUAUUAAGAUGUGAAUUUGAAAAAAUAUUAUAGUUGUGAGUAAUAUUUAAAAAUUUUACAAAGUAAACAAGGUGUUAUAAAAUAUUCGGUUGGUCGAGGAAUAUUCGUUUUAACAGGGAAUAUUCAUACGACGACACAAUCAUUGGUGGACCCCACAACGAAAGUAUUGUCGGAGUUAGAAAACGACAGAAAUAUCUUAUUAUGAAAAUAAUGGCGAAAAUUUUACCGUUAACUGUUGAAAUACCCGUUAGUAAAAGUACAGUAAUACGUAUGGUUGCAUAGUAGUACACGGUAUUAAUUAUUGAUGCUUACGUGAGAAGUCACUCAGUUAUACUCAAUUAUUGUUACAGUAAUUGUUGUAUCAUAUCUCUUAUAUUAUUGAUUCAAUUAUUGUCAGUAUCAUCUGCAUAAUAUUUUAUAUUAUUAAAUCAAUAAUUGAGACGAUAAAGUUAUUCAUAUUAUUAUUUACAAUAUUGACGAUGUCUAGAAGUUCUGUCAAGGAGAGGUUAGGUCAUUUAAUUGCGCGCCAAUAGGGAGAAAUCCUUAUCGGAAAGCCCCUCUUUCCUGAAAACGAUCUGGUUGUUAAUAUUGCGAGUUAUAAUAAUGAUGAAUAAAUUGAAGGAAUUUUAUGAAAUAUUUGUUGUAAGUUUUGCUUAUUAUAUGGACCCCCAUUUAACCAUUUUUCAAAAUAAUCGGUAAAAAAUUAUUCAGUAUUUUUUUUAAUAAAAAAGGUGGGGCCACAUGUGGGGCCCACUGAAAGAAAAAUGGGGGGGGGGAGAUGUUUAUGUUUGUCAUGGGUGAAGGUUUGAUUAUAUAUAUAUAUAUAUAUAUAUAUAUAUAUAUAUAUUAUAAUAAGUCUUUUUUUUAUGAAAAAUAGAAUAUAUUAAAUUUUAUUUGCAUAGUAUUUUACUAUGCAGUGCACAGUAAAGUUUUGUGAAUUAGAAAUUCGGCGCCCGUGAAAUUUUCGAUUGUUUUGUCCGUGAGAAUUUCAAACAGUACCCCUUCCAUCAUCCUAUAAAUAUGACGCUUAUUUUGAAUUGAAAAUCACACAAGAAUCAGAGAAUUUUUUUCUAUAAUAUUGAGUAUAUUUCUUUCGAGUUUUAGAAAGUUUUGAGUGUAGAAAACAGUGAAAGUUUUUUUCAAGAAUAUCCCCGCUAUACCAGUCGAAAUACUCUUCUUAGGAUGUUUUUUUGUUCAAUAUUCGUAUGAAAUAAUAUUUUCUUCCAUACUCUGUAGUAUGUAAAUAAUAUUAUUUCGUUUUAGAUUUCGAAUUCUAUAUCCAUUUUGUUAAAGUUUUGGCUCCUAUACUCCAUGAAAUUAGUAGAAUAUCCUUAAAAUUUGCGUUUCAUCCAGUAUCUUUUCAUGGAAAUAUUAUUCUGAGCAUUCUUGAUAAGUUUUAAUUUUUUCAUGCCAGAGUACUAUAUACGGGGUACUAUUCUCAAAUUACUAUUCACGGGGUACUAUUCACUCGGUUACUAUUCAUCCGAGGCACUAUUCAUGACAAAAAUUAAUUUUUUUUCGGUCCAAAUCAUUUUUGUUACAAUAUUAUUCGUGAAUUUUACUCCAUAAUGCAGUAUCAUAUUGACAAUUUGGACAUUAUUAAAUUAUGGAUAAAUUAAAUUAUAAAUCUUUAAAAAUUUAUCUUUUGCUUUCAUUUAAUUGAAUUCUUAUAUCAUUGUCAUCAUCCUGAUGCUUAUAUUAUAAUGAAAGUCAUUUGUGGCCCGUAGUGCAUAGAUGGACUUGGUAUGAUUAUGACCAGGGAUUAUUUGGUAUAAUCAUGACUGUAAUAUUACAAAUGAUGUGGUAAAAGUCCUCAUUGGCCCGUAGUGCAUUGAUGAACAGUUGUUUUCAUGAUCAUGACCAUUGAUGAAAACACGAAUAUCUUUGGCCCGUAGUGCAUGAAUAAUUUGUGGUUGUGAUACUAAAGAAUAUCCUUGGCCCGUAGUGUAUGGAUAAUUCAGUGAUGUGUAUUAUUUAUUAAGCUGAGUCUCAGCGAUACAAUUGAUGAUAAACCUUUUAAAUAAUAGAAGAUAGUAGAUUUUAUGCUCUACUUAACUCUUCUAAUAGAUUGCUUGUUCCUCUGCAAUUAAACUUGAUGUUUAUUAUAUUUUAUCAGUUUAACAUUGUUGAAGGCUAAUGAUAAUUUAUUCUGUGUUAUCUUAGUCAUAAUAUUUCUUACUGGCUAGUUGAGCUCACCCUUUACUUUCAUUGUUCUCUUCAGGAAAUGAGAAUAUAGCUGGGAUCGACUAGUCGGGGAACGGAGUGACGGUCCAAAUGAUAACAUUAGUAGUCCUCACUAUUCUGUGAAAUAGUGUGAUAAUAAAUGUAAUGAGGACUUAUUUUGAGUUUGAAUACUGUCUAGAAGACAAUAUUUGUAUUAAAACUCACAACUCAUGUUAUAUAUUUAAGUUUAUAUUUGUAUUCUGUACCAUGUAUUUAACGAUUCAAAAUGGGUGAUGUAUACCUAUUCUGGGGGCGUCACAGUUGGUAUCAAAGCUUGGGGAUAUGAUCCCUGGCUGAGAUGAGAGACUAGAACUAGGAGGGGAGAGUCAGGUAAUUCCUUUGCUAGUAUGACCUACCUAAGUUUAUUUGUUAUUUAAUUAGUCGGUCAGAAUAUAGGGAUAAUAUGUUGCAUGUCAAUUAACCCUUGUUUUGUGGCAGUAUUUGAAAAUGACAUCCGAGAAUGUUGAGAAUAGCAAUGGAGUACAUGAGACCGUUGAAUCACCAACGAUCAAUAACCAGGAUAAUGUGCAUCAGGAAGGCAAUAAUCCUCAUGCAAACAAUAACUCCAACAAAAUAAUGAACGACAAAAUGUUUAUGAGCUUUCUUCAAUUCAUGCAACAUCAGGCAAGAGAGACUCCUGUUCAAAAUGUAGGUGGAAAUACCGGCAACUCUCGAACGGUCACCGCUAAGCAAUUCAAGGAGCUGGGACCACCGAAGUUUUUGGGAAAGCCAAAACCACUUAAGGCGGAGACAUGGUUAAAGCAGAUCACUAAGAUAUUUGAUGUCUUUGGAUGCUCCGAGGAGCAAAAGGUUCCCUUUGCCACCUUCAUGUUGCGAGGAGAGGCAGAUCAUUGGUGGAAAUCUGUAAAAUGUACCCAGCUUGCCACAUUAAAGAUGUCUUGGGAGAAGUUUCAAGAACUGUUCAACGACAAGUACUUUUUCGAAAGUAUUCGUUAGAUGAAGGAGGUGGAGUUCAUCAGGUUGGAAUAAAACAAUAUGACCAAGACGCAGUACGAGGCUAAGUUUGCGGAGUUAUCCCGGUUUGCAUCUCAUUUGGUUGUUAAUGAGGAGAGAAUGACGCGGAUAUUUUUAAGAGGUUUGAAACCUGAGAUAUGUCAAUAUCUCAUUCUCACAAACUUUGCUUGUAUUCAGAUGUUGUGAAUAUUGUAAUAACUCGAUAUUUUCUAUAUAAUUAAAUCAGAAAUUUUACGUAUGAAUUUUUUUAUUUAAUUAUUAAAGUUGGAAAUAUGUGCCAGGUAAUGUGUAUAUGUAUAUAUGUGAUAAAUAAAAUAUAUUUAUUACAUGAAUAAUUACCAAUAGUUUUAUUUUAGAAUUAUUGCUCAUUAUAAAUUAUAUUAUAAUAAUAAUUAGUUUUAUACUAAAAAUGUUUUCAUUAAUUCUAUUCUAUGAAAAUAUGUUUAUAUAUUAUUUAAAAAUUAUAUGAAAUGAUUAUAUAAUUAUUAUAAUGAUUAUUCUAUUUUAUUAUAUGAAUUUAGUUCAGAUUAUUUAAGUUAAUUAUUUUAACUUAAUUAUUAUUGUUAUGUAUGCAAGAUAAAUCAGAUAUGGAAUCCAAACCCUAAUUUUGGAUUUUGAACAAGGAAUGAGAAUAUUAAUAUAAUAUUAAUUAUAUUUUUAUUUUUCAGUGCUAUAAAUAUAUAUGUUAUGUUUGUAAGGUUAAUCUGGGGAGCAAUUUUCUUAUGACCUGAUAAAACCCUAAUUUGAAAGUCAAUUACGACUGUAAAAUUUGUUAAGUCAUUGUGAUAUGUGGUCUAUGAUUUGUAUUAUAAGUAUUAAUGUUAAUUCUAUAAAACCCUAAUUAGUAAUUUAAAACUCUAUUUUUCUUAAAUUAGGAACCCUAAACAGUACUUAGCUAUCCGCUAAGUGAAAACCCUAAUUUAAAACUCAGCUAUGAGUCGAGACUGUUAUGUAACUGUAUUAUUAUGUUUAAGGUUAAGUAUUAUAGAAUUUUAUAUUAAUUAAAGAAACCCUAAUUAACAUUUAGAAAUUCUAAUUUCUAGAAACCCUAAUUUCUAAAUUAGUAACCCUAAUUUGCUAAAACAAAACUCUAAUUGUUAAUUUGGCACGCUUAAUGAUAAUUAGUAAAAUUUAAACCUAAUUUUCAAGUCUAUGUAAUGAGGAAACCAAAUUAAUUAUGAAACCUUAAUUUGUAUUUUUAGAAACUAAAAAUUUCAAUUUUUUUAAAAUUAGAAAUCCUAUAACACUUUGUGCUAACCCUAAGGGUCAAACCCUAAGGGUUUGAUAAGUUACUAGUUUGCCCUUAAAUUGAUUAGCCAAAUGACAAAAAUACCCCUCUUGCAUUAUUGGACAUAACUUGUAAGACUAGCCAAUUUUGAGUUGCUCAACAACUCUUACCAGCCCCAUGUGACUAAAAUGCCAGCAAUCAAGCUCUAGAUAUCAGCCAACUUGAUUUCAUGUUUUAUAUAUAUAGACAUCAAGAGAGAGAAAUUUCAUUUAUUAGCCACAUUUGUACACAAACUCCUUACCAACUCUCUCUCCCAAAACCCAUGAAAUGUUGUAGUAGAUCAGUCCCGUAUUGAAGCCCCACUAACACACUUAAGCAAAUCAGCAGCCAGAAUCAAGAAUUGAUGCUUAAAGGUAUAAAAUCCUAAGUCAAAUUUUGAUCUUGUAUGCUAUAUUGGAUUUGUGGUUUUAAUGUUUAAUCAUGUUGAAUAAGGUGUUAAUAGGUGAUCUGGGUUGGCACAUGUUAGAUCCAUAACAUCAAAGUGCUCGAAAUCUAAGUUUUUCAAAAUAUGGAAAUUUUUGUUUUUGUUGUCUGACAGCGAAUGUCAGGCCUUGUAGAUCUGUGCUUAUUUAUUAUUUUGAUGAUUUAAAUGUUUGAAGUGGUAGUCUGGUAUGAGGUCUUUCAUAUGAAAAUGGAAUCACUGUUAUUGGAUGUCUAGAUCGAAAAUUAUUGAUGGUCAAAGGUCGUUGACUGACCAUGACCGAGUAUGAAUCUGGGCAACCUUGAAAGCUUUUUCAGCGUCUGAAAAUGUUUUGGAAGGCUUAGAUCUGUCAGUGUGUAAAUGAUUUGAUGAUGUUAUAAUAUCCAGUUUAUAGCUUGUCAUAUGUAAUUUAUAUUUGUGGCUUUAUAUCCUUUAAACAAACAAUUGAUCGAACUUAGUGGAUGGUCAAACCUGGCCCCUCGGUCACGAUUUCAUUUCUGGGAAUUUCCAGAAAAUCGAAAGAACAGCCCUCUGACAGGGUUUGACCGAGUAAUAUCUUGUAGAUCUGUUGAUGUUAAACUGAUUUGUUGUUAUAUUAUUGUUCCUGGACAUAAGGACUACAUCUUUGAGGCAUUAGAUCACUUGAAUCAUGAACGGAACCUAGAUUAAAUCGAGGAUGAAAGUGACUGGUCGACCACCUGGGUUUCUGGAAAACCCAGGAAUGCUCUGACAACAUAUUUGCAAGCCUAGAUCUCCUUGUGUGUUUGUUGUAUGACCUAGAUAUUGAUUGCUAGUUAUAGUGUUGUAUAAUGACUUCAAUAUUGAUGCUUAAGUUUGCCCAAAAACGAAUUAGACAGAGAAUUAUUAGUGGUCAAAGUUGACCCCUCAAACACGAAGCUGUCAGUGUUCUUGAGCUCAAGAACACCAACAGCGACGCUUAGUGUCACUAAAGGCCAAUAGCGAUGGUUUCUAAUAUUUUUAAUUUCUGAUUUUCUAGAAAAUACUUAAAAAUAGAAAAUAAAUUAUAAAAAUUACAAAAAUGGUUUUAAAAAUUAUUUUAAAUUAUGAAAAUUAACUUUUAAUUAUUUGGGAUAUUUUUUAUUAAUAUUUAUAAUUAUUUGAAUAUUAUUAAUAUUUAAUUUAUUUAAUUAGUGUAUUAAAUAAAUUAGAGAAAAAUGAUUUUAAUGUUAUAAAAAUCAAUUUAAAUAAGAAUAAAGUGUUUAAAAAUAUUUUUGAGUUAUAUAUGUAACUUUUAAUAUUUUUGUGAUGAAUUUCAUUAAUUAAUUAAUAUUAAUGAUAAUUAAGUUAUUUAAUAAAUGUAUUAAAUAAAUUAUGAAAAAUAGAAAUUAUGAUUUAAAAAUCAUAUAAAAGUGAUUUAAAGAUUAUAAAAAAAUAUUUUAAGUUAUAAAAUAUAACUUUUGAUAUUUUGUCAUGAAAAAUAUUAAUAAUUUUAUAUUAAUAAUAUUAGAUUUAUUUAAUGAUUAUAUUAAAUAAUUUAGUUUAAAAUGAUUUUAUUAUUAUAAAAUUAUUUUAAAUGAAAAUAAAGUGUUUAAAGAUAUUUUAAGUUAUAAAAUAUAACUUUUAAUAUUUAAAGGAUAAUUUCAUUAAUAAUUUAAUAUUAAUGAUAUUAAUUUAAGAUUUAUUGAUAUUAAAUUUAUUCAAUAAUUAUAUUAAAUAAAUAGUUUUAAAAUGGUUUUAUUAGUUUAAAAAUUAUUUAAAAAGGAUAUAAAUGAAUUAAAAAUAUUUUAAGUUAGAAUUAAUAACGUUUAAUAUUUGGAUAAAUAGUAGAUUAAUAUUUUAAUAUUAAUGGUAAUUAUUUAAAAAUGAUUUUAAAUGUUUAAAAAAUUAUUUAAGGGUAAUAUUAGCACUUUAAAAAUAUUUUGAGUUAUUAUUAAUAACUUUAAUAUUUUGGCAAUGGUUUCAUUAAUAGUUUAAUAUUAAUUAAAUAUUAAUGAUAAUAUGAUUAUUUACUAUUUAAAUCAUUUAAUUAUGAUUCUAGUGUUUGAAAAUUCAUAAUAAAUUAUAAUAAAUGUUUAAAAAUUAUUAUAAGUCAUUUAAAAAUAAUAUGACUGAUAUUUGUAGAUAUUGAGAUACAGGAUAGAGUCUUAGACUCGAUAUUUACCUGAUAAAGCCGUCGGUAGACCGACAUGUUUCAAAAAUUGAUCUAGACUUAGAUAUUUUGACUGUAUUAAUAUUUGUUUGUGAUUCAAUGACUGUUGAAUAUGUGUGACAAUGUGAUUAGGUUAUAUGCUGACUGCAAUAAGCAGUGCUAUGUUAUUCUAAUCGAACGAAUGAUCUUAUUAAUGAUAGAUUUUGGUAUUAAAGAUAAAACUAAGUUGCGUAUUGUAAGCAGCAGACCAGGCAAGUAUCAUAUAUUUGCAUUUUGUUUAUGUGACGCCCCCAAAUCCGGGUUAUCUUUAACUCGGGUUUGGUGCUUACGAUUCUAGAAUACCCAUUCAUACUAAAAAUAAAACUGUCUUAUAUUACAUAAACAUUGAACUUAAAUCCCAGGUUCUAGAGACCUUUACAUACAAGCCAAAUAUUAUUACAUCAUAGUGCUACAGUAUUUAUUACAUGCACUACUUAGGUUCAUUUAAGCACAUGCGCUUAAUAAUUGACUACUCAACAACCUUGCCCUUUCCUUUGUCUUUUCCAGAUGGACCGGCAACCUCAAUUUUAACUGAAAACAUUAUAUUUAACGCAAGGGUGGGCAACAAGUUUGCCCAGCAAGGAAAUAAGCAGCUAAAUAUAAGAGAACAAAAAUAUUACAGUAAUGGGGAUAUCAUACAGAAGGUAUAGAACAAAGUAAUUCUUAAGAGUGUUGAGUCAAAAGUCAGGAUUUAUCAUGCUGUAAGGUCAAAUGACCAGUGAACACUAUACUAGAAUUUACAGUAAUAAUACUGCAAUCUAUGAAUACAAACAGUUAUAAAGCUGUUUUAUAUCCUAGACUCGUACUUCAGGGGAUCAGCCUAAGUACCCUAUAUUGUGCACAACAUAACAGUCUAAUAAAACUUUACAUGUCCUUCAGAAUCAUAUAUACGGUACAAUACGCCCCUAAAAAAGGGUUGUUCGUUCACAGCAUUAUAUAAGAAUCCAUACCACAAUAACAAAAUGGUUUGGAAAGAAUUAACUGAUAAAUUCAUAAACAAUAUCAAUAUAUCUCAACCUUUGUCCAAGCGAAGUAAUGGUAUUGACAUACUUUCAAUAUAACUUUUAUUCAAGAUAGAAAAGUUGAUAUACUAUUCUUUUGAAGCUGAUUGGAAUAAAAAGGCUAUUUAACCUUAUAUUAUUCAUAAAUAAGGACAAACAGUUCAGAAAUUAAAGAACCUGUCCACUGCAGAAUAUUUGCUCAAUAAAGAGUAAGGAUUAGAAACUUGCCUUGUUUGUAGUCUAUCGUUUAGGAUUUCAGCUUAAUUGAAGUAUUUCUCAAAGUCCUACACAGUUAUUUGUAUUAACAAGCAUGUUAAUCACAUAGCUAUGUUAUAUAGUUUGUAAGCUCACAUAUCACAUAAUUUCAGUGAUUAUGGUUGUAGUUAAAUUAUUAUUUUUGAUACAUUUUUCAAAUAUCUCAUCCAUGCUUUCAAGAGACAUUUUUCACUUUGAUGGGUUUCAACAAGCUUUCAACAAGUAAUAGAAAUCAUAUUACAGUCAUCAUUUGCAUUAACCAAGUAUGUUAGCCACAUAGCUAAGUCAUAUAUCAUGUAGUUUUAAUGGUCAUGGUUAGAUUUCCUAUAUUUGAUACAUUUUUCAAAUACCUCAUCCAUGCUUUCAAGAGACAUUUUUCACUUUAUUAGUGUUCAAUAUGCAAUACUUUACAACUACCAUCUCCAUUUCCUUAGUAACAUAGUAUAUAAUCAUUUUAUGUUUCCUUUACUUAAUUUCUAGCAUAUAAGGUGUUUUCAUAGCUUAUUGUCGGUUUUGAAGGUAUUUCUUAUAUGUAUGGUUAACCUAUAGUCUUCCUCAUAGUUUAUAGAUUCAUUUUGACACACCAGUGUAUCAAUUAUCACUGUUUUCACCUAUGAUGCUAAAACAGCCCUUUGAGGCUUUAAUUUUUUUAAACAUGACUUAAUGAUCCCAAUUUAGGUUUACUGUUUAUAUUAGAUUUCAUUUAGAAUUUUUCUCCUACACUUGCUUGCAUCAUAACUCUACUCAUUUAGAGAAACAUAAUCUAUCCUUUAUAGAUAAUCUGGUUACUAAAACUAAAUUUGGAUUCAAACAUGAAUUUUACAAAACAGUCAUUAUUGUAGCUGCUAUACCACAACUGUUGUUUCCCAUUCUACUUGUUGUGGCUAUUGGUAUCAGCUAUAUGCUGCCACUAUUAGGCAGUAAGUCACAUCACUCAUGCCCAAAAAUGCUUCUAAAUUAACCUUUUCAGCUGGCUUUGCAGGCUUUGCAGCCCUUAAUUGAGCCUUACAGCUCAAUAAUCUCUGUAACACAUUUCAGUUAUUAGUCUUAUCUUAUAACUUGCUAUUCCAUUAACAUUUUCUAUGUAUGAAUGCACUGCCAACUGCUACUGCUGGUGUUGCUGUUGCUGCCAAUGGGCAGCGACUAUUAUUUUCUUACCAUAAGCUGUUUGGUCUGUUUCAAGUGCUGCAGUCACAUGUCAUCAUGCUCCAUCAACUAGAGUAAACAAAAAUGCAUGAACUUAACUUACUAACUGCAGCCCAAGAAAAACAAACUCAGCUGUCAAAAUGACAGUGCAGUCAUCUACUUGAAGUUGCCAAGGACAACAGCUAUCCGAAGCUUUUUGCUACUGUCAUUAGCAGCCUCCCUUGCUCCUUAACCCAUUCCCAACAAUCCUCUAACCUCAGUUUUGCUAUAUUUCUAGGAAUAGGCCUCAUGGCUAUAAUCUUUUAGAGUUAUAAGGUUAUCCCAGUUGGCCUAUUAAGCUUUGGCUCCUUGGUUUAGUGACUGUUUCAACAGAGUAGGCAAAGGAGUUUGUCAAGCUAGAAUUACUUAGCCUAAAAACUGAACUAUGCUAAAAAUUUCUAUGCCAAAACAUUACAGUCAUCACAUAUGUUGGGUAAAUCAGGUAAAUAGUGUACUAGUUCUACUAUUCAGUUUCUUUUUACUAAAACAGUCCUCUUAGGUCUUUUAUCAAACAGUUGGUGGGCAUGGUUAUAAGCUACUAGUUCCAUAGCCAUUUGUUUAUAUUCCAACUCAUAUUUUCCCCUUAUUACUCCACAGCCCACUUAUCUCCUUGUGCUUAAAUUAUAACAAUAUCAUAAUGGCAUAACAAUCAAUGAAAUGUUACAACAGUUUAUAUAUAGCAGCUUAACACCCACAUAGCAGUCCUCAAAUCCAUACUAGGCCUUUUAGGCUAAAUGAUCAAAACAGUCCUUAAGUUUUUAACACAAGGAUUAAUAUAACAUGUACAUACUAUGUUUUAUGGUUUAAAGACCCCAAUACCAACCAUCCUGUCUUGACACUAUAACAGCUUUAGACUAGCAAUUUGGUCAUGGUUUAUCACACCAAACCAAUAGCAAGCACUGAUAUGUAUGCCUUUCUAACACUAAAACAUUUUACCUACCAUAUUUUCAUGGUUUAAAGCAUCUAGAGGCAAGGUCCUUAAGUUUAAAAUCAAAACAGCCUCUCAUAGGCUUUUAAAGUAAUAUAAGAUAGCAUGCUUGGGCAACAUGAAAACAAGGACUGCCUACUAUGAAUAUAUUAGAAGUAAGGCAUGAUCAUCAUAAUAAACUUCUAAUAACAGUCCACAUAAUGCAAUAACAGUUCAUAUAAGGCAAUAAUAAUUUAUAUAGCAACUAAAGUCCUUCUAACAGUCAUUUAUGCUUAUUCUAGUCACCACAACAAGUAUACUGUCUUAGUCCAUUCUGUAUACUAGUUCUGGGCAUGGUAAUAUAUUUUACAAUCAUAAAUAACCAACCAUCUUGGACUCCUUUCCAGCCACACUGUUUUGCCAUUAUAGCAGUUUUAGACUAGCACCUUAGGCACAGUUCAUCACAGCAAAACAGUAGCAACAUAGCAUAGCGUAUCAGUCCAGUUAUUACAAUAACAGUUGGUAUAUCACAAGGAUGAUGCUACAGCUAUUCAAGUCUCUUUUAGGCCAUUUUGGCAAGGUUUUAGUAAUAAGUUAUCAAAGCGGUCAUUAGUGUGCAAUACAAAGAUUAUUACCUCAUGUACAUGCUAUAGAAUAUAUGUUCAUGUUUUAAGAGCCUAUAUACAAGGUUUCUUGCUGUUAGUUCAUAACAAUCCCUUAUAGGCUUCAAUUUAAUACACGGAAGCAUGAUCUGAAAAAUUUAGUUAUCAAAAUAACAUGUUUAAACAUAAACAUAUACUCGAGGUAUUCUUUUUCUUUCUAUAUAAUCAAGUAGACAUGCUAUUAGGCUCUAUUUACAGCUAGCAUACCUUGAUACCAUAACAGUCCAAUUAGAGCAAUAUUUUAGGCAUGGUCUAUUACAACAAAAUGGUAGCAAGCACUGACAUGUUUUCCUUUCUAACACAGGCACCUUUUAUUUAUCAUAUAUUCAUGAUUUAAAACAUCUAAAGGCAAAAUCUCUUUGCUUUAAGCCAACACAGCCCUCUUUAGGACCCACUUUCCAAAAAUAACCAUGGUUUACCCUUAUGUUUACAAGGAUAACAUGGAUGUGCAACAUAGAAGUUUAGACUAUCUUCUUUAUAUGGUAUUUAAGAUGCAAAAAUAUAUUUGGAUGUCAUAGAAUGCCUUACCCCAUAUAUAUCAGUCCUUAUUAAGCCUCAAAUCUAGCAUACCAGUUUCUCAGAAUAGUGGCCAAGUCUUGGUUAAUUGCUUAGAUUACAUAUAUGCUAGUAUACAAUAGUUAUACCCAAUACAUCAUGCCACAUAUAACAUAUAAGCAGUCCUUUAUUAAUAAUCAUAGCAUAACAGUCCAUUUAACAUCAUAGCAAUUCAUAUGGUAACACAGAUCAUGCUAACCGAAAUCAUAAUAUCAUUAACUUUUUAGCAGCUCCUUAGCUUGACAAAUUAUCAAACACCUAGAGUGCAGUCUAUAUACUUGCACUUAAUACAUAAUUUCUAGCCCUCUGCCCCCAGCCGUAUGGCUUAAACAAUAUCAAGCAUAAGACCACACUUAUCAGUACCAAACCCAGCAGUUCAAAUAACAUGAAAGCAGUCAGUUAUCAUAACAGCCAUACACGUUUUUGGUCAUUGACAAUUCAUUUUACUAAUUAAUUUAAUAGCCAUCCUAAUCAUUUAUCAAUUCAGUUGUUACCCGGAAUGAAUGGAAAGAUUAGAAAGGCCAGAAUUGGCUUACCUUGCUGAUUCGAAGGUAUCAAGUGGUUGAGCUGCUUAAUUCCUUUUCCCCUCUAGCCGAACUCUUCACUCUUACUCUAUAUGACCGUUGCUGCUAAUUCUUUUGGACUCAGUUAAGUGAUGAGGCUAAUUGAUUUUGGGUAAUAACCUGGCCUUUUUAUGGCUGAGCUUAGCUUCCUUACAGUUGAUCGCAUCACCUUCUACUUGCCCCCUAACAUAUAAUCUAUUACCUCUAGCAGUUAGACUGCUCUGCAGCCACCCUACAAGACCCUAGUCUCUCUGCCAUGCCUUAUCUGUUGCUAACCUGUCUACUAACUAAUAACUGACUAACUUAUAGACUAACUACUGCUAACAACAGAACAGCCUCAGCUCCUAAGUUUACCCCUGUGGGCUGUUGGAAAAAAUCCUAAGGCAAGGCUGGGCAGUGGUUUCAUUUUGGGCCUAGUCCCUUUAACCCAAAGUUUUACUUGUUAAUUUGCUAUACUCCAAUGGGUUUACAGGAUUGGGUUUUGGACAUCCAUUUCACUCUUUAACACUUGGAGCUGCCGAAUUGGGCUAGCAAAUAGACUACAUGCAACGAUCAUGGCAAAAUUAUUAAGGCCCAAUAUUUUAAUAUGGACUCUUGUUACAUUAAAACACAUGGACUAUUAUUUUCUCUAGCAACAAUAGUUAUAACAUAUAUCAUUAAAAUGACUAUUCUAUGUAAUCUUAAAUAAUUCAUGAUGGCACAUAAUUUCUUUGCCCUUUAUAACUCAAGAUGCUAAACGAACUAUUAAAUAAAUAAUAUUUUUAUCACAAUGAGAAUUAACAUAUCAUAAAAAAAAAUUUAUACUCAAAAAUUGACAUUACAAUAAUUAAAUAUUACAUAGGAUGAACUACAGGCCAAUGAGGACUUUUACCACAUCAUUCGUCACAUUACGGUCAUUAUUAUACCGAAUCAUCCCUGGUCAUAAUCAUACCAAGUCCAUCUAUGCACGUAAGCCAAAGAUGACUUUCAUCACAAUAUAAGCAUGAGGAUGAUGACAAUAAUAUAAGCAUUAAUCAAACGAAAAUAAUGAUAAAUUUUAAAGACUUUAAAUUUAUCCAAAUGUUUAUCAAUCACUUAAUAAACUCAUAAUCUAAUAUUAUUAAUAUUAUAACAAUAUUUUAAUCACUUCUUGAACUUAUAAACAAUUUAUUCUAAUUGUUUACACUUUCCCAAAUAAUACAUUUUAAUCAUUCAAAAAUACCAUACUCAUAAGAUUUCAUCACCAAUGAUCAAAUCCCUUAUCAAAAAUCUGCAUAUACCUUAUAUAGGAUUUCCAAGCCAUAAAAUCCAUUUUACCAAUUUUUCAACUUCACAUAACAUAUUUAAUUCAUAUGUUCGUAACUAAACUAUUUUCAUGAAAAAUACCAAAUCAGUCCAAAAAAUUAUUCUUUUUUGGGAUUUAGCAGAAUAUAGUCCCAUAUUGAACAUAUAUUUUUCUCAUAAUUUUUAAAAUUCAUUUACUAUUUUUCAUAUGGCCAAAACUGCCGAAUAUUUAGACAUUUAUCAUAAAUUGUACUUUUGUCCAAAAAUUCCGAAAUUUACAAGGUAUACUCCUAUUAUAUAUGUGUACUCCCAAUAAAAAUUUAACCAAUUUUGGAGUUAACCACAAGGAGUUAUAAGGGUUUACUUUUAAAAUAGUUUUUUCCCAUAAAAUUCAUAACUCCUAAUCUAUACAUCCAAAAAUUGCCAUUUUUGGACACAAUCUAGAAAUCUCAACAAACUAUCAUUUCAAAUGUUUCCAAAAUUUUUGAGGGUCAGAAAAAUUACGAAACUGCAAAUAGAUUUUCACCCGUCAUUCGGUAAUCCAGGUAGACAGAUCAUUUCCACAAUUUAAUAAGGAAUGAAUACAAAGGAUCAUUCACCAUGCAUGCGGUAAUCCACAUAGACAGGUUAUUCCAACAGAAUAAUAAAAAAUAGAAUAACAACAGAAUUCACCAGGCAUACGGUAAUCCGCGUAUACAGGUUAUUCCAAUAGAAUAAUAAAUAAUGGAACCAGGUCAUGCGUAAUCCGCAUAGACAGGAUAUUCCAACAGAAUAAUAAAGAAUGGAAUAACAACAGAAAUUCACCAAGCAUACGGUAAUCCGCGUAUACAGGUAAUUCUAACAGAAUAAUAAAGAAUGGAAUAACAAUAGAAUUCACCAGGCAUACGAUAAUCCGCGUAUACAGGUUAUUCCAACAGAAUAAUAAAGAAUGGAAUAAUAGAAAAUUUUCACCACGUAUGCGGUACUUCGCAUAGACAGGUUACUCCAAUAUAAUAAUAAAGAAUGAAAUAACAAAAGAAUUUCACCAUGUAUGCGAUACUUCGCAUAAACAGGUUAUUCCAACAUAAUAAUAAAGAAUGGAAUAACAACAGCUCUCUUCAUGAAUACGAAAGAAAUAAUAAUACCCCUUACCUUAGAAGAAACUGGAUACUGGAAUAGUGAGGUAGCAGGCUUCUCUUCUUCUUUCUCUCUAUAAUUUCUCUCUAUAAUAAUUGCUCUAUAGCUUUAGUGAAUUGGUGAGAAAUGAAGGAAGAAUGAGCUUCUGUUUAUAGGAAAACAUAGUUUCAAUAAUUGCACAUUUUGGGGCUCGAAAUAUUACAUUAUAAUACCUUCCUCUUUUUCUUUAUUUUUAAUUUAGCCCUGCAAGUAUUAUCAAACUUGCACCACCUCCUCUAAUAGUAAAUCAUGUGAAUUAAUAGUAAAUCAUGUGAAUCAAUAGUUCUAGACAUGUGAAAAUACGAAUUACAGUAUAGUACCUCCAUCUAUACCUCUAUUUUUAACUUAGUCAUGCAAGUAUUAUCAAUCUUGCACCAACUCCCCUAAUAGUACCAUAAUGUGAAUCAAUAGUACACACAUGUGAACAAAUAGUUAUAAUCAUAUGAAUUAAUAGCAAUUAAAAGCUCAUUUAUCCGGAUAAUUACCCGAUUGGUCAAUAUAACCUCCAGACAUCAAUUAUCAUCGAAAUAAAUGUCGAUUCCCACUAACACUAAUAAUUCCAACACAAUGGAACUAUCAAUUUCAUCUUUAAUCAACACAAAUUUAUUCAUCAUUAAUAUUAUAACUCAUAAUAUUUAACAACAAGAUCGUUCCCAGGAAAGAGGGGGCCUUCCGGUAAGGAUUUCUCCUCACUGGUGCGCAAUUACCUAACCUCUCCUUGACAGAACUUCUAGACAUUGUCAAUAUUGCAAUUUAAUAAUAUUAAUAAGUUUACCAUCUUAAUUAUUUAUUUAAUAAUAUAACAUAUUAUGCAGAUGAUACUGUGACAAUAAUUGAAUCAAUAAUAUGAGAGAUAUGAUGUAAUAAUUACUGUAGCAAUAAUUGAGUAUAACUGAGUGACUUCUUACGUAAGCAUUAAUAAUCAAUACCGUGUGCUACUCAAUUCGUCAGCUACCACGUUCGCUCUUUCAUGAUGAUAUUGAAUGGUACGAUCGUAAUCUUCUACAGCUCAAGCCAACGUCUUUGGCACAUUAUACGAUUAUUUUAGGUAAAGAAAUAUUUGAGGGUUUUAGAAAUGAGUUUUGUACUUGGGUCAAUACAAAAUAUGAUUUCACGCUCUGGGGUAGGCAAGGAAGUUCUUCGAGAAUACGUCAGAAUAUUUAUUAACAAUAGAAAUAUCAUUUAAAAACUGUGACUCUCAUCCAAGACUUGGACAACACAUGAAAUGAAGGUUUCUACUAACGAAGUUUCAACCAAUAAGUCAAAGUCUAACUUCUCUGGGGUCAAAUUUAAAUGUUGAGCGCAAGCAAGAGAGAUAAAAGAAUGGGUAGAACCGGUAUCUAAUAAGGUAUAGACUUCGCAAAAAUUUAUAAUUAACUAACCCGUGCUAACUUCGUUCGGGUUACUCGCUUUUUGAGAAGUCAUGAAAAACGCUCUUCCUGAAACCACCGACUUUGUUUUGUCCAUAUCCGCCUUUGGUGCCACCGUCCCAGCUGGACUUGACUUUGGUGCACGACAAAAUCGGGCUAAGUGUCCUUUUCCAUAAUUAUAACAUGUUUUGGACUGCAUCACGCAGUUUGGACUGAUAUGUCCCUCCCCUCCGCAUUUGAAGCAUACAAUUGGUGGUCGUUCUCCUUCCUUGAAAACGGGUGUUGGUGCUGCUGUCUUUGCAUCUUUGUUGAACCUUCUCUUCUUGAAAUUUCCACUCCUAUUAUCUUGGUCAUGAUUACCACCGAAGUGGUUACCAUUCUUGGUGUAAGACCCCAACUUUUAUGAAUAAAAAAUGAAUUUUCUAUAAAUAUCAUUUUUGAAUAUUAUGGAGUAAAUUUGAUAUAAUGUUAUAGUUGUGGGUAAUAUUUAUAAAUUUUGAAAAGUACGCAAGUUGUUAUAUAAUAUUCGUUUGGUCGGAAAAUAUUCUUUUUGUCGGGAAUAUCCGUACGACGACACAAUCAUUGGUGGACCCCCACAACGGAAGUAUUGUCGUAGUAAGAAAACGACAGAAUUAUCUUUUUAUAAAAAUAACGGCUAAAGUUUUACCGUUAAAACUGUUGAACUACUCGGUAGUAAAAGUACAGUAAUACGUGUGGUUGCAUAGUAGCACACGAUAUUGAUUAUUAAUACUUACGUGAGAAGUCACUCAGUUAUACUCAAUUAUUGCUAUAGUAAUUGUUGCAUCAUAUCUCUCAUAUUAUUGAUUCAUUUAUUGUCACAGUAUUAUCUGCAUAAUAUGUUAUAUUAUUAAAUCAAUAAUUGAGACGACAAAGUUAUUAAUAUUAUUAAAUUGCAAUAUUGACAAUGUCUAGAAGUUCUGUCAAGGAGAGGUUAGGUAAUUGCGCGCCAAUGAGGAGAAAUCCUUACCGGAAGGCCCCCUCUUUCCUGGGAACGAUCUUGUUGUUAAAUAUUAUGAGUUAUAAUAUUAAUGAUGAAUAAGUUUUGUUGAUUAAAGAUGAAAUUGAUAGUUCCAUUGUGUUGGGAUUAUUAGCGUUAGUGGAAAUCGACAUUUAUUUUGAUGAUAGUUGAUGUCUGGGGGUUAUAUUGAUAAAUCGGGUAAUUUAUCGGAUAAAUGAGCAAUUAAUUGCUACUAAUUCACAUGUUUAUAUAACUAUUUGUUCACAUGUGUGUACUAUUGAUUCACAUUCUGGUACUAUUAGGGGAGUUGGUGCAAGAUUGAUAAUACUUGCAUGACUAAGUUAAAAAUUGAGGUAUAGAUGGAUGUACUAUACUGUAAUUCGUAUUUUCACAUAUCUAGAACUAUUGAGUCACAUGAUUUACUAUUAAUUCACAUGAUUUACUAUUAGGGGAGUUGGUGCAAGAUUGAUAAUACUUGCAGGACUAAAUUAAAGAUAAAGAAAAAGAGGAAGGUAUUAUACUGUAAUAUUUUGAGCCCCAAAACGUGCAAUUAUCAAAACUAUAUUUUCCUAUAAAUAGAAGCUCAUUCCUUCAUUAUUUUUCACUAAUUCACUAAAGCUAUAGAGCAUUUAUUAUAGAGAGAAAUUAUAGAGAGAAAGAAGAAGAAAAGUCUACACUUCACUACUCCAGUAUCCAAUCUUCUUUGAGGUAAGGGGUAUUAUUCUUUCGUAUUCAUGAAGAGAGUUAUUUUUUUUCAAUACUCGUUAUUCCAUUCCUUAUUAUUAUGUUGGAAUAACAUGUCUAUGCGAAGUACCGCAUACAUGGUGAAAUUCUUCUAUUAUUCCAUUCUUUAAUAUUCUGUUGAAAUAUCUUGUUUGUGCGUUUUACGCAAGACCUGGUUCCAUUAUAUAUUAUUCUGUCAGAAUAUCUUGUCUGUGCUUUACGCAUGACCUGGUUCCAUUAUUUAUUAUUCAGUUUGAAUAACAUGUAUACGCGGAUUACCGUAUACCUGGUGAAUUUUGUUGUUAUUACAUUCUUUAUUAUACUCAGUUGGUUAAAGUUUUGGCUUUUAUACUCUAUGAAAUUAGUGGAAUAUCCUUGAUAUUUGCGCUUCAUCCAAUAUCUUUUCAUGGAAAUAUUCUUCUGAGCAUUCUUGAAUUUUACAUCACAAAGCAGUAUCAUGUUGACAUUUUGGACGUUAUUGGUUCCUGGAUAAAUUAAUUCUUGAACUUGUUUUAUUGAAUUCUUAUAUCAUUAUCAUCAUCCUCAUGUUUAUAUUCUGUUGAGAGUCAUCUGUGGCCUGUAGUGCAUAGAUGGACUUGGUAUGAUUAUGACCAGGGAUUAUUCGGUAUAAUCAUGACUGUAAUAUUACAAAUAAUAUGGUAAAAGUCCUCAUUGGCCGUAGUGCAUUGUUGGACAAUUGUUGGUAUGAUCAUGACCAUUGAUGAAUACACGAAUAUCCUUGGUCGUAGUGCAGGGAUGAUGUUGAUUAUUUAUUAACCUGAGUCUCAGCGAUGAAAAUGAUGAAAAACCUUUUUAAAUCAUAGAAGAUAAUAGAUUUUAUGCUCUAUUUGACUCUUUUAAUGGAUUGCUUAUUUUCGCUGCAGUUUUUGAUCUAAAACUUGUUGUUUAUUAUAUUCUAUCAGUUGUUAUACUGUUGAAGGCUAAGGAUAAUUUAUUCUGCAUUAACUUAGUCAUAAUAUUUCUUACUGGGCUUGUUGAGCUCACCCUUUUCUUUCAUGGUUCUCUUCAGGAAAUGAGAACGUAGCUGAGACUAGUCAGGGAACAGAGUGACGGCCCAGAUGUUUGCAUUAAUUGUCCUCACUAUUCUGUGAAAUAGUGUGAUAAUAAAUGUAAUGAGGACUCCAUUGAGUGUGGAUAUUGUCUAGAUGACAAUAUUCUUCUUAAAACUCUUAGAUUAUGUUUUGUCGUAUUUUACACGACUGUUGUAUAAUUAAGUUGUAUUUGAAUUUUGUACCAUAUAUCCGGCGACUCAAGAUGGGUGAUGUAUACCUAUUUUGAGGGCAUCAUAGUUGGUAUCAAAGCUUAGGGAUAUGAUCCCUGGUUGAGAUGUGAGAUAAGAACUAGGAGGGGAGAGACGGGGAAUUCCUUUGUUAGUAUAACCUACCUAAGUUUAUUUGGUAUUUAAUUGGUCGGUCACAAUAUAUGGAUAAUAUGUGACAUGUCAAUUAACCCUUGUUUUGUGACAGUAUUUGAAAAUGGCAUCCGAAAAUGUUGAGAAUAGCAAUGGAGCACAGGAGACCGUUGAGUCACCAUAGAUUAAUACCCAGGAUAAUGUGUAACAGGAAGAAAAUAAUCCUCAGGUAAACAAUAACACCGAUGAAAUGGGGAACGAUGGGAUGUUCAGAGGCUUUAUGCAAUUCAUGCAACAUCAGGCGAGGGCGGCUCCUGUCCAAAAUGCAGGUGGAAACACUGACAACUCUCGGACGGUCACCGCUAAGCAGUUCAAGGAGCUGGGACCACCGGAGUUUUUUGGAGAGCCAAAACCACUUAAGACAGAGACGUGGAUAAAGAAGAUCAACAGGAUAUUUGAUGUCUUGGGAUGCUCCGAGGAACAAAAGGUUCCUUUUGUCACCUUCAUGUUGCGAGCAGAGGCAGAUUACUGGUGGGAAUCCGUAAAGCGUACUCAACUUGCCGCACUGAAAAUGUCUUGGGAGAAGUUCCAAGAACUGUUCAACGAAAAGUACUUUCCCGAAAGUAUUCGUCAAAUGAAAGAGGUAGAGUUCAUCAAGCUUGAGCAAAAAAAUAUGACUGUGGCGCAGUACAAAGCUAAGUUUGUCGAGUUAUCUCGGUUUGCGUCCCACUUGAUUGAUAAUAAGGAGAGAAUGACGCGGAUGUUUUCAAAGAGGUUUGAAACCCGAGAUACGUCAAUACCUAAUUUCUCACAAACCGUGUUUGUAUUCAGAUGUUGUGAAUAGGGCUCAGUUAUUGGAGCGCGAUAAUGAAUCAACCCAACCAAGAGAGAGCAGCCGACAAGUCGAUAAUACCAGUGGUAGCAGUCAUCGAAGCGGUGACAACAAGCGUGGAGGGAAUCAACAUGCCAAAAAUGGUAAUCACUUCGGUGGUAAUCAUGGCCAUGACAAUAAGAGUGGACAUUUCAAGAAGACGAGAUUCAACAAUGAUGGAAAGACGUCAGCACCAGCACCUGUUGUUAAGGAAGGAGAACAAUCGCCGGUCGUAUAUUAUAAAUGCGGAGGGGAGGGACAUAUCAGUCCAAACUGCGUGAUGCAGUCCAAAGCAUGUUACAAUUGUGGAAGAGAAGGUCACCUAGGCUGAUUUUUUCGUGCACCAAAGUCAAGUCCAGCUGGGAUGGAGGCAUCAAAGGCCGUCCCAGACAAGACAAAACCGGUAGUUCAACGGAGAGCGUUUGUCGUAACCUCCCAAAAAGUGAGGAAUCCGAAUGAGGUGAUCACGGGUAAGCUAAUCAUAAACUCUAGCAAAGUCUAUACCUUAUUUGAUACCGGCUCUACCCAUUCUUUUAUUUCUCCUAUUUGCGCUCAACGUUUAAAUUUGACUCCGAAGAAGUUAGACUUUGACUUAUCGGUUAAAACUCCAUUGGGAGAAACCUUCAUUACAUCCACUAUUUAUAAGUCUUGUUUGAUUCAAAUCGGUAACCGUACAUUACCUGUCGAUCUUUUUUCUUUGAAAAUACUUGCAUUUGAUGUGAUUUUAGAGAUUAAUUGGUUAACUACUCAUCAUGCUAAAAUCGAUUGUUUUCGUAAGGUUGUUAGCUUUCAUAUUCCUAACCAACCUAUUAUGCGAAUUCAAGCAACCAAACAACUAAAAUCAAUCACUAUCAUAUCAAGCCAUAAAGCUAUUCAUUUAUUAAAAAAUGGAUGUCAAGCUUUCUUAGCCCAUGUCACGGAUUUAAAUAAAAAUACGUCAGAUUUGAAUGAUAUUUCUAUUGUUCAUAAAUUUCCUGACGUAUUCCUUGAAGAAAUUCCUGGCCUACCCCUAGAGUGUGAAAUUGAAUUUUGUAUCGACCUUGAAUGUGGUACAAAACCCAUUUCCAAAGCCCCAUAUCGAAUGGCUCCUAUUGAACUUCAGGAGUUAAAAACCUAACUACAGGAAUUAUUAGACAUCAGUUUCAUUCGUCCUAGUACAUCUCCUUGGGGUGCUCCUGUUCUAUUCGUGAAGAAGAAAGAUGGAAGUAUGCAACUUUGUAUUGAUUAUCGGGAGUUGAAUCAUGUCACCAUCAAAAAUAGGUACCCGUUGCCUCGCAUUAAUGACCUGUUUGACCAGUUGCAAGGAGCUAAAUUCUUUUCAAAGAUUGAUCUUCGUUCCGGAUAUCAUCAGUUGAAGAUUAAAACUGAUGACAUUCCAAAGACUGAUUUCAGAACUCGGUAAGGGCAUUAUGAAUUUCUAGUCAUGUCUUUUGGAUUGACUAAUGCUCCUGCUGCCUUCAUGGACAUGAUGAACCGAGUAUUCAAGGAAUAUUUGGAUCACUUUGUGGUCGUCUUUAUUGAUGACAUCCUCAUAUACUCCAAAAGCCGUGAAGACCAUGAUCAACACUUGAGGCUGAUACUUCAAAAACUUCGUGAGAACAAGCUUUAUGCCUAGUUAAAGAAAUGUGAGUUCUGGCUUGAGGAAGUUGCAUUCCUUGGGCACGUGAUAUCAAAUCAUGGAAUAUCUGUUGAACCAGCAAAGAUUGAAGGAAUCCAAAGCUAGGAGCAACCAAAGUCAGUGACUGAAAUACGUAGCUUUCUUGGCUUAGUUGGUUAUUAUCGGAGAUUCGUGGAAGGAUUUUCUCGAAUCGCUACUCCAUUAACUCAGCUGACUCGAAAAGAUACAAAGUUCAGUUGGAGCGAGAAAUGUGAGAAGAGUUUUCAAGAACUCAAGAGAAGACUCAUUUCAGCACAUGUUCUGACAAUACCAUCUGGCUCGGAGGGAUUUGUCAUCUACAGUGAUGCUUCAGGCAAAGGGGUUAGGAUGUGUUCUCAUGCAACAUGGAAAAGUCAUAGCCUAUGCCUCACGACAACUCAAAGAAUAUGAGAGGAAUUAUCCUACUCAUGAUCUAAAGUUGGCAGCAGUCGUUUUUGCGCUUAAGAUUUGGAGGCAUUACCUGUAUGGAGAGAAGGUGGAGAUCUAUACGGAUCAUAAAAGCCUCAAAUAUUUCUUCACUCAAAAGGAACUCAACAUGCGGCAAUGACGAUGGCUUGAGCUGUUAAAAGAUUAUGAUCAUACCAUCCAAUACCAUCCUGGAAAAGCGAACGUAGUAGCUGACGCAUUGAGUAGAAGAUCAUAUGCGGGUACGAGUGCAAUAUUGUCAACGCUAAGACCCAUUUUGUAUGACUAACGAAGGAUGGAGAUAGAGUUAAAAACUCCAGGGACCCAUGUGAUAAUGACGGAUAUACGAGUAGAACCGACUUUAAUCAAUAAAGUUAAAGCUGCUCAAGCUACAGACCUGGAGCUGAUGCAUAUGAGGAAGAAAGUGCAAGAAGGUGCUAUUCCAGAAGCAAGAAUCGAUGAAGAAAGAAUACUUCGAGUCAACUCCAGACUUUGUGUUCCUAACGAUUUUGACUUGAAGUAUAAAAUCAUGAUGGAGGCAAACAACACACCGUUUGCAAUCCAUCACGGGAGUACCAAAAUGUAUCGUGAUCUUCGACAUACAUUUUGGUGGAGCAAUAUGAAGAGAGAGAUAGCGGGGUUUAUCUCAAGGUGUCUAACUUUUCAACGAGUCAAGGCGGAGCAUCAAGUGCCAAAAGGUCCAUUGCAACCACUUGAAAUUCCAGAAUGGAAGUGGGAGCACAUUACCAUGGAUUUCGUUACUGGUCUUCCCAAGGUUUCCCAAGGCGUAGAUGCGAUUUCGGUCAUUGUUGAUAGAUUGACCAAGUCUACUCAUUUCUUACCGAUACGAGAAACUUAUACACUUGAACGUCUUGCUAGUAUGUACAUAAAUGAGAUUGUAAGAUUGCAUGGCAUGCCAGUAUCCAUAGUUUCUGAUCGAGACCCAAGAUUCACUUCAAGAUUUUGGGUUAGUGUGACGCCCCCAAAAUAGGUCCACACGAACCAUUCUGAGUCGCCAGAUAUCACACUAUAAAAAUCAAAUACAAACUUUAUUUAUACAACUGUUGAACUGUCGUGCAGAGUACGACAACAGUUAACUGUGAGUUUUAAUACAAAUAUUGUCAUCGUAGACAGUAUCCAAACUCAAAUUGUUACAAUGCCAUAUAAAAUACAGCAGCAAAUAUUUUAAGACCCCAAAGAAGAACGAGAAGAUUACUAUCAUAUUCAUUCUAAUGAGGUGCACUUUUGACGCUUUCAAAGUCGGGUUCUCAUCACCCUUAUUGUUGUUCACCAACAUCAAUUAUUAAGUGACGUAUAAAAUACAACACACACAUCUUAGGUCUUUAAUACAAUUAUCGGUUGCAUAUCAUGCCGUUUUAUAAUGUAUUGAGAAAUUUCGACAGUCUCGGACCAUCACACUAUUUUCCUGUUAUCCCCGCUCGACCCAGCUACACUCUUAUUACCUAAAAGGAAUUGUGAAGCAAAAGGGUGAGCACAAUUAGCCCAGUAAGGAAUAUCAUGGCUAAGAUAAUUAAUUUAUCAACAGCCUUUAUCAGAAUAAAUCAGAGAUUUAGAACAUAUGGUAGAUAAUAAAACGUUUCAACCAUAGUUGCAGCGGAACGAGUAAUCCAUUAGAUGAGUCAAGUAGAACAUAAUGUCUACUAUCUCCUCUAGAUUAAAAGUCCAUCGUUGAUAUUUUAUUCCUGUAAUACUCAUCAACAGUUCUUUGUUAUACUUAAGACAAAUAAAACUUUCAACACUUGUCUUCACCUGAACCACCAAAGAUGUUAGUUAAAUUCACAAUUCAUAUUUAUAAUAAUGUGAAUUAACAGUUCCUUCUUUCCACCAAGACUUAAUAGAAUGUUUACUCAAUAUCUUUACCCCAAAGGCUGAAGGUAUUCAAAUGUAAUAACAAUGAUCAUACCAAUCAGUUGUCUAUCUUUGCAUUACGGGCCAAAGAUAUUCAACUAUAGAACCAAUGGUCAUGAUCAUACCAAUCACAUCAUUGAAUUAUCCAUGCACUACGGCCAAGGAUAUUCGUUAGUAUCACUAGUGGUCAUGAUCAUGUCAUACACCUGUCCAUCUUCACACUACGGGUCAAAGCUAUCAAAUAACAGAUCAUCUUUGCACUACAGGCCAAAAAUAUUCAACAACAUAUCGUCUUUGCACUACAGGUCAAAGACAUACUACUGUAAAACCAAUAACCAACAAUAUAAUAAAGAAUGGAAUAAUAAAAGAAUUUCACCAUGCGUGCGUAAUCCGCACAGAAAGGUUAUUCCAACAUAAUAAUAAAGAAUGGAACCAGGUCAUGCGUAAAUGCACAGACAGGAUAUUCCAACAGAAUAAUAAAGAAUUGAAUAACAACAGACUUCACCAAGUAUACGGUAAUCCGCGUAUACAGGUUAUUCCAACAGAAUAAUAAAGAAUUGAAUAACAACAGACUUCACCAGGUAUACGGUAAUCCACGUAUACAGGUUAUUCCAACAGAAUAAUAAAGAAUUGAAUAACAACAGACUUCACCAGGUAUAUGGUAAUCCGCGUAUACAGGUUAUUCCAACAGAAUAAUCAAGAAUGGAAUAACAACAGACAUCACCAGGUAUACGGUAAUUCGCGUAUACAGGUUAUUCCAACAGAAUAAUAAAUGGAACCAGGUCAGGAGAAAUUCGCACCGACAGGAUAUUCCGACAGAAUAAUAAAGAAUAAAAUAAUAGAAGAAUUUCACCAUGUAUGCGGUACUUCGCAUAAACAGGUUAUUCCAACAUAAUAAUAAAUAAUGUAAUACAUAAGGAUUUCACCAAGUAAAGGGUAUGACGCUUAUACAGUUUAUGUAUAGGGUAUGCCUCAUAUACAGGUUAUUCCAACAGAAUAAUAAAGAAUGGAAUAACAGAAGUUCUCUUCAUGAAUAAGAAAGAAUAACACCCCUUACUAUAAUAAUAUUAUCCCUUACCGUAAAAAAACUGAAAAUAGAGGUAGUGAAGUAGCAGAAUAGUCUUCUUCUUUCUUUCUAUAAUUUCUCUCUCUAGAGUUUCAGUGAAUUCGUAAGAAAAUAAUGAAGGAAUGAGCUUCUAUUUAUAGAAGAAUGGAUUGCAUAGUAACUAACUCAUGAACGGUCCAAAUUGAUUUACUUUAAUCUGACGGUCCAUAUUUAAAGCAAAAUCUUUUAAAUAAAAUAUAAUAUAUUCUAUUUAUAAUCUAAUAAAAUAAAUAACUUUAUGUAAAUACUAUGCAGGCACUAUGCAAAUACUAUGCAUAAUAAAAUAUAAUAUAAUCUAAUUAUUGUCUAAUAAAACGAAUAACUUUAGAAAAGUAUUAUGUUUUAUAUAAAAAGAUUUUACUAUUAGUCUAAUAAAAUGAAUAACUUUAUAAAAGUAUUCUGUUUUAUAUAAAAAGUUUUUCUGUUUUAUUACGUUAAUAAUACGAAUAAAACAAAACUUCAUCAUCGCUUACUUUGAAAAUUUUUCAAAUGUCACCCUUAACUUUAAACUUUUAUCAAUUUAAUCAUUUACCAAAAUAGAAAAAUUGAAUACUUUUAUUUCAUAAAAUUCGGGGUCUCACAGUUAGUUUGCAAAAAGCUAUGGGCACGGAUUUACGAUUUAGUUCGGCAUAUCAUCCUCAAACGGAUGGGCAGUCGGAAAGGACUAUUCAAACUCUUGAGGAUUUAUUAAGAUUAUGUGUCCUUGACUUCAAGGGAAGUUGGGACAAGUUCUUACCAUUGGUGGAGUUUUCCUACAACAAUAGUUAUCAAGCAAGUAUUGGCAUGACUCCAUUUGAAGCGUUGUAUGGAAGAAAGUGUCGUUCUCCAGUAUGCUGGGAUGAGGUGGGUGAAGCAACGUUGUUGGGACUGGAGUUGGUACGUAUGACUACGAAAAAGAUUCAAACGAUCCGACAACGUAUAAAAACCUCACAAGAUNNNNNNNNNNNNNNNNNNNNNNNNNNNNNNNNNNNNNNNNNNNNNNNNNNNNNNNNNNNNNNNNNNNNNNNNNNNNNNNNNNNNNNNNNNNNNNNNNNNNUAUAUAUAUAUAUAUAUAUAUAUAUAUAUAUAUAUAUAUAUAUAUAUAUAUAUUGUCCAAAAUUAAUUUUUAGUUUUUGAGAUGGCAUGUAACCAUCACAUAUAUAUUUCUCCUUAAUGUGAUUGCAUUUAAGCCAUAACAAAGAAAAAAGUUUAAAAUAAUCUUUGGUGACAGCCAAGACCAUCACGAAAAGAAAACCACAUGUGAUGGACCUUUAUGAUUACAUUUAAAGUAAUCUCAACAAAUGGUAUUAUAUGAUGGACUUUUUCAACAAUCACAAAAUAAUAAUAUACAUGACGGCUCCUAGUAGUGGUUAUUUUUUCCAUCACCAUAAACUAUUUGUGACGGACAAGACAAUCACUAAAAAACAAGCAUAUAUGAACAACAAAUAUAUUAGGCGAGGAAUUUACUAGCAAUCACAAAAUAGUAGUAUAUAUGGUAGAUGUUACUCAAUGUCUAAUUGUGCCAUUAUUAUUAAAUAUUUAAGACAAUCAUUACAAUCACUAAAUUUUUCGCGUAAAUUGUACAUCUCUUUUUUAAGUCCCCAUUAAUCUUUAUUUUGCUUUGUUCUCUUUGUAAACUCAUUGUUUUUAUUGUGAAUUCAAAGGAUUUAGAGUUUAUCUCGUUUUUAUAUAACUAACUAUUUACGUUUGUUCUCUUUGUCUCGGUUGGUAUAUAUCUACUUCUUUCUAUGCAAGAAGUCUAGAGUCCAAAUCUCCACCCAAAAAAGAAACAGUGCAAAUGAUGGAGCAAAAUUCUUGCUGUUGGGGAAGAGCAGAUGGACUAAUUGAUGUAACCUUCAAAUUGGUGGGAAGAAAUCUGAAAUGGAAGGAGCAGUAAGCAGGAUUUUUUUUUUUACUAAAUUUAAAUUGUAUUAAAGGAGAAAGAAUGUACAAAAAUCAUGGGAAAACCCAAUCAGAAUAUAGUAUAUACAUCACCUCAAUCAGAAUAUAACAUAGACAUCAUAGGACAUGCCAUAUGAUGUCAUGACUAAAAAAGAAAAUAAGGCCAGAUGCCCAAACAAAAGAGAAACAAUCUCAACAUUCAUGAGAAUACAAUGCAUAGAAAUCAGACACAAAACCAAGAAAAACCUCAUCCAAAGUAGCAGCAGCCCACAAUAGCAGCAAAAGAAAAAUCAGUCCAAAGACCAAAAGGCAUCAUCCAUAACAGAACCGAAAGAGCCUACUGCAGACUAGCAGCACAAUAGAGCACAAGGCCCAACAAGAGAAGCCAACAACAGUUUAGCAAAGCAAAACAGCAGACAGGACAUGGAAAGCAAGAGCAACAAACCCCAAGAGCCCAAUGGCAGCCAUAGAAGUGCAGCAGCUGCAGCCGACAUCAAAUAAAACAGCAGUAAACGAUAGCAGCCAUAAGUACAGCACCACCCCCCAAAUCUGCAGCAUCAAGACAUAGAAAUAGUCACAAUACUGCAGACCAAAACACGCAAACAAUGCAGCAUAAGCAACAAACAGAGCAGCAAAUAGGUCUAUUUUCCUGCUUGUUUUCAAGGUUGUGUAGUAUUUAUUGUCAUUUUAGUAUUUUACAUAUAUGUCCAUUAUGGGUAAAAUAAGUUGUUUGGCAUGGGCAAUGAUGCCAGUGAAGGUUUUCUUUCUUCAGUGCUUGAUGGAAGCUCUCGAGCUGUAGUCACUACAAAGAUGAGGAGAUGCUGAAACCAUUUUCGAGCACAGUGAGAUAUAAUAGUUACAUAUAUGAAUAUGCCAUCUCAGAUGAUCAUGUUGGUGUAACACAGAAGCAUGUCUUCCAUGUGCUGGUACCAUUUCUCCUUCCUUUUCUGACAGUAGGCCUAUGAUUUCUUCUGGGAGUGCUGAGAAAGAGACUGCUAGACUAGAAUAUUGUAUACGGCACUAGAAAUAGGGCAGUCUUUCUGUAAACUGCAGAGCUAUGGUUCCUUGGAAUGAUCAUUGCUUUACAACGCAUUGAGUUUUUUUUUUCUACAUUUCUUUUUCCUGGAAAAGCCUAUUUGAGGGAGGAAAUAGGAGAAGUAGAAAUUUGUUGUGGGUAGAGAUGUUUUGGAUUUGUCCUUGGUUUCAGUAAUUAAACAUCUGCCAUUUUUAUUUGCGAUUAUAUCCGGAGGAAGCUUUUAUAUACUAGAUUCAUAAAUCAAGAAGUUCAAUAUAGGGAGCACCAGCUGCAACAGCAGCAGAGCAUGAGCAGCAACAUUAAUGUAGGUGGAAGCAUUGAAAGGACGUUCUAUUUGUUCAUGCCAUUUAAUCAUGGCAAUCAUUCUAUUUAUUCAUGGUAAUCAUUUUAUUUGUAUAUGCUUGUUCUUAUAUAGCUUAUAUUGACAGAAAAUUUAAAUGGAAGCUAUGAGAACCACAUUUUAUCAAGUCUUUCAGGUGGGUUAGCCUCUGCAUAGCUCUUACUAUUUCUUGCAGCUCGAGGAGCUAAAGCUUCCUAAAGUAUAGAAAUCACAAAACCAAGCAAAUAAGUUUAAAAAAAAAAAAGAACUAAAGAUAGAGUCGCAUGUCUUUCAAAUAUGUUUCAAAAAAAAAACACAUUCUCUAAAACACUGGUAACAGAGCUUCUCUAAAACUGAAUUUCAUGUCCAAGUUCAUGUUAUCAACUUAUAGUCUUAUAUGUAAUCAACAUAACUCAAACGACUUCCUCUUUUUCUAAUAAUUAAUAACAGGGAAAAAAUUUAAAAAUAUGGGUGAAUUGGAGAAAUAUAUCUUACAAUAACAAAGAAAAAGGGAAUCCUAGUCCAGAAACUUGUGCGCGCUCUCACGAAAGAUGUCUCAUGAGUAAGCCUGAAUCUUGACGGAUCUGCAUGUUCAUUGUAGGAGAAAUUUAACAUAAAGAGAUAGCCUCAUGUACACAAAUAUUAAAAUGAAUACUAAAUUCAAACUACAGAAUGAUAAAUAGUCAUUUCUUGAUCGUGCAGCGACAUAACAAUGGAAAACUCGGUCCUGAGAGGCAGUUUCCUGCUCCCAGACCUUCCAGCCACGAAUCUGUACAAGUUAAAAACUUAUUAGCAUUAUAUGUAGAAUCAAUCAGGUGAUAAUAUGAAGAGUGAUAGUGUUUUAUAGAAAAUGAAAAUAUUCGAAAAUUGUUUCGAACAUAUAUUAAAAUAAAUUAUUGUCCUUUUAUUUUAUUAAAUAAAAUAUUAAAAAAAUCAUUGUCUUCUUUAAUGCAGUUUAUAAAGAAACACGGGAAAAUGAAUAUAGGCCAAGUUAGUGAUAAAAGAAAGUGAAUGACAGACUUGGCAGGAACUCUAUUACUGUAGAAAAAUAAAGCAACAAUUGAAAGGAUUCUUAUUUCGAUAAUGAAAGGAAAUAAUAAUCGACUGAUAAUUAUCUGGAACAUGCCAACUACUAUAUAUAUAGGAAAACAUAACUAAAAAACUCAGCUACGUAGGCCUAAAUAUCAUCAUCUUCUUCUUCUUCUUCGAAAUAUUCAUCAUCAUUAAAAUAUUCAUUAUCAUCUUCAUCUUCAUCACUACAUUCUCUAUCUUCAUUUUCUGCUUCCGCUAAUGAUGGAUCCACUUCCGCCCACAUUAGGAUUACUCGUCAAUGGUUGAUCAAAUUUGAUAGAUUCGCCUUCUGAAACAAGAAGUUCUGGCCCUGGAGGGAUAAUAUCAACCACUUGACGUCCAUCCGAUGCAUCCGUUAUGGUUAUUUCGUAACCCCCCUUUUCUUUUCGUAUUAUUUUGCCUACUAUACCUGCUGCUGUAGCAUUAUAAACCGUAUUGUUACUCUUGCUCCCGUCGGGAUAAAUCUGACCCCUUCCCCUGUUUCCGCCUACGUAUAUAGGAUAUUUUAAGAAGUGAACAUCUUUCUUAGUAGCGGGGUCCGGGGAAAGAAUAGGAAAGGUGAUUUCACUAUAUUUUUGACCAGGAACAGGGCCUAUCACAAGAAUAUUUUUUUUAGUGGGGCGAUAGCUCUGAAAAGAAAGAUUGCCUAUCCUUUCUUUCAUCUCGGGAGAAAUCCGAUCAACAGGAGCUAAUUCAAAACCCUCCGGUAAAAUAAGAACAGCCCCUACAUUCAAAGCCCCCUUUUUACCAUUAGCAAGAACUUGUUUUAGUUGCAUAUCAUAAGGGAUUCGAACAACUGCUUCAAAUACAGUAUCAGGAAGUACGGCUUGUGGAACUUCAAUAUCCACGGGCUUAUUAGCUAAAUGGCAAUUGGCACAUACAAUACGCCCAGUCGCUUCUCGUGGAUUUUCAUAACCCUGCUGUGCAAAAAUGGGAUAUGCACUUGAAAUGGAUGUCCGAGUUAUGAUAUAUAUCAUGAGCGAUGCGGAAAUGGAUCGAGUAAUCUGUUCCUUUAUCCAAGAAAAAGUCUUUCUAGUUUGCAUGGUCCAACCAUUGAUCCCGAAAAUUUCUACAAUAAAUUGGGUAGGUCGCUAAUAUAGUUCCCUAUCCGCGAUUCUGCUAUUUACUGGAAUAAUAUAUNNNNNNNNNNNNNNNNNNNNNNNNNNNNNNNNNNNNNNNNNNNNNNNNNNNNNNNNNNNNNNNNNNNNNNNNNNNNNNNNNNNNNNNNNNNNNNNNNNNNGAGAAUCAUCAAGCAAUAUCAAAUUCUGAGUUUGCUCCUCAAUAUUAUAUAAGUCAAAAUCAUGAAACUCUUCCUCUUGAUAUGUCUCUUCAUUACUAUUUUCGGCAACAUCAUAUGUGUUUCUUGCUUUUGUUGUGAUUACAGUAGACCAACCUUUAGCUUUAGUCGACACUGGAUUAGCAUAGAACACUUGUACAACUUGUGAUGCAAUAACAAAUGGCUCAUACGGCUUGUGCCUUGAAUUUGUAUCAAUUGUAGUUAUCCCGUACUUGUUAAUAACUACCCUUUUUUCAGAAUCAUACCAUUCACAUUGGAACAAAAAUACUGAAUUCUCUUCUCCAUAGUAUUCUAGUUCAACUACUUUAAUUAAUUGUCCAUAAUAGUCUCGUUCUUGGCCUUCAAAAGUACAUCCCUAGACUAAAACACCACUAUUUUGAGUUACCUUUCUUGACUCCAAUUCUUUUGUAUGGAACCUAAAGCCAUUGACAAUGAAUCCAUCAUAACAUGUUACCUCUCUAGACGGACCCAUAGCGAGCGCUUUUAGACGCGUAUCAACGACAUCAUCAUUCUUGACUCUCUUUUCAAACCAUUUUAUAAAUGUCGAAUUAUGUUCCUUUUAUAGCACUUUAUCCGACAUGUUUGGACGUAAUUCUUUCAAUAAAUGCUUGUGCUCCCUAGAAGUAAUGAAAUAAAUUAGUAGAUAUAGAGUAAUGAUUUACAUAUCUAAAAGUAAUAAACUUUAUAAGAAUUAAAAUGUCAUACUCGAUGAAAUCAAAGACUUCCUCAUAAUUAGACAAGAUGUAUAAGGUUGCUGCCUCGAGUUCUUUAUCAGAUAGAUCUUCACGUUUUCGUUUUCCUCCAAUUGGACGACCAGGCCUAGGGUGGCUAAAUAUUGAUAACUUUCCAUUAGUUUCAGCUUGACCGCCAUCGUCAUUUCGAUCAGCUCGGUUGAACUUGGUUUGCACCCUAAGAUCAAAAUAUCGAGAAGAAAAGUAAACUAGUUCGUCUAUUAUGUAUGCCUCAGCUAUUGAACCCUCGGGGCAAGCCUUGUUACGCACCCUUUUCUUCAAAGAACACAUGCACCUAUAAUUAUAUUGAAGUUAGGUAAUCACUUUAACUAUAAAAAAGCCUUGGCAAGAAAAGAGAUAUAAUUUAUUAAAACAUCACCUCUCGAAAGGGUACAUCCAACGAUAUUGUACUGGCCCUCCGACCUUGGCUUUAUAUGCCAAAUGAACAAGUAGAUGCUCCAUUGAAUCAAAGAAAGAUGGUGGAAAAAUCAUCUCAAGAUUGCAUAAUAUUUCAGCAAUAAAUAGCUCAAGCUUCUCUAACUCAGCUAACUUAUACACCUUAGAGCAUAUGUCUCGAAAGAAUUUGCACAAAGCAUUUAUUGGUUCCCAUAUAGAGUUUGGUAAGAAAUCACGAAAGGCCAAUGGCAAGAAUCUCUGCAUGAGAACAUGGCAAUCAUGGCUCUUUAGCCCAAUUAUUUUGCAAUUGUCAAGGUUAAUACAAUGAGAGAUAUUUGAAGCAUAACCGUCUGGAACUUUCAACGAUUUAAGCCACUUGCAAACUUGCUUGACUUCUUCGCUUUUUAAAGAAUAUUUAGCUUUUGGCAAUUUAAAUUUCCCAUUACCACUCUCUUCAGGAUGUAAUUCAAAUCUUAUACCAAGCUCUUGCAAAUCUAAACGAGCUUUAAGGUGGUCUUUUGAUUUUCUAGUAAUGUUCAUCACAGUGUAAAAUAAAUUAUCAAAAAUAUUUUUCUCAAUAUGCAUCACGUCUAAGAAAUGUCUUAUUAGAAGCAAACUCCAAUAAGGCAAUUCAAAGAAGAUACUUUUCUUUGUCUAGUUAUGCUCGAUUCCAAACCCAGGAGUCUUAUCGGUACUAUUGUUUUUAUCCUUUCCAAAGAUGACCGAACUAAAUUGAGAUACAAAAUUUAACUCCUCAACACCUGUUAGUCGAGGCGGGGGAUUUCUCCGUUCGGUUUUAUUAUUGAACUUACUCUUCUCAGCUCGAUAUUUAUGAUUACGCUUCAACCAACGACGAUGGCAUCCAAAAUAACUCGGCUUCCUCCCAUGUUUAAGGUUAAAAGCUACACUUGGAUCCAUACAAGGACAUGACAAGGCCCCAUGUGUACUCCAACCCUUCAAUAUGCCUAGCGCAGGAAAGUCACUGAUUGUCCAUAUUACAGCUGCUUUCAUAUAAAAAUUUUGCUUUGAGAAAGCAUCAUAUGUAUCAACUCCAACAUCCCACAAAGUCUUUAGUUCUUCUAUAAGAGGUCGCAAAUACACAUCAAUCUCUCUUCCAGGUCCAUGUGGACCUGGAAUAAGCAGUGACAUAAACAUGUACUCCUCUUUCAUACACAUCCAAGGGGGGAGAUUGUAUGGAACAAGGAAAACUGGCCAUGUCGAAUGAGGUUUGCUAGAAUGCCCAAAAGGAUUAAAUCCAUCAGUAGCUAAGCCAAGUCUUAUACUACGAGCAUCUUCAGCAAAAGAUGGGUAAUUGAGGUCAAAAUAUUUCCAAGCCUCACUAUCAGCAGGGUGCCUUAGCUCACCUGGAAUAUCACAUCAUUUUUCUUUGUGCCACCUCAUAGGCUCGGCCGUUUUUGAUGACAAAUAAAGCCUUUGAAGCCUUGGUAUAAUUGGUAAAAAAACUUAAGACCUUCCUUGCUAUUGGUUUAUUCUUUUUCCCUUUAACACUGCCAUGGUUUUUAUACCUAGAUUCGUUACAAAUUGGGCAAGCAUCUAAAUCUGCAUAUUCUCCUCGAAACAAGAUACAAUCAUUAUUACAUGCAUGUAUUUUUUGUAGAGGUUGCCCAAGGUCCUUCAUUAAGGCCUUGCAGUGAUAAAAUGACUCGGGUAAUUUAUUCUUUUUAGGCAACAUUUCCUUGAAAGCUGAAAGAAAAGCAUCAAAUCCAGCAUUAGACAAACAAUACUUGGAUUUUAGGUGCAACAACAAAGUUACGGCUAAUAACUUGGUGUGAUUUUGACAACCAUCCCACAAGGGCUCGUCUGCAGCCUUUAGAAGGUCAUAGAACUUCUUUGAUUCGCUAUUAGGAUCCUCAUCAAAUUUAGGGCUAAUGCAGCUUGUAAUAUCCCUUAACAUGUCUUUAGGCCAAUUUGCAAUUCCCUCAUCAAUAUCGUCAUCUUAAUUCCCUACUUUCUUAAGUGACUCCCCAUGCUCCGUCCAUGUAGUGUAGUUUGGUACAAAUCCAUGCUUAUAAAGACACAUUUCUACAUCUUCACGUGAUUUAUAGUUUAUGAAAUCACACUUGGCACAAGGACACCGAAUCAUGCCAUCAUCUACGCACUCAGGAUUAGAAAAUGCAAAAUCAAGAAAUGUAUUGACCCCACUCAUAAAUUCAUGUAUAUGUUUAGACUUUUUCCCAACAUGCCUAUACAUCCAACUUCGAUCAUCCAUCUACCAUUUGUAAUUCAAAUAAUUGAAAAAUGUUCAUUUAUGGUGAUAAUUAACCCUUUUAUGAAAUAGAAAAGAAAAAAAAAACUGUACUGACUUUACAACUUAUUUUCUAGCACACUGUUCUUAACAUGGUCACAACUUAUAAUUAAAGAAAACAACAUAUACUACCUGAAUUCAAGAUAAUAUUGGUUAUGAGGUAGUAAAUCAAACAGAGAAAGCGUAAUCAGAGAAAGCAUAUUAGAUUUUCUAAUUAAUGUUCCUAAUUAGUUUUAUAUUAGAUUUUUUACAUGCUACACAGGAAUUGGGGCCAAAUUCGAACAGAGAAAGCAUAAUCAAAAUUCUAAAAUAAUUGGGGCCAAAUUGGAACAGAGAAAGUAAAGAGGGAGACAAUAAACACCCAAGGAAGAGAGGAUUUACCUUCAAAAUCACAAAGCUUAACUUGGAUCACAACUUUGGUACGUAGAAGAAAGGGAGAUGGUUUUAGUUACCGUCUAUGGAGAAGAUGGGAAGAGUUGUUUAGAGCCGCAGAGAGCACUGGGCAGAGGCCGUCGACUGAGAGGGAGUAGUCGACUGUCGACUUUGUCAAGAAAGAGGCAAGCAAGUAGCAACUGAAGCAAUCAAACAAAGAGUGAAGAAGGAGAACUGAAGAUAAGGGCUAGGGCAAAUGUCAAAUGUGAAAGUGAAAUCAGAAAUGGACCGCCGACUCGGUCACUUAGGAUUAUAGAUAGGAGUGAGAUAUAAUAAUAUUAUAAAAUUGUUUUUUUUAAGAAUUACGGUUCGGUUAUUCGGGUAUCCAAAUAACCAGUUUUUGAACACCGAAUCUGUAAUCGAAUACUAAAUAAUAAUUCGGAUAUAACUGAAAUUGUAAAAAAACCGAAAAACCGAAAUAAUUCGGUUAAAAAAUUUCGAUUCGGUUCGGUAAUUCGGUUUUAUUCGUUUUUUGCUCACUCCUAGUCACUGGACAUUUAAUUUUUGUUGGCUUGUUGUUGCUGACUUGCUGUAUUUUGGACAGUUAAUUAGGCUUGCAUUAUUAAGUCAUAAAUUUCAUGUUGGCUUGUUGUUGCUGCUGGACAAGUAAGUUAACAGUUGCUGCCUGCUGGGCAGUUAAUUUGCUAAAUAGUUAACAGGGAAUUUAUGUUGUAUGAUAUUUCGGUUAUUACCCGAAUAUCCGAAAUUACAAUUCGGUAUUCGGUAAUUCGGUUAUUUUCACAUUUCGAUUAGAAUUUUGGAUAGUGGAAUUGUCAUUAAUUCGGUUUUCGGUUAUAACCGAAUAGCUUAUUCGGUUCGGUUAUAACCGAAUGAUCACUCCUACUAAUAACUUGGUAUUUUGAAUCAAAUAUCGGCAUCGACACAUAAGGCUGUAAAAUGAGCAAACAGUUCGGGGUCGAUUCGUACUCGCUCGACUAAAAGUUCAAUUCGAGCUCGACUCUAAAUAUAAAUGAGUCAAAUAUGAGCAAAUUUUAAAGUUCUAUAAAUUACUCGAACCUCCUCAAAUUAUAAUUUUCUAUUGAUACUCGGAUCAUAUUCGUUCGAAAAGUUCAAACUGUUCAGGCUCGAUUCGGAAUCGUACUCGACUCGAUAGCUAAAUGAUCCUCAAUCAAACCUUAUAAUAUACUUGAUAAAAUUUGUGAACCAAAUCUGAUAGAAAUACAUUACGAAAAUUUAAAAAGAUUAUAAAAUGAGUUUUAGUUUUAGUUGGACCAGAUUAAGUAAUCUCAAGUACAUGAAAUUAAAAAUAAAAUAAAAUUAACAAAUUGAAAAAAACAACAACUAGUAGACUCGGGCGUAAAUUAACUUUUAAGGGUUUAAUACACUAUUUGUACGUUCCAAAUUUUAUAUUUGACUUUGUACCAUUGACAUUUAUUUUUUCGUGGGCAUAUAUUUUUAUUAUUAUUAGUUAUUGUCAAUUUUGGUGGAUAAAUUAUUUAAUGUUUGAAGACUAUUUGGGGGAUAUUAAAUAUAUCAUUACUCAUAAUGAUAUUAAAUAUAGUGGGUGCAGAUGAUAGUAAUGUUAUAAAAAAAUUUCAGGCUUCACAAAGAAGAAUAUAAGUUAUUGUAUUAAGCUUCAAUACUUUUUGUAAGAGUAAUAAUUGAUAUUAAAACAUCAUUUUUAUUAAUAAUAUUAUUUUAAAAUAAUAAAAGAGAGGAGACUUAAUUUGUAGCUUAAUCUAAAGAAAGUAUAUAAAUUUUUAAUAUUAUUUUAAUUUAUUUUACUUUUUUGAAUAACAAAUUUGUACUUAAUUACUAGUGGAUCAAUUAAUUCAUAUCUCACAAAUUUACUAAAAAUAAUAAUUAAAUGAUACUCUUUUUUUUGUAGAACAAAGGGUAUAUCAAAAGAUAAUUAAAUCAAAAGAAAUUUAAGCUAAUUAAAUUUAAUUAAAAGAUAAUUAAAAUUUAAACAAACAAAAAUAGACUAAUUUAGUGGCAUAUUCCACUCAUUUUGAAGAAAUGGCGGGAUCUCUGUUUCUAUCUUUAAUUUCAAGUACCAUUGUAUAAACUUCCCCAUCUUUUCCAUAGGCAGCAAACUGAAACCCUACAUCCAUCUUCUACCAAAAUUGUGAUCCCAGUUAAGGUUGUGAUUUCAAAGGUAAGUCCUCUCUUUGGGUGUUUAUUCUCUCCAUCUUUCCUUUCUCUGUUCUAAUUUGUCCCCAAUUCUUAUUUUAGAAUUGUGAUUAUGCUUUCUCUUUUCGAAUUUGGCCCCAAUUCCUGUUUUUAUAGAGAUGUUUUACGAACUGUUAUUGACAAUUUGAUUGUUCAUGUGUUUGUGGAGAUUUAAUAUAUAUAUAUAUAUAUAUAUAUAUAUAUAUGAUUUUGAUAGCGUAUUUACUAAUUUUAANNNNNNNNNNNNNNNNNNNNNNNNNNNNNNNNNNNNNNNNNNNNNNNNNNNNNNNNNNNNNNNNNNNNNNNNNNNNNNNNNNNNNNNNNNNNNNNNNNNNNNNNNNNNNNNNNNNNNNNNNNNNNNNNNNNNNNNNNNNNNNNNNNNNNNNNNNNNNNNNNNNNNNNNNNNNNNNNNNNNNNNNNNNNNNNNNNNNNNNNNNNNNNNNNNNNNNNNNNNNNNNNNNNNNNNNNNNNNNNNNNNNNNNNNNNNNNNNNNNNNNNNNNNNNNNNNNNNNNNNNNNNNNNNNNNNNNNNNNNNNNNNNNNNNNNNNNNNNNNNNNNNNNNNNNNNNNNNNNNNNNNNNNNNNNNNNNNNNNNNNNNNNNNNNNNNNNNNNNNNNNNNNNNNNNNNNNNNNNNNNNNNNNNNNNNNNNAUAUAUAUAUAUAUAUAUCCCUCGAUUUAUAUAUGUAUGUUAAUUAGGUACGUAUAUGUAUGCAUGAAUAUAUAUGAAACUUUGUUAGUUAAUUACUUUGGUUGAGAAUGGAUUGUAGUUUGUAAACAAAUCUAAUAUGAAACUGAUUAGGAAAAGACUUAAAUUGGAAUUCUUCUUUUGGUUGAAUGGAAGGGUUACUCAUUACUUCAUUAAUUUGACAUUAAUUUUGUAUUAUUUUGUUUAAUUAUGUUUUGGUUGGUUAUGUUUUUCAUUUAUUUUAUUCUAUUCCAAGUCAUUAAGAGCACAUGAUGUUUUAGGUAAAACACUGAUUCUACUGGACAGAUGAUUCAUGUACAAAACCAAAGUUAGUGCACACACCCUAUUAUUUAAUAUUCAAAACAUUGGGUUGCUGUUGGGGUGGGUCUGUAGGAGGGCAGGGGUGGAGUUGCAGGGGAGGCGAAUGGAAGAGGGCAAAAGUGCUGGAUGAAGGAGGGACGUUGGCAUGUUCUUGAAUGAUGGUAACCCAUUCUUUAUACAUUUUGAAUGAGAGUGGUUAAUUGCAAAAAAGCACUUGCAAUAGCUACAUUGAAAUUGGUUCCAUUUAUGAGGGACAAGAAAAGCAGCAGUGGGCAGUAAGGAACUGCUAUAACAGUUUUGGGUAUAUCAUUCUAGCUCUAGAAUCUAGUUUGAAGACUUAACCAUAGAGUUUUAGUUUUAGUUGGAGCUGUACAUUCUUUACCAUUAAUGAUUAGUGAUUCUAUUCAAAGUUACCAUGCUUUUUUAAGUUCUCACUUGGGUUUUUGUAAAUGGGUCAAGCUUUGCUUAUUGUGUGCAAGAAAAUCUGAUAUCGCUGUGAAAUCUAUAGUAAGAAAAUUAAAAAUGGUCACUUUGAUAUACUUGCACUUAAUUGAUGCCCACAAUUGUCGUCUUUAAUUGUACUAAUCCAUCAAAGGAGCAUGUCAAUAUUGUUCUAUUCAGCAGUACUAUGAUUUAAUUGAUGCCCUCAUAGUAUCCAUCAAAAGAACAUUUAAUCUUGAUGUAACCAGCAUGCCACGGAACCUGACAUGUGUAGCAAAAAAGCUUUUUACAGUUCAGACAUAUUAGAAAUGAUUGUUCCAUUGAAAUGAUUGUUUGGCAUAUUAGAGGAUCUAACAAGUGAUUACAGUCCAAAGUGGACGACAUUUAAUGCUGGCUACAUUGUCUUCAACUUUUACUUCGAUGUACUUGGUGAAGCAAUCCACACAAAAAGGAUGAAAACAUUCAUCAUUCUUCUUGAAAACAUUCAAUGCAUAUCUCACAAGUGAAAGUUGAACUCUCUUCUUCACCUGAUUUAUCCUCUUCUGUUUUCGCCAAACUCACCUCUUGUUUUUAGCUGUGUGUUCCCCAUUGUUUGUUCUGUUUCUGUUGCAAAAAAAUCAUCAGCUCAUGUGAGAAACAAUUAGAGAAAGUGGAAUUGUACAACAGAAACAUGCAUGAAGUUGUAUAUUAUUGCAAAAUAAAUGGCAACUCUUUCUACAAUUACAAAGAAAAUGCCAAACACAUUUUGAAUUUGCAGCUACAACUAUUACAUGUGUUAUACAAGAGAUGAGAAUACAUUUUGAACAUGCAUGUGUCAAUUUGUGAUCUACAACACAUUUUGAAAAUGCCUAACACAUUUUGAACAUGCAUGUGUUCUACAAUUACAUGAAUUAAUUUGCAUGUGUUGUACUUUGUGUUGUGCAUAUAGUAAUAGGUUCAAUUAAAUGUUGUGUCAAGUGAUAGUGCUAAUUUAUUUAUUUUUUGAUAAAAAAAUGUACAUGCUUGUGGUAUAAUUUCAAACUAGUUUUCCAAUGAGUCAUGAUUAAUUAUUGCUGAUUAAUAUGUUGGGUAUAUAAAUUGUUCUUUGUACGGUUGAAUGUUAUUGUCUUGACAGGUAAGAUGCUAAUUGAUUUUGGAGCUAGUAGAGUAGUGAAUAAUUUUGAAAUUGUAUUACAACAUCAUCUUGAAUAAUUUCUUUUAUUUAUCCUAUAUUUAAUUAUAAGUUUUUUUUCUUCUCCAGCUAUGGUGAGAACUAGAGGUGGGAGUAGUCUUUCCGGUAGGAGAUCAACUCUUCCUCAUAAUAGUGGCGAGACUGUUAACAUGAACAGAAUGAGAGAUGAGCCUAUUGUAUCUCAUGAUAGUGGUGAGAGUAUUGAUAGGGCUACACCGAAUACUACACAAGCCGAAAGGUUAUCUCGUAAGAAAAGGGGGCCAACUCUAGGGAUAAUAAAGCCUAAAACAGGCCAAACAAAGAUGCUUGUUAAUAUCAUUGGACAAAAGUAAGUUUUUACUAAUCUACUCGUGCUUGUCAAUAUGCAAGUUACAUACAAUCAAUUCUGGAUACGUUAAAGAUUCAUUUUCUGACACAUAAUAUAACGUCCGUUUUAACUAUAACAGGGUAAUCUAUGUAGCACAAUGUAAUCCAAAGAACAUAAAAGCAACUAAUCAUAUCAUGUUACUAUAAAAAGCAAUUAAUAGGGGUUCCAUUUAACAAGAUUUGAUUAAUCCUAUUGUGACAACUUUGUUUCUACUUUUCAUUAUUGUUGUACUAAUCAUAUCAUGCUAUGUUACCAUAUCUUGUAAUUAGCUUCCUUGAACCUGAAGCUCGAAGCAAGACUCACAUAUUAUUUCAAAAACGUUUUAAAGAAGCUCGAACCAAAUUCGAGCAAUGGCCAAAACAUGAAAUUGAACUUCUUUGGGGAGAAUAUUUGGUAUGUUUUAAUGAACACACAUUUUAAUUGUAGAAAAAAGUUUAUCAAAAAGUGUAUUAUUCAUUAUAUAUUAAUUAUUAUUUUUACUUGUGGAUGGUGUUAUAGAAAUAUUUUCGUUUCUCUUCAUCGAAGGAGGAGGGAAGGGGUCGAAUCAUAUGGGAGGAAAAUGCACGAAAAAGCUACCCAAACUAUUUAUGGAGAUGGAAAGAUGAUGCCAUUAAGAAGUUUGGCUCCAUUGAGGAAGCAAGGGAUAAAAAGCCUAAUUGGACAACUCUUGAUGUGUGGCAGGAGAUGUGUGAUUAUUGACUGAGUAAAGACUUUUUAGACUCUAGUGAGCUACAAAAAAAGAACAGAAACAUAACUACGUAUGUUCCUCACACAUCAGGCUCCAUAUCGUACGCCGUUAGGAGGGAACAAGAGGUAAAUUAUAAGUUGAUAAAAUCAAAUUAAUAAUAUGCGUAGUCGAUAAAUGCACAUGAUAAUGGUAAAAGAUUCAUAUCAUGAUGCUCUGUUUGGAGUUUUUAAGUGUUCAUGUGGUAUGUAUUGCUUAUUUUUAAUAUUAAUGUUUAUAAUUAAAAUAAUUAUUAUUUUGCUUGUUUUGUCUUAGAAACAAAGACUGCAUCGUCCGCCAACGCAAUAUGAGUUAUAUAAACAAACUCAUAUGAGGAAGGAGAAGGGUAGCGAGGAAAAAACGUGGGUUUGUGAUGAAGCAAAGAGGAAUUUGGUAUGAUUUUCUCUUGUAAAAUUAUAAACUUUGUUUACUCAUGCGAAAGUGAAGAUUGUUGUUCGUUCUUUUCAUAAUUAGUUAUGAGUAUUGUUAAUUAUAUAUACAUAUUUUAUGCAUUGUAUAGGAUGAUUAUGAGAGAAGACUCUUAGCCAAACAUGGUGAUACAGAUAAGCCCGUGAAUGAGUUAGAUGAUCCAAAUUUGGAGACAUGGCAGAAAACUGUUGGAGGCGUCAAAAAGGGUAGACUUGUUGGUCGACCAGGGGAAAAAUGGAGUUCUCGUCGUGGUUCGUAUUGUCCAUCUUUGGUUGCAGAUGAGAACUAUAUUAAAUUAAAGAAAAUGGAAAGCUACAUGACUUAUAUUCAUCAAUACACAAAAAAUAUGGCCGAAACACUUGCACUUGAUCCUCCUAUAGACUUUUGUGAUUUGUUUGCUUCAUCAAAUGCAUCAGCUGAUAUUCCAACGAAUAACUCAACCACGCAUGCUGAGAAUGACAACGGAGAUGAUGACGACUCUCAAGAAAACUUCAUGGAGAAUUCAGGAUGAUUUAGCUCUGCUUUACUUAUCAAUUUUAUUAGUUUAGGGUUCUUUGAUAGAUGUUGGGUUUGUUAAUUGUUUGAUGAACCUAUGACAUGUAGUUACCUAUUUAAGUAGUUGGUAAUGAAUUUAUUUUUAAUUAAAUGGAUCAGAUUUCUUCAUUUUAAUAAAUUUGUAUGAUUUUACGUUUCAAAUUUAUUGUAAUUUAUGUCAUUUAUAAAUUUGAAAUAUAAAAUUGGCAAUUAAAUAUAUUUUAAUAUAGGAAUUUGGUGAUGGCUUUACUAUCACCAAAACGUAUAAAAAGGUUACAAAAAUAGGAAUAAUUGUGAUUGCUUUAGCCAUCACAAGAGACUUAUGCCAUCACAAAAGAAUGUGAUUGUUUUGGCCAUCACAAAUAAUUGGUGAUUGUUUUGGCCAUCACAAAAAGAUGUGAUUGCUUUGGCCAUCACAAAUAAUUGGUGAUUGUUUUGACCAUCACACAAAGAUGUGAUUGCUUUAGCCAUCACAAAUAAUUGGUGAUUGUUUUUACCAUCACAAAAAGAUGUGAUUGCUUCGGCCAUCACAAAUAAUUGGUGAUUGUUUUGACCAUCACAAAAGAUGUGAUUGCUUUGACCAUCACAAAUAACUACUAUGCUAUCGAGAUUACUUUCGCCAUCACAAAUAACUUGUGUGAUUUCGUGAUGGUCAAACUAAUCACAAAAUACAUGUGCGCUAAUGUGACUGAUUUAGUCAUCACAAAAGGAUCGAAUGUUUUGGUGAUUGCCAAAACCAUCACGUAAAACCUUUCAUGAUGGACGUAUACAAAACGGCCAUCGUGAUGCUUAAAAUCAUCACGUAAACCUUUCGUGAUGGUUUUUUUAGUUUUUGUGAUGGAUUUUUGCCAUCACAAAUGACCAUUUUUUUAGUAGUGAUCGAAAGGACGUGGAAUUUAAUAUUGGAGAUCACGUGUUGUUACGUGUUGCUCCAUGGAAAGGAGUUACGAGAUUUGGAAAGAGAGAAGCUCAAUCCUCGAUUCAUUGACCCAUUUUUAAUCCUCGAGCGAGUAGGAACUAUGGCCUAUAGACUCGCCUUACCGCAAAGUAUGUCUCGUGUUCAUAACGUUUUUCACAUAUCUAUGUUACAUAAAUAUGUGAAAGACCCGAACCACAUUAUUGAAUUAGAACCAGACAAGAUAGAGGAAGAUUUAACAUAUGAAGAGUUACCUAUUAAAAUCUUGGAUAAGAAGGAUCAUAUUCUACGCUCCAAGGUUAUACCUCAAGUCAAAGUUUUAUAAGAGAAACCACGAUGUGGAGGAAAUGACCUGGGAGUUAGAAUCUGAGAUGAAGUCAAGAUAUCCUCGUCUCUUCGAUAUACCAGGUACGUACCCUAGUUUCGAGGAUGAAAUUUCAUAAGAAGGGGAGGUAGUAAGACCCCAACUUUUAUGAAUAAAGAAUAAUUUUCUCAAAAUAUAUUUUUGAAUAUUAUGGUGUGGAUUUGAUAUAAUGUUAUAGUUGUGGGUAUUAUUUACAAAUUUUGCAAAGUAAGCAAGUGGUUAUAUAAUAUUCGAUUGGUCGGGGAAUAUUCGUUUUAACAGGGAAUAUUCGUACGACGGUACAAUCAUUGGUGGACCCCACAAAGAAAGUAUUGUUGUAGUUAAAAAACGACAGAAUUAUCUUUUUAUAAAAAUAAUGGCGAAAGUGUUGCCGUUAAAACUGUUGAACUAACCGGUAAUAAAAGUACAGUAAUACGCGUGGUUGCAUAGUAGUACACAGUAUUGAUUAUUGAUGUUUACGUGAGAAGUCACUCAGUUAUACUCAAUUAUUACUAUAGUAAUUGUUGCAUCAUAUCUCUCAUAUUAUUGAUUCAAUUAUUGUCACAGUAUCAUCUGCAUAAUAUGUUAUAUUAUCAAAUCAAUAAUUGAGACGACAAAGUUAUUAAUAUUAUUAAAUUACAAUAUUGACAAUGUCUUGAAGUUCUGUCAAGGAGAGGUUAGAUAAUCUAAUUGCGCGCCAAUAGGGAGAAAUCCUCAUCGGAAAGCCCCCUCUUUCCUGGAAACUACCUGGUUGUUAAAUAUUAUGAGUUAUAAUAUUAAUGAUGAAUAAGUUUGUGUUGAUCAAAGAUGAAAUUAAUAGUUCCAUUGUAUGGAAAUUAUUAGUGUUAGUUGAAAAUCGACAUUUAUUUCGAUAAUAAUUGAUGUCUGGAGGUUUUAUUGACCAAUCGGGUAAUUAACCGGAUAAAUGAGCAAUUAAUUGCUAUUUAUUCACAUGCUUAUAACUAUGUGUUCACAUGUGUGUACUAUUGAUUCACAUGCAUGUACUGUUAGGGGAGUUGGUGCAAGAUUGAUAAUACUUGCAUGACUAAAUUAAAAAUUGAGGUAUAGAUGAAGGUACUAUACUAUACUUAAUUUUUUCACAUGUUUAGAACUAUUGAGUCACAAGAUUUACUAUUGAUUCACAUGAAUUACUAUUAGGGGAGGUGGUGCAAGUUUGAUAAUACUUGCAGGACUAAAUUAAAAAUAAAAAAAAAGAGGAAGGUAUUAUACUGUAAUAUUUUGAGCCCCAAAAUGUGCAAUUAUUGAAACUAUAUUUUCCUAUAAAUAGAAGCUCAUUCUUCCUUCAUUUCUUACCAAUUCACUAAAGCUAUAGAACAAUUAUUAUAGAGAGAAAUUAUAGAGAGAAAGAAGAAGAGAAGUAUGCUACCUCACUACUCCAGUAUCCAGUUUUCUUCUAAGGUAAGGGGUAUUAUUUCUUUCGUAUUCAUGAAGAGAGUUAUUUCUUUCAAUACUCGUAAGGGUUGUUAUUCCAUUCUUUAUUAUUCUGUUGGAAUAACCUGUAUAGGUGGAUUACCGAAUGCGGUGUGAAAUUCUUCUGUUAUUCCAUUCUUUAUUAUUAUGUUAGAAUAACCUGUCUGUGCAGAUUAUGCACGCCUGGUGAAUUCUUUUGUUAUUCCAUUCUUUAUUAUUUUGUCGGAAUAACCUGUCUGUGCGGACUACGCACGCCUGGUGAAUUCUUCUGUUAUUCCAUUUUUUAUUAUUCUGUUGGAAUAACCUGUCUGUGCGGUCUAUCGCAUGCCUAGUGAAUUCUUUUGUUAUUCCAUUCUUUAUUAUUUUGUUGGAAUAACCUGUCUGUGCGGUCUAUCGCAUGCAUGGUGAAUUCUUCUGUUAUUCCAUUCUUUAUUAUUCUGUUGGAAUAACCUGUCUAUGUGGAUUACCGCAUGCAUGGUGAAUGAUCCUUUGUAUUCAUUCCUUAUUAAAUUGUGGAAAUGAUAUGUCUACGUGGAUUACCGCAUGGCGGGCAAAAAUCCAUUUGCAAUUUUAUAUAUUCUAUUAUACUCAGUUGCUUAAAGUUUUGGCUUCUAUACUCCAUGAAAUUAGUAGAAUAUCCUGGAUAUUUGCGCUUCAUCCAAUAUCUUUUCAUGGACAUAUUCUUCUGAGCAUUCUUGAAUUUUACUCCACAAAGCAGUAUUAUGUUGACAAAUUGGAUGUUAUUAAUUUCUGGAUAAAUUAAAUUAUAAAUCUUUAAUAUUUAUCCUUGAACUUGUUUUAUUGAAUUAUUAUGUCAUUGUCAUCAUCCUCAUGCUUAUAUUGUGAUGAAAGUCAUCUUUGGCUUACGUGCAUAGAUGGAUUUGGUAUAAUUAUGACCAGGAAUUAUUCGGUAUAAUCAUGACUGUAAUGUGACGAAUGAUGUGGUGAAAGUCCUCAUUGGCCUGUAGUUCAUUGAUGGACAGUUGUUGGUAUGAUUAUGACCAGGGAUUAUUCGGUAUAAUUAUGACCAUUGAUGAUUACACGAGUAUCCUUGGCCAUAAUGCAUGGAUGAUUCGAUUUUAUUUAUUAAGCUGAGUCUCAGCGAUAAAGUUGAUGAAAAACUUUUUAAGUCAUAGAAGAUAGUAGAUUUUAUACUCUAUAAUUGACUCUUCUAAUGGAUUGCUUAUUCCGCUGUAGUUUUUUAUCUAAAACUUAUUGUCUAUUAUAUUCUUUCAGUUGUUAUACUGUUGAAGGCUAAGGAUAAUUUAUUUUGCAUUAUCUUAGUAAUAAUAUUUCUUACUGGGCUUGUUGAGCUCACCCUUUUCUUUCAUGGUUCUCUUCAAGAAAUGAGAACGUAGCUGGGACUAGUCGGGGAACAGAGUGACGGUCCAGAUGUUUGGAUUAGUAGUCCUCACUAUUCUGUGAAAUAGUGUGAUAAUAAAUGUAAUGAGGACUCCAUUGAGUGUGGAUAUUGUCUAGAUGACAAUAUUCUUAUUAAAACUCUUAGAUUAUGUUUUGUCGUAUUUUACACGACUGUUGUACAAUUAAGUUGUAUUUGAAUUUUGUACCAUGUAUCUGGCGACUCAAGAUGGCUGAUGUAUACCUAUUUUGGUGGCGUCACAUUAACCCUAUUGUUAUAUAUAUUAUAUCCGAUUAUUGUUUAUCAACAUAAUAUUAUACUAUAUAAUUCAGAUAUAUAUUCUGUUCAUUAAUUUCUAAAAAUGAUUAUACAAGUGUCUCCACCUGGAUAAUCAUUGUAUUUAAUCACAUGUUGAUAUAUAUAUAUAUAUAUAUAUAUAUAUAUAUAUAUAUAUAUAUAUACCUAUUGAACCCCAGUAUGUAUACAUUAAGUAAAAGUCGUCUAAGCUAUUCGACCAGCUAGACACAAAUUUAGUUAUAUCGUUUAAUAUGACAAAACUUUUUUGUAUCCAAUCAAAUUAUUUUGGUUCGGAUUCCAGACUAAGUAUGAACAUCCCGAACAUGAGAAAACUUUUAUGCGCCCAAGGCGGACAGAGUAAACGAUAAUAUCUUUCUUUCAUGCAGUAUUGAUCAAUACAGGGUCCAUGGGAUGUAUACCCUCGUGCCCGUAAGUUAUGACGGUUUGCAGAUGAAGUUCUGUUUAACCUUUUUGAAAAUAGAAAACAAUGUGUAUGUCACCCUAACCCUAUAUAUAGUCAAUACAUAGUUUCAAAAAUGUGAGAUAGAGUUGAUAUGUUAUUAUUAUCAGUUUAGUUUACUUCACAACUAUUGAAUCGUUGUAGAAGUAAUGUACAAAGAAAACAUUUAAUUCUUUCAGAUAAUUAUAUUUAUAAUUGUUAUUACUUGCUGGGCACUCAAAUGCUCAUCCUUGCUUAAUUUAAAUGUUUUCAGCUAAGCGUGAUCAACCUGAAGGUUUAGACAAUAAUAAGUGAAAAGGAAAGCAAACAGAAUAUGUUUAACGGUAUCUUUUGUAAUAGUUAAACUGUAUUAAGAUAAUGAUAUGUAUUAUCUAUCAUGUAAAGAAUUAUAGUAAAUGUUGCGUACUUGGGAUUAGACUAUGAUAUUUGUAAAUUAAGUUUGAUUUUUAUAUUAUUGUUAUUAUUAUUAUUAUUAUUAUUCUGCUCAUAAAAAUGGUAUCGUGAAGCACCGAGUUCGGGUUUCAAGUACCUAAAUUUGGGGGCGUCACAGUAUGGUAUUAGAGCUAUAGGUUAGAAACCUUAGGUGGGUUAAACCUUAGGCUAUAACCUUAGAACAGAGGGGAACGUUGAAAAUACAAAUAACUCAUAUAGAGUUUAUAAGGAGAUGAAUUUAAUAAAUUCAUCGUGAAACAAAAUAAAAGAUAACUAAUAAAACUAUUAUUUGCUAUGUGUUUAUACUUAGUGUUAAUCCGGAUAAUUUAUUUGUAUAGAUGUCAGAUAGAAAAAGAAUUAGAAUACCCUCAGAUCAUAAAGAAAGAGCAAAUCUCCAUGACCGAGCCAAUAUUAAAGCUAAUAGCUGAAAUAGAGGCACACAUUGAAAACUACCUCAAAGAGGAGGUUAUUUUGGAAAGUAUAAUACCAGAUCCAGAGACGAUAGUAUAACAGAUAGGUUGAGUGUAGUUAAAGAAUAUAUGGUGAAGCUUGAGUUCUUAAACUCAUUUAUUUGUGGUAAGUUCUUAAACUCAUAAUGUGUAGUAAGAAAAAGGGAAGUAUUUUAGAAUACCUCAUAUCAUUCUCGAAUUACUACUUCAUCUCCUCACCAGCUCUUGAACCCUUGACCUCUAGAAACUCAAUAAUCAAACGAGUACCAAAUGUCUACAAGGAGGACUAGUAUAGUUAUGUGUUAAUGGAUUAUUGAGGAUAAUAGAAUAUAUAGAAUGCUAAGCAAUUGAUCAUUAGUAAAGACGUAAGAAAUAGAUAGUGUUAGUAUUACUUGAAUAGGUAUGAUUCUAUGUGGUGUAAAUGAUAAGUAUGUCUGUGUAAGGAAAUAUUCUCAACUUUUGUAUAAGUUAUGGCUGCGAUUCCUGACUUGUGUGUUAUAAAGGAAUAGCGGAUGUUUAAAGCAGUAUGUGCUAUGGUAUGUCAAGUGAUAUGAAUAUGAGUCUAUGUUGGAUUAACGAAAUAAGUUGAUAUAAAGAUAGUAAUUAUUUAUCUGAACACUGGUUAAUACAGUAAACCGAAUUUUCAAAAUCUAAAAUUUUGAGUACAUGAUUAUUUGAAUAGAAAGUUUUGCGUUAUUUGAGAUGCAUGUACGAUAAGGCUUAGAAUGUAAGUUAAUAAGAAUAAUUUAUGAUAAUGCCAUCGAGAAGAAGAACCUGUCAAUAAAGCUAGAAGAUAACCAGACCCGCCAUAUAAUUUUGCGAAUGUGGACGCUCAAGCUAUGCAGAACGGAAUCCCAGCCGCGGGAAAUCGGCCAGAUAAUCGAUCGACAAACUUUAGAGACUUCAAGGCAAUCGUACUGCCAAGAUUUAGAAGAUCAACUGAUCCUGUUGACGCGUUUGUGAUAGUUAGGGUAACAUAGGGGCAAAAAGACAGCUUUUGCCACCUAUACGAUGAAAGGAGAUAGUUUUGAUAAUACCUGAAAUAAGCCAAGAGUGUGAUGGAAAGGAAAGUUUGUGUGUUGCAAAUGUGGACAGGAGGGAUAUAUCUCUCCUAACUCUCCCAAUCCAAAAGUGUAUAGUGGGUGUUUUAUUUGUGAGUUAAGGGAGCAUAAGGUGAAAGACUGUUUAAGAAAGAGAAGGGAGGCAAGGAAUGCGAAUACGAGGAGAGGCAGCAGGACAUUGACGACAACGAGACCAACUUCAACAAACAAACUGACGGAAUCAACCGCAAGAGUCAUCAACAUGACUGUUUAGGAUUCGGUAGCAGCCGGGGAUGCAACUCCAAGUAUUACUCGAACCAAUUUUAUUUUCUUAUAUAUGAUUUUCUUAUAUAUAUAGUAAAUUAUUUUAUAAAUUAUUUUGAAGGAGGAAUUUGAGUUCUUUUAGAAAUCAAAUUUCUGUUUAUGAAGAUAGAUAAGCUUUUUGCUGAAUAGUUAAAGAUCAGUUAGAUCAAUUAUGAUCGAGAUCUACUUGCAAUGAUUGUAUAGGUUAUGUACCCUUAUAUGUAUAGGUUUUAAAACGGUGAUUCCGGGGACGAAAUCUUUAUAAGGGAGGGUGAAUGUAAUAACCCGAUAUUUUCUAUAUAAUUAAAUCAGAAAUUUUGUGUAUGAAUUUAUUUAUUUAUUUAUUUAUUAAAGUUGGAAAUAUGUGCCAGGUAAUGUGUAUAUGUAUAUAUGUGAUAAAUAAAAUAUAUUUAUUGCAUGAAUAAUUACCAAUAGUUUUAUUUUAGAAUUAUUGCUCAUUAUAAAUUAUAUUAUAAUAAUAAUUAGUUUUAUAGUAGAAAUGUUUUUAUUAAUUCUAUUCUAUGAAAAUGUGUUUAUAUAUUAUUUAAAAAUUAUAUGAAAUGAUUAAAGACUUAUUAUAAUGAUUAUUCUGUUUUAUUAUAUGAAUUUUAGUUCAGAUUAUUUAAGUUAAUUAUUUUAACUUAAUUAUUAUUGUUAUGUAUGCAAGAUAAAUCAGAUAUGGAAUCCAAAUCCUAAUUUUGGAUUUUGAACAACGAAUGAGAAUAAUAAUAUAAUAUUAAUUAUAUUUUUAUUCUUCAGUGCUAUAAAUAUGUAUGUUAUGUUUGUAAGGUUAAUCUGGGGAGCAAUUUCCUUAUGACCUGAUAAAACCCUAAUUUGAAAGUCAAUUACGACUGUAAAAUCUGUUAAGUCAUUGUGAUAUGUGGUAUAUGAUUUGUAUUAUAAGUAUUAAUGUUAAUUAUAUAAAACCCUAAUUAGUAAUUUAAAACUCUAUUUUUCUUAUAUUAGAAACCCUAAACAGUAAUUAGCUAUCCGCUAAGUGGAAACCCUAAUUUAAAACUCAACUAUGAGUUUGAGACUAUUAUGUAACUGUGUUAUUAUGUUUAAGGUUAAGUAUUAUAGAAUUUUAUAUUAAUUAGAGAAACCCGAAUUAACAUUUAGAAAUCCUAAUUUCCAGAAACCCUAAUUUCUAAAUUAGUAAACCUAAUUUCUAAAUUAGUAACCCUAAUUUACUAAAAUAAAAUCCUAAUUGUUAAUUUAGCACGCUUAAUGAUAAUUAGUAAAAUCUAAACCUAAUUUUCAAGUCUAUGUAAUGAGGAAACCAAAUUAAUUACGAAACCUUAAUUUGUAUUUUUAGAAACUAAAAAUUUCAAUUUUUGUUUAAAUUAGAAAUCCUACAACACUUUGUGCUAAACCUUAUGGUCAAACCCUAAGGGUCAAACCCUAAGUGUUUGAUAAGUUACUAGUUUGCCCUUAAAUUGGUUAGCCAAAUGACAAAAAUACCCCUCUUGCAUUAUUGGACAUAACUUGUAAGACUAACCAAUUUUGAGUUGCUCAACAACUCUUACCAGCCCCAUUUGACUAAAAUGCCAGCAAUUAGCCAACUUGAUUUCAUGUUAUAUAUAGAGAGAUCAGGAAAGAGAAAUUUCAUUUAUUAGCCACAUUUGUACAAAAAACUCCUUACCAACUCUCUCUCUCCCAAAACCCACGAAAUGUUGUAGUAGAUCAGUCCCAUAUUAAAGCCCCACUAACACACUUAACCAAAUCAGCAGCCAGAAUCAAGAAUUGAUGUUUAAAGGUAUAAAAUCCUAAGUUAAAGUUUUGAUCUUGUAUGCUAUAUUGGAUUUAUGGUUUUUAUGUUUAAUCAUGUAGAAUAAGGUGUUAAUAGGUGAUCUGGGUUGGCACAUGUUAGAUCCAUAACAUCAAAGUGCUCGAAAUCUAAGUUUUUCAAAAUCUGGAAUUUUUUGUUUUUGUUGUCUGACAGCGAAUGUCAGGCCUUGUAGAUCUGUGCUUGUUUAUUGUUUUGAUGAUUUAAAGGUUUGAAGUGGUAGUUUGGUAUGAGGUCUUUCAUAUGAAAGUGGAAUCACUGUUAUUGGAUGUCUAGAUCGAAAGUUAUUGAUGGUCAAAAGUCGUUGACCAACCAUGACCGAGUGUAAAUCUGGGCAACCCAGAAAGCUUUUUCAGCGUCUGACAAUGUUUUGGAAGGCUUAGAUCUGUCAGUGUGUAAAUGAUUUGAUGAUGUUAUAAUAUACAGUUUAUAGCCUGUCAUAUGUACUUUAUAUUUGUGGCUUUAGAUCCUUUAAACAAACAAUUGAUCAAACUUAGUGGAUGGUCAAACUUGGCCCCUCGGUCACGAUUUCAUUUCUGGGAAUUUCCAGAAAAUCGGAAGAACAGCCCUCUGACAGGGUUUGACCAAGUUAUAUCUUGUAGAUCUGUUGAUGUUAAACUGAUUUGUUGUUAUAUUAUUGUUCCUGGACAUAAGGACUACAUCUUUGAGGCAUUAGAUCACUUGAAUCAUGAACGGAACCUAGAUUAAAUCGAGGAUGAAAGUGACUGGUCGACCACCUGGGUUUCUGGAAAACCCAGGAAUGCUCUGACAACAUAUUUGCAAGCCUAGAUCUCCUUGUGUGUUUGUUGUAUGACCUAGAUAUUGAUUGCUAGUUAUAGUGUUGUAUAAUGACUUCAAUAUUGAUGCUUAAGUUUGCCCAGAAACGAAUUAGACAGAGAAUUAUUAGUGGUCAAAGUUGACCCCUCAAACACAAAGCUAUAAGUGUUCUUGAGCUCAAGAACACCAACAGCGACGCUUACUGUCGCUAAAAGCCAAUAACGACGGUUUCUAAUACUUUUAAUUUCUGAUUUUUCGAAAAAUACUUAAAAAUAGAAAAUAAAUUAUAAAAAUUACAAAAAUGGUUUUAAAAAUUAUUUUCAAUUAUGAAAAAUAACUUUUAAUUAUUUGGGAUAUUUUUCAUUAAUAUUUAUAUAUUUUUUAAUAUUAAUAAUAUUUAAUUUAUUUAAUUAGUGUAUUAAAUAAACUAGAGAAAAAUGAUUUUAAUGUUAUAAAAAUCAAUUGAAAUAAGAAUAAAGUGUUUAAAAAUAUUUUUGAGUUAUAUAUGUAACUUUUAAUAUUUUUGUGAUGAAUUUCAUUAAUUAAUUAAUAUUGGUGAUAAUUAAGUAAUUUAAUAAAUGUAUUAAAUAAAUUAUGAAAAAUAGAAUUUGUGAUUUAAAAAUCAUAUAAAAGUGAUUUAAAGAUUAUAAAAAAAUAUUUAAAGUUAUAAAAUAUAACUUUUGAUAUUUUGUCAUGAAAAAUAUUAAUAAUUUAAUAUUAAUAAUAUUAGAUUUAUUUAAUGAUUAUAUUAAAUAAUUUAGUUUAAAAAUAAUUUUAUUAUUAUAAAAAUCAUUUUAAAUGAAAAUAAAGUGUUUAAAGAUAUUUUAAGUUAUAAAAUAUAACUUUUAAUAUUUAAAGGAUAAUUUCAUUAAUAAUUUAAUAUUAAUGAUAUUAAUUUAAGAUUUAUUGAUAUUAAAUUUAUUUAAUAAUUAUAUUAAAUAAAUAUUUUUAAAAUGGUUUUAUUAGUUUAAAAAUCAUUUAAAAGGAUAUAAUUGAAUUAAAAAUAUUUUAAGUUGGAAUUAAUGACGUUUAAUAUUUGGAUAAAUAGUAAAUUAAUAUUUUAAUAUUAAUGGUAAUUAUUUAAAAAUGAUUUUAAAUGUUUUAAAAAUCAUUUAAGGGUAGUAUUAGUACUUUAAAAAUAUUUUGAGUUAUUAUCAAUAACUUUAAUAUUUUGGUAAUGAUUAUAUUAAUAAUUUAAUAUUAAUUAAAUAUUAAUGAUAAUAUGAUUAUGUACUAUUUAAAUCAUUUAAUUAUGAUUCCAGUGUUUGAAAUUUCAUAAUAAAUUAUAAUAAAUGUUUAAAAAUUAUUAUAAGUCAUUUAAAAAUAAUAUGAUUGAUACUUGUAGAUAUUGAGAUACAAUAUAGAGUCUUAGACUCGAUAUUUACCCAAUAAAGCCGUCGGUAGACCGACAUAUUUUAAAAAUUGAUCUAGACUUAGAUAUUUGACUGUAUUAAUGUUUGUUUGUGAUUUAAUGAUUGUUGAAUAUGUGUGACAAUGUGAUUAGGUUAUGUCCUAACUGCAAUAAGAAGUGCUAUGUGUUAUAGUAUGUUAUUCUAAUCGAACAAAUGAUUUUAUUAAUGAUAGGUUUUGGUAUUAAAGAUAAAACUAAGUUGUGUAUUGUAAGUAGCAGACCAGACAAGUAUCCUAUCUUUGCAUUUUCAUUAUGCAAUGGACAUGAGUAAGAAGUUUAGAACUGUAUUACUACUGUAUCAGAUUAUUAACCCUAUUGUUAUAUAUGUUAUAUCCGAUUAUUGUUUAUCAACAUUGUGACGACCCCAAAAUAGUUAUACAACACCCAUUCUGAGUCGCCAUAAUACAUGGUACAGAAAGAAAACUACAACUUCACUAUUACAAUUGUCAUGCAAAAUACGACAACACAUACUGUGAGUUUAAAUACAAAUAUUGUCUUCUAGACAAUAUCCACAAUCAAAUAAGUCCUCAAUACAUUUAUUAAUACAUUAUUUUACAAAAAUAGUGAGGACUGCUAAAAUAACUAUCUUGAAUCAUCACUCCAUACCCCGGCUAGUCCCUGCUAUAUUCUCACCUCCUGAGAAGAAAAAUGGAACAACAAGAAAAAGGGUGAGUUCAACUAGCCCAGUAAAGAAUAUUAUGACUAAGAUAAUAUACAACAAAUUAUCAUUAGUCCUCAACAGGGAAAAAUCUGAUAGAAUAUAAUAGACAACAAGUUUUAGAUCAGCAAAUGCAGCGGAAACAACAAUCCAUUAGAAGAGUCACGUAGAGAAUGAGUUCUACUAUCUUCUAAGAUUUAAAAGUCCAUCAUCAAUAUUUUAUCCCUGUAACAACAAUCAAUAUACAUCUUUACACUACAGGCCAAAGAUAUUCAUUUAAAUCACCAGUCGGUCAUGUUCAUCUCAACACCUGUUCAUCUUUGCACUACGGGCCAAAGAUAUUCAUCAGUUUAUCAUUCAUCUUUGCACUACAGGCCAAAGAUAUUCAGUAAUAUCAUCAUUUAGGACUGAGGAUGAUGAAAAAUAUUUUUUUUUAAAGAAACGAAUCCAGUGAAACAAAAGGACAAGGAUUAAGAAUUCGUACUUUAGUUUGUCCAAAUUCAAAAAUACUCCAUAAUAAACAAUUAUGGGACAAAUUUUAAGAAUGAAGAUCAAAACAUGGAUAUAAUCAAAGCUAGUAUCAUAAUGGACAUUUUGGAUAAAAAGGAAAUUUUUUAUUUUUCGGUGAAUAAUGUCGUAUUCGUGAAUAGUGCUGUAUACGUGAAUAGUGCCGUAUACGUGAAUAGUAACCCCGACACAAAAAGUUCCAAAUUUGAUAAAAAGAUCAGAUCAAUAUUUCGACGUAAUGAUAUUGACGAAAAUAAUAUCAUUCAUGAAGAAAAUAAUAUUCCUUACCUCAAAGAAGCAGUACUUCGGAAUGAAAGGUCGGAAGUGAUGCUGAAUGAAACUUGUACUGAACAACAACUCUCAAAGUAUCUAAAUACUCACAAAAUACGCUCGAUAAUAUAGAGAGAAAGAGAGAAAGCUUAUGUUUCUUGUGUGAUUUUCAAUUCUAACUUAGCCAUCUAUUUAUAGAAAAAUGUUAACCCGCCGAAGCAGACUUGACCUGCUACCUGAUGGCUUUACCUGUUACUAUUGCCACCCACCACAUUUAAAAUUCAAUUUGAGCACAUUUCUCACCAACCACAAGUGGGGCCCAUUCAAUUCUAGAAUUUUCCACCAAAAUCAUUUAUAACCCUAAUUUCCGAAGCAGUCACCUCUUAAAAUUCAUAACAAAUCAUUCGUUCAUUUUUAACGGUUCAAAAUUUGUGGACAUAUACCCAACUUAUAUAUGUAUAACAUAACCAAAAAUCACAACAAUCCAACGGUCAGAGUAAAAAUUAUAACUCACGCAAUAUAUCGUAAAAAUACUGAUUUGAUUUUUAAUACCUCCAUUCCGACAAAAAUAUAGAUAAAACACCUCAACAUUAACUCCUUCAAUUAUAAUCACAUAAAAUAAACAAAUCCAUCAUUUAUAUAAAAUAAAUAUUUCCUUAUCAUAUAAAUCAAUAAUUAAUUAUUCACAAAUAAUAUUAUAGAAUCACAAUUAUGACAACCAAGCCGUUUCCAGGAAAGAGGGGGCUUUCCAAUAAGGAUUUCUCCUUACUGGCGCGCAAUUAGAUGACCUAACCUCUCCUUAACAGAACUUUCUAGACAUUGCCAAUAAUGCUAUCUAAUAAUAUUAUUAAAGCAAUAUGAAUUAUUGAUCUGAUAAUGGGAAAUACUGUGCAGUAACAAUAAUUGAAAUAAUAAUAAUAUAAAAUAUCAACGCAGCAAUUAUUGAAUCAAUAAAAUAAAAUAUUAAACAGUAACUACUGUAACAAUUAUUGAGUAGUGCCUUCUUACGUAAGAAUCAAUAAUUCAACUAUACUGUGUAAUACCGUGUGCUACUGUGCAACUACGCGUAUUACUGUAUUUUAACCACCAGGUAAUCCAACAGUGUUAACGGUAACAACUGCGCCGUUAUUUAUAAAAACACAUACUUGUCGUUUUCCUUCAUCCAACCAUUUUUCAUUAUGGGGCCCACAAAUGGCUGCGCCGUCGUACGAAUAUUCCCUGACAGCAAGAAUAUUCCACGACGAAACGAAUAUUCCCCGACAACAAUGAAUAUUUUAUAACCACUUGCUUAUUUUGCAAAAUUUGCUUAUCUCAUCCAUAACCAAAAUAUUAUAUCAAAUUAACACCUUAUUAUUCACAAUAAUAAUAAUUAGAGGAAAUUCAAUUUCAUUUAUAAAAAGUUGGGGUCUUACAAACAUGAUAUUAUAUUAUAUAAUUCAGAUAUAUAUUCUGUUCGUUAAUUUCUAAAAAUGAUUUAAUCACAUGUUGAUAUAUAUAUAUAUAUAUAUAUAUAUAUAUAUAUAUAUAUAUAUAUACCUAUUGAACCCCAGUAUGUAUACAUUAAGUAAAAGUCGUCUAAGCUAUUCAACUAGCUAGACACAGAUUUAGAUAUAUCAUUGAAUAUGAUAAAACUUUUUUGUAUCCAAUCAAAUUGUUUUGGUUCGGAUUCCAGACUAAGUAUGAACAUCCAGAACAUGGGAAAACUUUUAUGCACCUAAGACGGACAGAGUGAAUGAUAAUAUCGUUCUUGCAUGCAGUAUUGAUCAAUACAGGGUCCUUGGGAUGUACACCCUCGUGCCCAUAAGUUAUGACGGUUUGCAAAUGAAGUUCUACUUUACCUUUUUGAAAAUAGAAAAUAAUGUUCAUAAUAUGUCACCCUAACCCUAUAUAUAGUCAAUACGUAGUUUCAAAAAUGUGAGAUAGAGUUGUUAUGUUAUUAUUAUCGGUUUAGUUUACUUCACAACUAUUGAAUCGUUGUAGAAGUAAUGUACAAAGAAAACAUUUAAUUCUUUCAGAUAAUUAUAUUUAUAAUUGUUAUUACUUGCUGGGCACUCAAAUGCUCAUCCUUGCUUAAUUUAAAUGUUUUCAGCUAAGCGUGAUCAAUCUGAAGGUUUAGACAAUAAUAAGUGAAAAGGAAAGCAAACAGAAUAUGUUUAACGGUAUCUUUUGUAAUAGUUAAACUGUAUUAAGAUAAUGAUAUGUAUUAUCUAUCAUGUAAAGAAUUAUAGUAAAUGUUGCGUACUUGGGAUUAGACUAUGAUAUUUGUAAAUUAAGUUUGAUUUUUAUAUUAUUGUUAUUAUUAUUAUUAUUAUUAUUCUGCUCAUAAAAAUGGUAUCGUGAAGCACCGAGUUCGGGUUUCAAGUACCUAAAUUUGGGGGCGUCACAAAUAUGGCUCAGUUAUUGGAGCGCGAUAAUGAGUCAACCCAACCAAGAGAGAGUAGCCGACAAAAUGAUAAUACCAGUGGUAGCAGUCAUCGAAGCGGUGUCAACAAACGUGGAGGGAAUCAACAUGCUAGAAAUGGUAACCACUUCGGUAGUAAUCAUGGCGAAGAUAAUAAAAAUGGAAAUUUCAAGAAGAGGAGAAUCAACAAUGAUGGAAAGACGUCAGCACCAGAACCCGUUGGUAAGGAAGGAGAACGACCAGCGAUCGUAUGCUACAAAUGCGGAGGGGAGGGAUACAUCAGUCCAAACUGUGCGCAGCCGUCCAAAAUGUAUUAUAAUUAUGGAAGAGAAGGUCACCUAGCUCGAUUUUGUCUUGCAAGGAAGCCAAGUCAAGCUGGGAUGGAGGCACCAAAGGUCAUCCCAGAAAAGUCAAAACCAGUAGUUCAAGGGAGAGCGUUUUUCGUGACCUCCCAGAAAGCAAGGAACCUGAACGAGGUUAUCAUGGGUAAGCUAAUCAUAAACUCUAGCGAAGUAUAUACCUUAUUUGAUAACGGUUCUACCCAUUCUUUUAUUUUACUAUUGGCACUCAACGUUUAAAUUUAACUCUGGAGAAAUUAGACUUUGACUUAUCUGUUAAAACUCCGUUGGGAGAAACCUUCAUUACAUCCACUGUUUAUAAGUCUUGUUUAGUUCAAAUCGGUACCCUCACAUUACCUGUCGAUCUUAUUUCUUUAAAAAUACUUGCAUUUGAUGUGAUUUUAGGGAUUGAUUGGUUAACUACUCAUCAUGCAAAAAUUGAUUGUUUUCGUAAGGUUGUUAGCUUUCAUAUUCCUAACCAACCUAUUAUGCGAAUUCAAGCAACCAAACCACUAAAGUCAAUCACUGUCAUAUCAAGCCAUAAAGCUAUUCAUUUAUUGAAAAAUAGAUGUCAAGCUUUCUUAGCCCAUGUCACAAAUUUAAACAAAAAUACGUCAUAUUUGAAUGAUAUUUCUAUUGUUAAUAAAUUUCCAGAUGUAUUCCCUGAAGAACUUCCUGGCCUACCCCCAGAGCGUAAAAUUGAGUUUGUAUUGACCUCGAACUCGGUAAAAGACCCAUUUCCAAAGCCCCAUAUCGAAUGGCUCCUAUUGAACUUCAGGAGUUAAAAACCCAACUGCAGGAGUUGUUAGACAUCUGUUUCAUUUUUCCUAGUACGUCUCCUUGGGGUUCUCCUGUUCUAUUCGCAAAGAAGAAAGAUGGGAGUAUGCGACUUUGUAUUGACUAUCGGGAGUUAAAUCAUGUCACUAUCAAAAAUAGGUACUCGUUGCCUCGCAUUGAUUACCUGUUUGACCAGUUGUAAGGAGCCAAAUUCUUUUCAAAGAUCGAUCUUCGUUCUGGAUAUCACCAGUUAAAGAUUAAAACUGAUGACAUCCGAAAGACUGCUUUCAGAACUCGGUACAGGCAUUAUAUAUGAAUUCCUAGUCAUGCAUGUCCGUUGGAUUGACUAAUGCUCCUGCUGCUUUCAUGGAUAUGAUGAACCGAGUAUUCAAGGAAUAUUUGGAUCAUUUUGUGGUCAUUUUUAUUGAUGACAUCCUCAUAUACUCCAAAAUCCGUGAAGAUCAUGAGCAACACUUGAGGUUUAUACUUCAAAAGUUUCGUGAAAACAAGCUUUAUGCCAAGUUGAAGAAAUGCGAGUUCUGGCUUAAGGAAGUGGCAUUCCUUGGGAACGUGAUAUCAAUUCACGGAAUAUCUGUUGACCCAUUGAAGAUUAAAGCAAUUCAGAGCUGGGAGCAACCUAAGUCAGUGACCGAAGUACGUAGCUUUCUGGGCUUAGCUGGUUAUUAUCGGAGAUUCAUGGAUGGAUUUUCUCGAAUUGCUACUCUAUUAACUCAGCUGACUCGAAAAGAUACAAAAUUCGGUUGGAGCGAGGAAUGUGAGAAAAGUUUUCAAGAACUCAAGAGAAGACUCAUUUCAGCACCUGUUCUGAUAAUACCAUCUGGCUCGUAGGGAUUUAUCAUCUACAAUGAUGCUUCAGGCAAAGGGUUAGGAUGUGUUCUCAUGCAACAUGGGAAAGUCAUAGCCUAUGCAUCAUGACAACUCAAAGAAUAUGAGAGGAAUUAUCCUACUCAUGAUCUAGAGUUGGCAGCUGUCGUUUUUGCGCUUAAGAUUCGGAGGCAUUACCUGUAUGGAGAGAAUGUGGAGAUCUAUACGGAUCAUAAAAGCCUCAAAUAUUUCUUCACUCAAAAGGAGCUCAACAUGCGACAACGACGUUGGCUUGAGCUAUUGAAAGACUACGAUCAUACCAUUUAAUACCAUCUUGGAAAAGCGAACGUAGUAGCUGACGCAUUGAGUAGAAGAUCAUAUGCGGGUACGAGUGCGAUAUUGUUAACGCAAAGACCCAUUUUGUAUGACUUACAAAGGAUGGAAAUAGAGUUAAAGACUCUAGGGACCCAAGUGAUGAUGGCAAAUAUACGAUUAGAACCGACUUUAAUCGAUAAAGUUAAAGCUGCUCAACUUACGGACCUGGAGCUGAUGCGUAGUAGGAAGAAAGUACAAGGUGCUAUCCUGGAAGCAAGAAUCGAUGAAGAAGGAAUACUAUGAGUCAACUCUAGACUUUGUGUUCCUAACGACCCUAAUUUAAAGUAUAAAAUCAUGAUGGAGGCGCACAACACACCGUUUGCAAUCCAUCCUGGGAGUACCAAAAUGUAUCGUGAUCUUCGACAUAUAUUUUGGUGAAGUAAUAUAAAGAGAGAGAUAACAGAGUUUAUCUCAAGAUGUUUAACUUGUCAACGUGUCAAGGCGGAGCAUCAAGUGACAAAAGGUCCAUUGCAACCACUUGAAAUUCUAGAAUGGAAGAGGGAGCACAUUACCAUAGAUUUUGUUAUUGGUCUUCCCAAGGUUUCUCAAGGCAUAGUUGCAAUUUGGGUCAUUGUUGAUAGAUUGACCAAGUCUGCUCAUUACUUACCUAUACGAGAAACCUAUACACUUGAACGUCUUGCUCGUAUAUACAUAAACGAGAUUGUAAGACUGCAUGGUAUACCAGUAUCCAUAGUUUCUGAUCGAGACCUAAGAUUACUUCACGAUUUUGGGUCAGUUUGCAGAAAGCUAUGGGCACGGAUUUGCGAUUCAGUUCUUUGAUGCCCCCAAAAUAGGUAUACAUCACCCAUUUUGAGUCGCCAGAUACAUGGUACAAAAUUCAAAUACAACUUAAUUAUACAACAGUCGUGUAAAUACGACAAAACAUAAUCUAAGAGUUUUAAUAAGAAUAUUGUCCAUCUAACAAUAUCCACAAUCAAUGGAGUCCUCAUUACAUUUAUAAUCACACUAUUUCACAGAAUAGUGAGGACUACUAAUACAAACAUCUGGACCGUCACUCUGUUCCCCGACUAGACCCAGCUACGUUCUCAUUUCCUGAAGAGAACCAUGAAAGAAAAGGGUGAGCUCAACUAGCCCAGUAAGAAAUAUUAUGACUAAGAUAAUGCAAAAUAAAUUAUCCUUAGCCUUCAACAGUAUAACAACUGAUAGAAUAUAAUAGACAACAAGUUUUAGAUCAAAAACUGCAGCGAAAUAAGCAAUCCAUUAGAAGAGUCAAGUAGAGCAUAAAAUCUACUAUCUUCUAUGAUUUAAAAAGUUUUUCAAAAUUUUUAUCGCUGAGACUCAGCUUAAUAUAUAUAUAUAUAUAAAAGCAAUAAACGCACCGGAUGUAGACUUACAGUGGACUGCCAAAGUAGACUUCUUGGACUGCAAAUGGAUGAACACUCGUCUCUCGCCGGACUAAAAGUAGCUAUAUACGAGCUAACUAGUGUUUAAAGAAAAGGAAACACUCAAAAGAUGUGUAUGCAGAGCUAAACGGACAGGGCUUCCUCGCCUUUUUCCCUCUCUUCCUUCUCUCAAAUGGCUGACCCCCCCUCUAUAUUUAUAGACGGAUGGCCGCAGGUCUACCUGCGGCUGGUCGUGGUGGGCCCGGGCAUCGCGGGUCUCGUCGUCUUGUAGUACGUGCACUUGCGCACGGUAAUGUCCAAUCGAACUUUCAGAACUUCAAUCCUAGCAUCCAAACGAAGCGUGUCUGUACUUCUUCGGACCGCUGGUGUCGAGAGUUACGUAAUGACAUGGAUUAGAGGUUGUACGAAGUCAGGAAGCGGGGUAUAUGCCCAUGGUCUUCAGGCUUCAAAUUCUAUCCAAAGUAUUGUCACAGGUAAUAGUCACUCGGGAUUGUCAUUCCUCGGUUAUUUGGGACAUUGUUGUAUGUAUGUAUGUCUGAAAGGUUGAGACGACGUGCCAUUUGUUGGACGAACAAGAUGAUGUUUGACUCUUUGCCGGAGUUAUCGCCUGGUUGAGCUGAAAGUAACCGUUGCUCAGGUUACAUCUGAGAUUGGACUACUUGUUGGUAUGCUGCUAUAUCAUCUUGUUACGAGAUGACGUUGGUGACUCCUCACCGGGUUUAUCGCCGGUUUAAGCGGAAAGCAGACGUUGAUCAGGGUUACAGCUAAGAUUGGACCGCCUAUUUGUAUGCCUCACUGUCAUCUGUGAUUGAAGCUGAUUGCAUGUGUUUGCAACAAGCAAUUCUGGAGUUAUCGCCGGAACUGCGAUGGCAUCACUUGGGGUUAUCACCAAGGAUGGGACUACUACUCCCAAUGUUGUCUCUGGGACUGGAACUGAACGUCGCGGUGUCAUCACCGAGACAGGACUGUCCUCUCCGGUGUUGUUGCCGGUCUUUUGAUCUGCACAUCUCGGGGUUAUCUCCGAGAUUGGAAAUGACGUGCCCGGUGUGUGUUCCGGGUUUGGAACCGAUGCUCCCGGUUUGUGUUCCGGUUUGGAGCGAAACUUCCGGUAGUAUCUGGACUUGUUGUGAGCUGUCUUUCAGGGUUAUCUCCAAAAGACGAAUCUACCCUCCUGCAAUGUUAGUAAUAGGAGUGCAGAAAAUUUCGAGUGUCUACAACACCUAGCAACCCAGAUCAUCACUAUAGACUAAAAACAACAUAUUCUAACACCCAAACAUAACAUUUAACAACAUAUCAAAGGUCAGAUUUUUAGGUUUAGUGUUAUACCUUCUUGCUCAAUUUCUUGAUUUUAUGUUACUGAUUUGUUAUGGGAUUUCGUGGGGCUUGAAAAUGGGACAAAAAUGCUAUAGAUUUUCGUUGGUUCUAGUGAGAGAAGCUCUUGGUUGAGUGUUGUGCAAUUUUUAGUGAACAAAUGCAUUUUCUCUAUCCUUAAAUCUAUUUAUAGACAAAUUAGAUACAUGAAUGGCUGAGCUAGAACUUGUUGUUGUCAAUUUAGUGUCACAUGGCUACUCUAGGGUUAGCCAACCACUCCAUCUAGACCUAUUUCUACAAGCAAGCUUCAAUAAUACAAUAGGGCACAAAAGUCUUUUGGCUAGCAAUUUUAAGGGCAUUUUUAUAACUUGUCAAACCCUUAGGGUUUAACCCUUAGGGUUUAGCACAUAACACAAAUGAUUUUUAGCAACUUAGGGUUUGAAUAAAAUAAAAUUAUUUUAGCUUCUAAAAUUUGAAAAUCAAGAUUUGUUAAUUAGAUUAAGUUAGUAAUUAUAUUAUACAUGAACAUUAGGGUUUAGUACCACUAAUCAUAAUUAACCUUGCCAAAAUAGCAAUUAGGGUUUAAGAUUUUAAUAAUUAGGAUUUCUAAAACUCAAUUAGGAUUUUCUAAUUAUCCAAUUAGGGUUCUGAACAUUAGGGUUUUAAUUUAAUAAUUAUGUUUACCAUAAUUAGCAAUUAAAGUCUAUUGUACGUGUUAUUAAUCACAGUAACAUAAUUUUUGACAGAUAAAAUUCUUCAGUUUAAGUUUUGAUUUAGGGUUUCUAAUAUCAGAAAUUCAAAUCUAAUUAGGGUUUGACAUUUAUAAUUAGGGUUCCCUAAUUGGCAUAUCAUUAUGUAACACAACAUAUAACACAGUUAUAUAACAGUCUCAAAUUUCCCAUUUAAAUUGAAAAACAGGGUCAAACCAAUUAAUGCUAGGGUUUGGUCAAUAUACACCAUAAUUGACCAACCAUCAACAGUACGUACAUACAGUACAUAUUUAUGGCACUGAGAAAUUAAAAUAUUAUAAUAUUAUAUAUUAUUCUCAUGCCUUGAUCAAAACCCAAAAUUAGAGUUUGGAUUCCGUAUCUGAUUUAUCUGCCAUAAAUAACCUUAUUAAUUAAGUUAAAAUAAUUAACUUAAUAAUCUGAACAAAAUUCAUAUAAUAAAAUAAUUAUUAUAAUUAUUCUAACAUCAUUUCAUAUAUUACUUAUAUUUUCAAGGAAAAUAAUUAAUAAAACAUUUCUAAUAUAAAAUUAACUGUUAUAAGAAUAUAAUUUAUAAUAAUUAAUAUUUCUAAAAUAAAUCAAUUUGUAAUAAUUAAUGUAAUAAAUUUUAUUUAUCACACAUAUAAUUAUACACAUAUUACCUUGGCACAUAUCACCCAUAUUUAUUUUAAUAAAUAAUAAAAAAAAAAUUUAUACGCAAAAUUUAUGAUUUAUUUAUAUAGAAAAUAUCGGGUUGUCACAUUCUUCACAUUCAUCAGAUUCGGGUGUGUAGCUUGAGCGGCUUUAACUUUAUCGAUUAAAGUCGAUUCUGCUCGUAUAUUCGUUAUCUUCACGUGGGUCCUUAGAGUCUUUAACUCUAUCUUCAUCAUUUGUAAGUUAUACGAAAUGGGUAUUUGUGUUAACAACAUCGCACUUGUAAACACAUACGAUCUUCUACUCAAGGCGUCAGCUACUACGUUCGCUUUUCUACGAUGAUAUUGAAUGGUAUAGUCGUAAUCUUCAAUAGCCCGAGCCAACGUCUUUGGCGCAUGUUACGUUCGUUUUAAGUGAAGAAAUAUUUGAGGGUUUUAAAAAUGGGUUUUGUACUGGGGUCAAUACAAAAUUUGAUUUCACGCUCUAGGGGUAGGCUAAGAAGUCUUCAGGAAUACGUCAGGAAACUUAUUAACGAUAGAAAUAUCAUUCAAAACUGUGACUCUCAUCCCAAGACUUGGAUAGCCCGUCAUAUUGAUACCUAUCAACUUGCCACCGUUAUUCACGGCGUCCCCUACGGAUAGUCUGGCUUCGGUGUAUUCCAAGACUUGGAAGUCAUCAGCGAAAGGCUUAGGUCUCUUUACUUAUGGCUUGAUAUGACAAUGAUUGGCUUUAGUGGUUUGGUUGCUUGAAUUCGCAUAACAGGUUGGUUAGGAAUAUGAAAGCUAACAACCUUACGAAAAGCAUGAUGAGUAGUUAACCAAUCGACUCCUAAAAUCACAUCAAAGGCAAGUAAUUUCAAAGAGAUAAGAUCGACAGGUAACGUGAAAGUGUCGAUUUGAAUUAAACAAGAUUUAUAAACAGUGGAUGUAAUUAACGAAGGUUUCUCCUAACAUAGUUUCAACCGAUAAGUCAAAGUCUAAUUUCUCCGGAGUUAAGUUCAAACAUUGAACACAACUAGGUGAAAUAAAAGAGUGAGUAGAACCGGUAUCUAACAAGGUAUAGACUUCGCAAGAGUUUAUGAUUAACUUACCCGUGAUAACUUUAUUCAGGUUUCUCGUCACGAAAAACGCUCUCUCUUAAACUACUGAUUUUGACUUGUCUGGGACAUCCCAGUUGGACUUAACUUUGCUGUAGAGUACAUUCCACCCUUAAUUGCUUCAUCACAUUCCUGAUCCAUGAUUCGAAUCAUUACUCUCUGAUCCAUAUCGAAUUGGGGUUAACCGCUCUGCACAGGGUAAUUUCGAAUUCGAUGUUGGAUUCUCCCAAUUGUUGUCCAAAAAGCAAAAUCCAUUUCAUCUAUUUUAGCCUUAUUGGAUCUGACGUCUUUUUCUACAAUAUCUACACGUCGUGCGACUUUUACCCAUGCAUCAUCUAUUCUCAUUCGUUCAGUUGUUUUUUCUUUCAUCAGAACUUUGAUCAUAGCAUUCUUAAAUUCCAGCUCUAAUAUCUUAUACUCUGCCAAAGAGUGCUUCUGUUCGAGCAUCGUACAUCGGGUAACACAAUUUUGAAUUGCUACAUCUCUUUGCUCCACGACCGCCUGUCGUUCUUCAGCCUGCUCUUCUAGCUCAUGAAUACAAUUUUGUAAUUCUAAAUUUCGAUCAUAAAAUUCUUCUAAUAAAUUCACCUCAGGUUCCUCUUCUUCCUCACUCUCAGCUGCUACCUCUGCAACUAGCUCGAGUGCAACUAUUAGUUCUUCACUCACCAUGUAGAUAUCUCUAAUUUCUUCUUCGUUUGACAUCACAUUAACCUGGUUAGUGAUUAAAGGUGUCUCAACGAUCUCAUUCACUGCAUUGUUAAUAUUUUUAGCCGCCAUUUUUAAAUACUGUCAUAAAACAAGGGUGAAUUAACAUAUCACAUAUUAUCAAUAUAUUAUGACCGACCAAUUAAAUACCAAAUAAACUUAGGUAGGUCAUACUAGCAAAGGAAUUCCCCGUCUCUCCCCUCCUAGUUCUUGUCUCACAUCUCAGCCAGGGAUCAUAUCCCUAAGCUUUGAUACCAACUGUGACGCCCCCAAAACAGGUAUUCAUCACCCAUCUUGAGUCGCCAAAUACAUAGUACAAAAUUUAAAUACAACUUAAUUAUACAACAGUCGUGUAAAAUACGACAAAACAUAAUUUAAGAGUUUUAAUAAGAAUAUUGUCAUCUAGACAAUAUCCACACUCAAUGGAGUCCUCAUUACAUUUACUGUCACACUAUUUAACAGAAUAGUGAGGACUACUAAUGCUAACAUCUGGACCGUCACUCUGUUCCCCGACUCGUCCCAGCUAUAUUCUCAUUUUCUGAAGAGAACAGUGAAAGAAAGGGUGAGCUCAACUAGCCCAGUAAGAAAUAUUAUGACUAAGAUAAUGCAAAAUAAAUUAUCAUUAGCCUUCAAUAGUAUAACAACUGAUAGAAUAUAAUAGACAACAAGUUUUAGAUCAAAAACUGCAGCGGAAUAAGCAAUCCAUUAGAAGAGUCAAGUAGAGCAUAAAAUCUACUAUCUUCUAUGAUUUAAAAAGUUUUUCAUCAUUUUUAUCGCUAAGACUCAACUUAAUAAAUAAAAUUGAAUCAUCCCUGCACCACAGCGAAGUUUAUUCAUGUAAUCAUCAAUGGUCAUGACUAUACCGAAUAAUCCCUAGUCAUAAUCAUACCAACAACUGUCCACCAAUGAAUUACAUGCCAAUGAUGACUUUUACCACAUCAUUCGUCACAUUACAGUCAUGAUUAUACCGAAUAAUCCCUGGUCAUAAUCAUACCAAGUCCAUCUAUGCACGUAAGUCAAAGAUGACUAUCAUCACAAUAUAAGCAUGAAGAUGAUAACAAUGACAUAAUAAUUCAAUAAAACAAGUUCAAGGAUAAAUUUUAAAGAUUUAUAAUUUAAUUUAUCCAGGAAUCAAUAACGUCUAAUUUGUCAACAUGAUACUGCUUUGUGGAGUAAAAUUCAAGAAUGCUCAGAAGAAUAUUUCUAUGAAAAGAUACUGGAUGAAGUGCAAAUAUCUAGGAUAUUCUACUAAUUUUAUGGAGUAUAGAAGCCAAAACUUUAACCAACUGAGUAUAAUAGAAUAUAUGAAGCUGUAAAUGGAUUUUCGCCCGCCAUGCGGUAAUCCAUGUAGACAGAUCAUUUCCACAUUUUAAUAAGGAAUGAAUACGAAGGAUCAUUCACCAUGCAUGCGAUAAUCCACAUAGACAUGUUAUUCCAACAGAAUAACAAAGUAUGGAAUAACAGAAGAAUUCACCAUGCAUGCGAUAGACCACACAGACAGGUUAUUCCAACAGAAUAAUAAAGAAUGAAAUACUAAAAGAAUUCACCAGGUGUGCGUAGUCCGCACAGACAGGUUAUUCCAGCAGAAUAAUAAAGAAUAGAAUAACAGAAGAAUUUACCAGGCGUGCUUAAUCCGCACAGACAAGUUAUUCCAACAGAAUAAUAAAGAAUGGAAUAACAGAAGAAUUCUCCAGGCGUGCGUAAUCUGCACAGACAGGUUAUUCAACCAGAAUAAUAAAGAAUGGAAUAAUAGAAGAAUUUUGCCACGCAUACGGUAAUCCGUGUAUACAGGUUAUUCCAACAGAAUAAUAAAGAAUAGAAUAACAGAAGAAUUUCACCACACAUACGGUAAUCCGCGUAUACAUGUUAUUCCAACAGAAUAAUAAAGAAUGGAAUAACAACCCUGACAAGUAUUGAAAGAAAUAACUCUCUUAAUAAAUACGAAAGAAAUAAUACCCCUUACCUUAGAAGAAAACUAGAAUAGUGAGGUAGCAGACUUCUCUUCUUCUUUCUCUCUAUAAUUUCUCUCUAUAAUAAUUUCUCUAUAGCUUUAGUGAAUUGGUGAACAAUAAUGAAGGAAUGAGCUUCUAUUUAUAGAAAAAUAUAGUUUCAACAAUUGCACAUUUUGGGGCUCAAAAAAUUACAGUAUAAUAUCUUCUUCUUUUUCUUCAUUUUUAAUUUAGUCCUGCAAGUAUUAUCAAACUUGCACCACCUCCUCUUGGAAGUCCUUGAAUCAAUCAGCUCGAAACAAUCCUUCUUGGACUCAAAUUCUAGUUAAAAUUACCUUUUCUACGCGUACCCAAGCCCCAGCUUGGGUAUUGCCUUGUAAAUAGUAAGCCCCGGCUUGCUAUGCUUCUGAUUUUGAACUCAGGACCCCAAGCCCCGGCUUGGGUAUAAAGCUUAAAAGAGCAAGCCCCGACUUGGGUGCAAGCUGCUAAUAGUUUUUUCUGCUGCAGUGUCCUCAGGUAAAAUGGCCAUAACUUUUGAUCCGGGAGGAGUUACGGGGCCUGCCACCUAUCAAAUCAAAGAUAUCGACGAGAUCUACAACUUUCAUUCUUUGAGAAUUGAGUAAUAACGAACGAAUGAAGGUAGAAAUUGGACUAGAAAUGACUGUUAUGCAAAUGGCCACCCAAAAUAGCGAAGUUAUUCAACAGUCUCCUGUGCUCCAUUGAUAUUCUCAACAUUCUCGGUUGUCAUUUUCAAAUACUGCCACAAAACAAGGGUUAAAUAACAUCACAUAUUAUCUCUAUACUCUGACCGACCAAUUAAAUACCAAAUAAACUUAGGUAGGUCAUACUAGUUCCCCGUCUCUCCCCACCUAGUUCUUAUCUUACAUUUUAGUCAUGGAUCAUAUCCCUAAGCUUUGAUACCAACUGUGACGCCCCCAAAAUAAGUAUACAUCACCUAUUCUGAGUCGCCAAAUACAUGAUAUAAAAUACAAAUACAAUCUUAAAUAUACAACAUAAGUUGUGAGUUUUAAUACAAACAUUGUCUUCUAGACAGUAUUAAAACUCAAAAUAAGUCAUCAAUACAUUUAUUAACACACUAUUUCACAGAAUAGUGAGGACUACUAAUGCUAUCCUCUGGACCAUUACUCCAUUCCCCGACUCGUCCCAGCUAUAUUCUCAUUUCCUGAAGAGAACAAUGAAAGAAAGGGUGAGCUCAACUAGCCCAAUAAGAAAUAUUAUGACUAAGAUAAUGCAGAAUAAAUUAUCAUUAGUCUUCAACAAUGUUAAACUGAUAAAAUACAAUAACUGCAGCGAAAUAAGUAAUCCAUUAAAAGAGUCAAGUAGAGAAUAAAAUCUACUAUCUUUUAUGAUUUAAAAGGAUUUUCAUCACUUUUAUCGCUGAGACUCAGUUUAAUAAAUAAUCCACAUCAUCGAAUCACCCCUGCACUACGGCCAAGGAUAUUCUUUAGUAUUACAACCAUAAAUAUCCAUGCACUACGGGCCAAGGACAUUCGUGUAUUCAUUAAUGGUCAUGAUCAUGCCAAAAACUGUCCAACAAUACACUACGGUCAAUGAGGACUUUUACCACAUCAUUUGUAACAUUACGGUCGUAAUUAUACUGAAUAAUCCCUGGUUAUAAUCAUACCAAGUCCAUCUAUACACUACAGGCCACAGAUGACUUUCAACAGAAUAUAAACAUGAGGACGAUGACAAUGAUAUAUGAAUUCAAUAAAACAAGUUCAAGAAUUUAUUUGUCCAGGAACCAAUAACGUCCAAAUUGUCAACAAGAUACUGUUUUGUGGGAUAAAAUUCAAGAAUGCUCAGAAGAAUAUUUUCAUAAAAAGAUAUUGGAUGAAGCGCAAAUAUCAAGGAUAUUCCACUAAUUUCAUGGAGUAUAGAAGUCAAAACUUUAACCAACUGAGUAUAAUAAAGAAUGAAAUAACAAAAGAAAUCACCAUGCACGUGGUACUUCGCAUAGACUGGUUAUUCCAACAGAAUAAUAAAUAACGGAACCAGGUUAGGCAAAAUUCGCACCGAUAGGAUGUUCCAACUGAAUAAUAAAGAAUGGAAUAACAACAGAAAUCACCAUGCAUACGGUACUUCGCAUAGACAGGUUAUUCCAACAGAAUACUAAAUAACAGAACCAGGUCCGGCGUAAAACGCACAGACAGGAUAUUCCAACACAAUAAUAAAGGCGGAACCAGGUCCGGCGUAAAAGUCACAGACAUGAUAUUCCAACAGAAUAAUAAAUACGGAACCAGGUCCGGCGUAAAACGCACAGACAGGAUAUUCCAACAGAAUAAUAAAGAAGAAAAUAACAGAAGAAUUUCAUCAAAUAUAGGGUAGCCCGCGUAUACAGGUUAUUCCAACAGAAUAAUAAAGAAUGGAAUAACAGAAGUUCUCUUCAUGAAUACAAAAGAAAUAAUACCCCUUACAGUUACAACAAAUAAUAUCCAUUACCGUAAAAGAAACUGGAUAUAGGAAAAUAAAGUUAGCAGACUUCUCUUCUUCUUUCUCUCUAUAAUUUUCUCUCUUUAAAGUUUCAGUGAAUUCGUAAGAAAUAAUGAAGGAAUGAACUUCUAUUUAUAGAAGAAUGGACUGCAUAGUAACUAAUUCAUGAACGGUCCAGAUUGAUUUACUUUUAAUCGAACGAUCCAUAAUUAAAGCAAAGUUUUUUAAAUAAAAUAUAAUAUAUUAUAUAUAUAACAUGUGCAAGAAAAGAAAAAUCACGGGUGGAAGACCCGUGAAUUCAUCUUACUCCCUCUGUCCAUUUUUUCAAACUUACAUAUAUAUAAUAUAAUAUAAUAUAAUAUACAUAAUAAUACUCCUCCCGUCCAUUUCAUCCAUACCCCCCCACCCAAGACUUUUCAUCACAUAUAUAAUAUAAAACAUAUAUAUAUAUAUAUAUAUAUAUAUAUAUAUAAUACUCCCACUAACUUUUCCUUCAACCAACCCGUGACAAACAUAACAUUUCACCCAAGACUUUCCUCCACAAAUGGGCCCCACCCGUGGCCCUCCUAAAAUAACUUCUAUCGAUUAUUUUGAAAACUGGAUAAAUAGGGAUCCAUAAAAUACGUCAAAAUUCACAACAAUUACUAUAACAAUAAUUGAACAAAACUGAGUAGUUCAACAGUAUUAACGGUAAAACUUCCGCCGUUACUUUCAAUAAAAUAUUUUUGUCGUUUUCUCAAUCCGACAAUAAUUCUGUUGUGGGGUCCACCAAUGAUUGUACCGUCGUACGGAUAUUCCCUGACAAAAAGAAUAUUUCCCGACCAAUCGAAUAUAAUAUGACAACUUGCAUACUUUGCAAAAUUUAUAAAUAUUACCCACAAUUAUAAUAUUAUAUCAAAUUAUUCCAUAAUAUUCAAAAAUGAUAUUUAUUGAAAAUUCAUUUUUAUUCAUAAAAGUUGGGGUCUUACAGUAGUUAAAUUCUUAUUUUUGACAUUUUUCAAAUAUUUCAUCCAUGCUUUUACAAUAGACAUCUUUCACUUUGAUGGCGUUUGACAUGCUUACAACAAGUAAUAGAAAUCAUUUUACAGUCAUUAUUUGCAUUAAUCAAGCAUGUUAGUCACAUAGUCAAGUCGUAGUUUCAAUGGUAAUGAAUAGAUUUCUUAUAUGUAAUACAUUUUUCAAAUAUCUCAUCCAUGCUUUUAUCAUCACCAUUUUUCUCUUUGAUGGGGUGUAGUAUGAUAAUAACAUGCAACCAUACAUAUGUAUAGUUACACCAUAUUAAGAACUUAGUUACAUGAAGUUUUCAUGCUUUGCUUAGAGACUUCUAGCAUACAAGGUGCUUUUGUAACUUAUUUUAUGCCUUUGAAAAUAUUCACAACUUGGUUGAGUAAUUUAUAGUUCUUAUAACACUUUUUAGCUUUAUUCUUGUAUACAAAAGUGUAUCAUUCUUGAUUUUCCUCUCUUUCCCAAAAUAGUCCUAACAUGAUCUAUUUGGGGCAAUCAAGCUAGCUUCUCUUGACCAUUUGGGCUUAGUCAGGCUUGGGGUAGCCUAGAUUGGCCUUGCAGUCCCAAUUGGCCUCUAUCUAUGGCAUGAUUUUAUUAAUACCCUCUUCUAUUAAGGUUUACUCUCACCUAUAUCACCAUUUGAUUCUGUUAUUUAUAGGUGAGGAUUUCUUUGAACUGCUACAUGUUUGCUACUUACUUGAUUUUGUUUUCUUUCCGUUUGUAGCUAACUACUCACUAGUAGCAGCUCUCUACUUUAGAUACUAAAUUUACUAGCUUUUAAUCUCCCACUAAACUUUUGGGUCAGCAGCUAGGGGACACAACUCCCUAAUAAUAGAGCAUAUUGGUUAAUUAUCUUAAGCAAUAUAGUUGUAUUGUCUGAAGGUCUAAAGGACAAGUUCAUUACCCAGCUCAGCUACUGUUGCUAUUAGUUGUUAUUUUUCAGUAAUAGAUUGACAGUCUUCAAACUUACCAUGUUUCUUCUUUAAUAACUUUUGUCUAGAAAAUUUCUAUUGCACUAUGUGCACCUUUGAAUACUUGCUUAAAUAAGUAACAAUUACACUCUAUUUAAUUCUGCAGUUUGCAUUUCAAAUCCAAACUACGUUGCCUAUAGCAGUUUAUUGAGGAUGUUUAUUAUUGCCUUAUAGCAACAACCCCCCCUAUUUUGUAAAAUUUCCCAAAUCACAAUUUUAGAUUAACCUAGACUGCCCAAAACCAUUUUAGUAAUGGCUCAUAGCUACAGUUUUAAGCCAACUGUUGCUGCUCCUAGGUAGCAGCUACAUUUGAUUUUGUUUCAUGCCUUGAACUCUCCCUAAUUUUGGUUUACUUGCACUUUAUUUGAAAGUUAUAUAACUAACAUUUUCAACUAAUAGGGAAACUUUAAAUCAAUAGUGAAAUUAUAAUCUAUAUGAUCCAACAUGUUAGCUAAACUGACCCUAGCGAGUCCAGAACAAUGGUCUACAGUCUUCUUUUGUUUUUCUAUGCCAGCAACCAAGCUUGGCUUGGCCCUGUAAGGCUGAUCACCUAAGCUUGGUGUGGCCCUGCUUGGCCUCACGGUCCCUAAGUCAAAUCCAAAGUUGUUAUAGCAGCUGCUAUCUUGGCAACUGCUGCCAUCAAGGAAUAACAGCCCUGCCACUCUUCUUUAAUUCUUAUACUUGCAAACCCCAGAGGAAUGUUUAUACACUAACUUCAACCAUACAUCCUAGUUAGCUCUUAUAAAGUUAUAUUAAUUUGUUAAACAGACUGCCCAAAACUGCUUUAGCAGUCAUUCACUUGUCGACUGUCGCUGCUUGUUUCUAUAACCAGUAGGCAGCCGUCCCAAGUCUUAUGCCACUAAAAGCUUUUACCUCUUAGAUUGAUAUGAAAUCUUGGCAUGUUAUAGGUGAUUCAAAUUCUGAUUAUUUUUAGCUACCAACUAGACUAGGAGAAAAGCUUGCUAGUGCCACUAAAGGUUAAUAUUUCUGCUGCUGCGACAUGCUUUUUGCUGCUGCUUGCAGCUAAUUGCUGCUGCCAAUGGGCAGCUGCGCCCCUUACUUCAGGCCAUUUUUGGCUUCACAUCAAUUAGCCUAUUCACAACCCACUUUCAUUGAUCAAUAAAUGGUACACCUGCCUUCUAAGCUAACUUAGCAACUGUGGCCCAAAUGUACUAUAUGUAAAUCAAAAUGGUGUGCUAACCUUCCUGCUCGGCUCUGCAGAGCAGUGCAGCACAACGCUGGGCGUUUACUGCCAAUGCCUGCAGUAGCCUCAGCUAGCUUUGCCCAAGCUCAAACAUUUUUUUUUCUUAAAAUUUGUUUUUCUUUCCAUUAAUAUGUCAAAACAUAUUUCCUAAUCUUAUAUAAGACGUCCAUAUAUAACCCCAACUUUAAUUCCCUCUAGAAUUCUCUUUUUAGCCAAAACAGUCCACUUGGGACUUUUAACAAAUAUAUGGUGUGCACAGUUUUAAUUUACUCUUUCCAUAGCCAUUUACUUGUGUUAUAAUCUCAUGUUAGCCUCCUUAUUACUCCACAGCCACCUAUCUCCUUGUGCCUAAAUUACAUACAUCUAGCAUGCUAGUGAAUAACCUUUACAACAAUAAAAAAGUAAAAUAAAUGCUAUGUGACUUUACCAGGCCAUUCGGCCAUAACAGUCCAUCACAACUUGCACGAAAUAGUGUUAAACAAGAUAGUUUAUUACUUGAUAACUUUUCCUUAAAAGUUUGAUAUCACAACUUUUACAGAAGAUUACAAUUACCCAUGACAAGUAUAAUUUACUAACACAUCUACAUUACAACAUUAAUAAUACUAACAAUAUAGCAGCCCCUUCUUUUUUCUUUUCAGGCCAUUCGGCCACUGUAGAUUACUAGCAGCAAGAAACUAAAGUGGAAAAGGAUUGGAAAUCUUACCUUAUUGAUUCGAAGGAAACAAAGAAGUUAUACUGCCCAGCUUCUCCACCUACUCUUAGCCGAACUCUUCCACCCUCUCUCUAUAUGACCGAAUUGCUAUAGCUAUUUUGUCUCUACUAAGUGAUGAAGCUAAACUAGUUAAUAAGCUUGGCCCCUUUUUUAUGGCUGAGCUUGGUUCCUUCUACUGUUAACUGCAUCACCUCCUAGUUGGCCCCUACACAGUCAUCAUUCCUAACCUAGCUUCACAGCCACCCUAGCAGACUCUACUUACCUGCUAAGCCUUAUCUUCUGCAAGCUUAUCUAACAUAUUCUUUGUCUGUUAUACAAACUAACCUACCUGUUAACUAGAACCAACUUAGAAACCAUAUGCUUACAGCCUGACUAUGUACUCACGUUAUGCCACUGCUUUUCUUAUUUAGUCUGAAACAGUUAGCUUGUUAUACACCACUGGGUUUACAGGAUUGGUUUAGGUAGGAGUUUGAUAAAUACUUAAUUUGGGCUUAAACCAAUCCUCAAUGGUGGCUGCCGAAAUUGGGCUAGAAAAUGAGUUAGAAUUGGCUUUAUAUUAGACCCAAUACCAUAACCCUUAUUCCUACAUUAAUUAAAGGAGACUUGCAAACAUACAAUUGCAAAAAUUUAUUAUGGCCUAAUAUUUUAAUAUGGACUCUUGUUAAAUUAACACAUGGACUUUUAUAUAUUAUUUUCUCUAGCAACAAUAGUUAACACAUAUAUCAUUAAAAUGUCUAUUCCAUGUAAUCUUAAAUAAUUCAUGGUGGUACAAUAUUUCUUUAUCCUUCAUAAUUUAAGAUGUUUAAUAACCUAUUAAAUAAAUAAUAGUUUUGUCACAAUGAGAAAUAACAUAAUUAAAAUAAAAUAAAAAAUAUACUCACAAAUUGACAUUAUAAUAAUUAAAUAUUACAUAGGAUUUUUUGAGUCAUUACAUACGCGAUAACUCUGCCGUUCUGCAAAAGCACACAGCCUUGUCCUUUAUGCGAUGCAUCAUUGUAUACCACAAAAUUCCCUGUAUCAUCAGGCAAUGACAACACAGGUGUUGAACUCAACCUUUUCAUUAAUUCUUGAAAACUUUCCUCCCACUUCUCUGUCCAAACAAACUUAACCGUUUUCUAGUUAAAUUCGUCAACGGAGUUGCGAUCUUGAAAAAGUCUUGAAUGAAACGCCUAUAGUAACCCGCCAAUCCUAAGAAACUCCUUACUUCUGACGGUAUCUUCGGCUGAUCCCAGUUUAUUACAGCUUCAACCUUUGAUGGAUCUACCGAAAUUUCGUCCUUAUCAAUAACGUGUCCGAGAAACUGUACACGUUCCAACCAAAACUCACAUUUUGAAAAUUUUGCGUACAACUUUUCUUUUUUCAACGUCUCUAACGUCAAUCUCAAGUGUUCAACAUGUUCCUCUUUGGUCUUGGAAUAUACCAAUAUAUCAUCGAAUCAAAUCCAUGAUAUAUUGGUAUGAACAGGGUGUUUAUAUCAUUUGUCUAAGAAUGGUUUAAACACCUUGUUCAUCAAAUCCAUGAACGCUGCAGGUGCAUUGGUUAAACCAAAAGACAUAACCAGAAACUCAUAAUGACCAUACCGAGUUCUGAACGCUAUUUUUGGUACAUCCUCUGGCCUCACCUUUAACUGAUGAUAACCACUCCUCAAGUCUAUCUUUGAGAAAUAGCUUGUUCCCUUCAGUUGAUCGAACAUGUCAUCGAUUCUAGGUAAUGGAUACUUAUCUUUAAUCGUGAUCUUAUUCAAUUCUCGAUAGCAAUGCAGAGCCGUAUCGAUCCAUCUUUCUUCUUAACAAACAACAUCGGCGCUCCCCAUGGCGACACACUCAGUUGAAUAUACUUUUUGUCGAGUAAUUCUUGCAAUUAUACCAUCAACUCCUUCAUCUCUACUGGGGCCAUUCUAUAUGGUGCAUUAGAUAUCGGGGUCGUUCCUGGUAAUAAGUCAAUUACGAACUCGAUUUGUAGAUCCGGCGGAAGACUCGGCAAAUCGUCUGGAAAUACGUCUGCAAAAUCUCUUAUGAUUGGUAUCUCUUCUAACUUCGCACUCUUCUUUUGUGUAUCGACUAUGUAGGCUAAGUAUCCUACACAUUCUUGUCUCAACAACUUCUUGGCUUGCAUCACCGUUAGACAACUUGCUUGUCGAGGUGACUUGCUGCCGUAGAACACAACCUUUGAUGGAGUCAUAAGGUUAACACAUUUCCUUUCGCAAUCAAUUACUGCUCCGUAAUUGAAUAACCAAUCCAUUCCCAGUAUAACAUCAAACUCACAAAGUCUAAUUGGUAUCAAAUCUACCAUCAUCUCGUGACCUUUUAUAACCACCCUACAAUUCCUAUAUAUAAAUCUAACAGGAAUCACUUCCUUAUUCGCAAUCUCUAUGCUUAAGGGAAAUUCUAAUUCUUCCUGAGGCAAAUCUAAAUUUUGAGCAAAUUCAUUGGAUAUAAAUGAAUAAGUAGCACCCGAAUCAAAUAGUACAUAAGCAUUAAUACCAUUAAUCUAAAUGAUACCUGAGACCACAUCCUUAGACUAUAUAACAUCCUGCACGGUCAUAUUAAAAGUCCUCGCAGUAGGUCGACUUUGUGACGCCCCCAAAAUUAGGUAUACAUCACCCAUCUUGGGUCGCCACUUACAUGGUACAAAAUACAAAUACAACUUAAUUAUACAACAGUCGUGUAAGCUACGACAAAAUAUAAACAAUGAGUUUUAACUCGAAUAUUGUCAUCUAGACAUUAUUCAAACACAAAUAAGUCCUCAAUACAUUUAUUGUCACACUAUUUAACAAAAUAGUGAGGACUACUAAUGCUAUCAUCUGGACUGUCACUCCGUUCCCCGACUCGUCCCCGUUACGUUCUCAAUUCCUGAAGAGAAUAGUGAAAGAAAGGGUGAGCUCAACUAGCCCAACAAGAAAUAUUAUGACUAAGAUAAUGCAGAAUAAAUUAUCAUUAGUCUCCAACAAUGUUAAACUGAUAAAAUACAAUAGACAUCAAGUUUAACUGCAGCGGAACAAGCAAUCCAUUAAAAGAGUCAAGUAGAGAAUAAAACCUACUAUNNNNNNNNNNNNNNNNNNNNNNNNNNNNNNNNNNNNNNNNNNNNNNNNNNNNNNNNNNNNNNNNNNNNNNNNNNNNNNNNNNNNNNNNNNNNNNNNNNNNNNNNNNNNNNNNNNNNNNNNNNNNNNNNNNNNNNNNNNNNNNNNNNNNNNNNNNNNNNNNNNNNNNNNNNNNNNNNNNNNNNNNNNNNNNNNNNNNNNNNNNNNNNNNNNNNNNNNNNNNNNNNNNNNNNNNNNNNNNNNNNNNNNNNNNNNNNNNNNNNNNNNNNNNAAUAAUUAAAACGGAACCAGGUCCGGCGUAUAGCACAGACAGGAUAUUCCAACAGAAUAACUGAAUAAUUAAAACGGAACCAGGUCCGGCGUAGCACAGACAGGAUAUUCUAACAGAAUAACCGAAUAAUUAAAACGGAACCAGGUCCGGCGUAUAGCACAGACAGGAUAUUCCAACAAAAUAACUGAAUAAUUAAAACGGAACCAGGUCCGACGUAUAGCACAGACAGGAUAUUCCAACAGAAUAAUAAAGACAGAAUAAUAGAAGAAUGUCACCAAGUAUAGGGUUGCCCGCGUAUACAGGUUAUUCCAACAGAAUAAUAAAGAAAUGGAAUAACAGAAGUUCUCUUCUUGAAUACAAAAGAAUAAUAUUCCUUACCAGAAAAGAACUUAAUAUAAGAGUAGUUUCAGUAGCAGAAUACUUUUCUUCUUUCUCUCUUACAAUUUAUCUCUCUAGAGUUUCAAUGAAUUUGUAAGAAAAUAAUGAAGGAAUGAGCUUCUAUUUAUAGAAAAAUGGAAUGCAUAGUAACUAAUUCAUGAACGGUCCAGAUUGAUUUACUUUUAAUCGGACGGUCCAUAAAAUAUAUUAUAUAUAUAUAAUAUAUAUAUAUAUAUAUAAUAACAAUAAUACUCCCUCCGUAUAAACCAAAAAAAUAAUUUGACAACUUUGAAAAAAACUCCCAACCUUUCAAUUUUCAAUACCGUGGGCCCCACAUGUUCCCCUCCCCCCAACAUGUCAAUAUCACAAGGGUCUCAUUAUAUGUAAAUAACUUUCUAUCAAUAAUAUUGAAAAAUAGGUAAAUGGGGGUCUAAAUAAUACGCCAAAUUUACAACAACUACCUCAUAAAAAUCCCUUCAAUAUUUUUAACAAUAUUUAUCAUCUUUAUUACAAUUCACAAUAUUAAUCGACCAGGUCGUUCCCAGGAUAGAGGGGGCUUUCCAAUAAGGAUUUCUCUCUAUUGGCGCGCAAUUAGAUUAUCUAACCUCUCCUUGACAGAACUUCUAGACAUCGUUAAUAUUGCAAAUAAUAACAUUAAUAACUUUGUCGUCUCAAUUAUUGAUUUAAUAAUAUAAAGAAUAUCAACAAUAAUUGAAUCAAAUAACGUGAGAUACUAUGCAACAAUUACUAUAACAAUAAUUGAAUAAAACUGAAUGACUUCUCACGUAAGCAUAAAUAAUCAAUACCGUGUGCUACUAUGCAACCACGCGUAUUACUGUACUUUUACUACUGAGUAGUUCAACAGUAUCAACGGUAAAACUUCCGUCGUUAUUUUCAUAAAAAUAUUUUUGUCGUUUUCUCAAUCCGACAAUAAUUCUGUUGUGGGGUCCACUAAUGAUUGCGCCGUUGUACGAAUAUUUCCUGCUAAAACGAAUAUUCCCCAACCAAUCGAAUAUAAUAUAGCAACUUGCAUACUUUGCAAAACUUAUAAAUACUACCUUCAACUAUAACAUUAUAUUAAAUUUAUUGCAUAAUAUUCAAAAAUGAUAAUUAUAGAAAAUUUAUCUUUAUUCAAAAAGUUGGGGUCUUACAACCCCCCCUUCUUAAGAAAUUUCGCCCUCGAAAUUAGGGUACGUACCUGGUAUAUCGAAGAGGUAAGGAUACCUUGAUUUCAUUUUAGAUUCUAACUCCCAGGUCAUUUCCUCAACAUCGUGGUUUCUCCACAAAACUUUGACUUGAGGUAUAACCUUGGAGCGUAAAAUAUGUUCCUUGUUAUCCAAGAUUUGAACAGGAACCUCUUUAUACGUUAAAUCUUCCGCUAUUUCGUCUGGUUCUAGCUCAAUAAUGUGGUUCGGGUCUUCCACAUAUUUACGUAACAUGGAUAUGUGAAAAAUGUUAUGAACACCAGACAUACUAGGCGGUAAAGCGAGUCUAUAGGCCACAGUUCCUACUCGAUUGAGGAUUAAAAAUGGGCCAAUGAAUCGAGGAUUGAGCUUUCUUAUCUUUCCAAAUCUCGUAACACCUUUCCAUGGAGCAACAUGUAACAACACAUGAUCUCCAAUAUCGAAUUCCACGUCCUUUCGAUGAAGAUCAGCAUAACUCUUUUGUCGAUCUUGUGAGGUUUUUAUACGUUGUCGAAUCGUUUGAAUCUUUUCCGUAGUCAUACGUACCAACUCCGGUCCCAACAACGUUGCUUCACCCACCUCAUCCCAGCAUACUGGAGAACAACACUUUCUCCCAUACAACGCCUCAAAUGGAGCCAUGCCAAUACUUGCUUGAUAACUAUUGUUAUAGGAAAACUCCACCAAUGAUAAGAACUUAUCCCAACUUCCAUUGAAGUUAAGGACACAGAGUCUUAAUAAAUCUUCUAGAGUUUGAAUAGUCCUCUCUGAUUGUCCGUCCGUCUGAGGAUGAUAUGCUGAACUAAAUCGUAAAUCUGUGCCCAUAGCUUUUUGCAAACUAACCCAAAAUCAUGAAGUGAAUCUUGGGUCUCGAUCAGAAACUAUGGAUACUGGCAUACCAUGCAGUCUUACAAUCUCGUUUAUGUACAUACGAGCAAGACGUUCAAGUGUAUAAGUUUCUCGUAUAGGUAAGAAAUGAGCAGACUUGGUCAAUCUAUCAACAAUGACCCAAAUUGCAUCUAUGCCUUGAGAAACCUUGGGAAGACCAGUAACGAAAUCCAUGGUAAUGUGCUCCCACUUCCAUUCUGGAAUUUCAAGUGGUUGCAAUGGACCUUUUGGUACUUGAUGCUCCGCCUUGACUCGUUGACAAGUUAGACACCUUGAGAUAAACACCGCUAUCUCUCUCUUCAUAUUGCUCCACCAAAAUGUAUGUCGAAGAUCAUGAUACAUUUUGGUACUCCCAGGAUGGAUUGCAAACGGUGUGUUGUGCGCCUCCAUCAUGAUUUUAUACUUUAAAUCAGGGUCGUUAGGAACACAAAGUCUGGAGUUGACUCGAAGUAUUCCUUCUUCAUCGAUUCUUGCUUCCGACAUAACACCUUCUUGCACUUUCUUCCUCAUACGCAUCAGCUCCAGGUUUGUAGUUUGAGCAGCUUUAACUUUAUCAAUUAAAGUCGAUUAUACUCGUAUGUUCGCCAUCAUCACAUGGGUCCCUGGAGUCUUUAACUCCAUCUCCAUCCUUUGCAAGUCAUACAAAAUGGGCCUUUGUGUUGACAAUAUUGCACUCGUACCCACAUAUGAUCUUCUACUCAAUGCGUCAGCUACCACGUUCGUUUUUCUAGGAUGGUAUUGGAUGGUAUGAUCAUAAUCUUUCAACAGUUCAAGCCAACGUCGUUGUCGCAUGUUGAGUUCCUUUUGAGUGAAGAAAUAUUUAAGGCUUUUAUGAUCCGUAAAGAUCUCCACUUUCUCCCCAUACAAGUAAUGCCUCCAAAUCUUUAGUGCGAAGANNNNNNNNNNNNNNNNNNNNNNNNNNNNNNNNNNNNNNNNNNNNNNNNNNNNNNNNNNNNNNNNNNNNNNNNNNNNNNNNNNNNNNNNNNNNNNNNNNNNNNNNNNNNNNNNNNNNNNNNNNNNNNNNNNNNNNNNNNNNNNNNNNNNNNNNNNNNNNNNNNNNNNNNNNNNNNNNNNNNNNNNNNNNNNNNNNNNNNNNNNNNNNNNNNNNNNNNNNNNNNNNNNNNNNNNNNNNNNNNNNNNNNNNNNNNNNNNNNNNNNNNNNNNNNNNNNNNNNNNNNNNNNNNNNNNNNNNNNNNNNNNNNNNNNNNNNNNNNNNNNNNNNNNNNNNNNNNNNNNNNNNNNNNNNNNNNNNNNNNNNNNNNNNNNNNNNNNNNNNNNNNNNNNNNNNNNNNNNNNNNNNNNNNNNNNNNNNNNNNNNNNNNNNNNNNNNNNNNNNNNNNNNNNNNNNNNNNNNNNNNNNNNNNNNNNNNNNNNNNNNNNNNNNNNNNNNNNNNNNNNNNNNNNNNNNNNNNNNNNNNNNNNNNNNNNNNNNNNNNNNNNNNNNNNNNNNNNNNNNNNNNNNNNNNNNNNNNNNNNNNNNNNNNNNNNNNNNNNNNNNNNNNNNNNNNNNNNNNNNNNNNNNNNNNNNNNNNNNNNNNNNNNNNNNNNNNNNNNNNNNNNNNNNNNNNNNNNNNNNNNNNNNNNNNNNNNNNNNNNNNNNNUCAAAAUCCAAUUUCUCCGGAGUCAAAUUUAAACGUUGAGCGCAAGUAGGAGAAAUGAAAGAGUGGGUAGAACCAGUAUCAAAUAAAGUAUAAACUUCGCUAGAGUUUAUGAUAAGCUUACCCGUGAUGACCUCGUUCGGGUUCUUUACUUUUUGGGAGGUUACAACAAAUGCUCUUCCUUGCACUACCGACUUUGACUUUUCUGGGAUGGCCUUUGGUGACUCUAUCCUAACUGAACUUGUCUUCGGUGCACGACAAAAUCGAGCCAGGUGACCUUCUCUUCCACAGUUGUAACAUGCUUUGGAUGGCAUCGCACAGUUGGGACUGAUGUGUCCCUCUCCUCCACACUUGAAACAUAUGAUAGGUGGUCGUUCCCCUUCCUUAACGACAGGUGCUGAUGUUGACGUCUUUCCAUCAUUGUUGAAUCUCCUCUUUUUGAAAUGUCCAUUUUUAUUGUUUUGGCCAUGAUUACCACCGAAGUGGUUACCAUUUCUGGCCUUUUGAUUUCCUCCACGCUUGUUGUCACCGCUUUGAUGACUGUUCUCACUGGUAUUAUCAUUUUAUUGGCUGCUCUCUUUUGGUUGGCUUAACUCGUUAUCACGCUCCAAUAACUGAGCCCUAUUAACAACAUCCGAAUACAAACACAGUUUAUGAGAGAUAAGAUAUUGACGUAUCUCAGGUUUCAAACCUCUUAAAAACAUUCGCGUCAUUCUCUCCUCAUUAUCAACCAAAUGGGACGCAAACUGGGACAACUCGGCAAACUUGGCUUUGUACUGCGAUACUGUCAUGUUGUUUUGUUCCAGCCUGAUGAACUCUACCUCUUUCAUGUGACGAAUACUUUUGGGAAAGUACUUGUCGUUGAACAAUUCUUUGAACUUCUCCCAAGUCAUCUUCAGUGCGGCAGGUUGAGUACGCUUUACAGAUUCCCACCAGUAAUCUGCCUCUCCUCGCAACAUGAAGGUGGCAAAGGAAAUCUUUUGUUCCUCGGAGCAUCCCAAGACAUCAAAUAUCUUGGUAAUCUACUUUAUCCAUGUCUCCGCCUUAAGUGGUUUUGGUUCUCCAAUAAACUUCGGUGGUCCCAGCUCCUUGAACUGUUUGGCGGUGACCAUCCGAGAGUUGCUAGUGUUUUCACCUGCAUUUUGGACAGGAGCCGCUCCUGCCUGAUGUUGUAUGAAUUGCAUGAAUCCUCGAAACAUUUUGUUGUUCAAUAUUUGGUCAGUGUUGUUGUUUGCAUGAGGAUUUUUGCCUUCCUGAUGCACAUUGUCCUGAUUGUUGAUCUGUGGAGACUCAACGGUCUCCUGUGCUCCAUUGAUGUUCUCAACGUUCUCGGAUGCCAUUUUCAAAUACUGCCACAAAACAAGAGUUAAUUAACACAUCACAUAUUAUCCCUAUACUCUAACCAACCAAUUAAAUAACAAAUAAACUUAGGUAGGUCAUACUAGCGAAGGAAUUCCCCGUCUCUCCCCUCCUAGUUCUUAUCUCACAUCUUAGCCAGGGAUCAUAUCCCUAACCUCUGAUACCAACUGUGACGCCCCCAAUAUUAGGUAUACAUCACCCAUCUUGGGUAGCCACUUAUAUGGUACAAAAUACAAAUACAACUUAAUUAUACAACAGUCGUGUAAGAUACGACAAAAUAUAAACAAUGAGUUUUAACUCGAAUAUUGUCAUCUAGACAGUAUUCAAACACAAAUAAGUCCUCAAUACAUUUAUUGUCACACUAUCUAACAGAAUAGUGAGGACUACUAAUGCUAUCAUCUGGACUGUCACUCCAUUCCCCGACUCAUCCCCGCUACGUUCUCAAUUCCUGAAGAGAACAGUGAAAGAAAGGGUGAGCUCGACUAGCCCAGUAAGAAAUAUUAUGACUGAGAUAAUGCAGAAUAAAUUAUCAUUAGUCUCCAACAAUGUUAAACUGAUAAAAUACAAUAGACAUCAAGUUUAACUGCAGCGGAACAAGCAAUCCAUUAAAAGAGUCAAGUAGAGAAUAAAAUCUACUAUCUUUUAUGAUUUAAAAGGUUUUUCAUCACUUUUAUCGCUGGGACUCAGCUUAAUAAAUAAUCCACAUCAUCGAAUCACCCCUGCACUACGGCCAAGGAUAUUCUUUAGUAUCACGACCACAAUUAUCCAUGCACUACGGGCCAAGAAUAUUUGUGUAUUCAUUAAUGGUCAUGAUCAUGCCAACAACUGUCCAUCAAUGCACUACGGGCCAAUGAGGACUUUUUCCACAUCAUUUGUAACAUUACGGUCAUGAUUACACCGAAUAAUCCCUGGUCAUAAUCAUACCAAGUCCAUCUAUGCACUACAGGCCACAGAUGACUUUCAACAAAAUAAUAACAUGAGGAUGAUGACAAUGAUAUAAGAAUUCAAUAAAAUAACUUUCAAGAAUUAAUUUGUCCAGGAAUCAAUAACGUCCAAAUUGUCAAUAAGAUAUUGUUUUGUGGUGUAAAUUAUUCAAGAAUGCUCAGAAGAAUAUUUUCAUGAAAAGAUAUUGGAUGAAGUGCAAAUAUCAAGGAUAUUCCAUUAAUUUCAUGGAGUAUAAAAGUCAAAAUUUUAACCAACUGAGUAUAAUAACGAAUGGAAUAACAAAAGAAAUCACCACGCAUGCGGUACUUCGCAUAGACAGGUUAUUCCAACAGAAUAAUAAUAACGGAACUAGGUCAGGUGAGAUUCACACCGACAGGAUGUUCCAACAGAAUAAUAAAUAAUUAAAACGGAACCAGGUUCGGCGUUUAGCACAGACAGGAUAUUCCAACAGAAUAACUGAAUAAUUAAAACGGAACCAGGUCUAGCGUAUAGCACAGACAGGAUAUUCCAAAAAAAUAACUAAAUAAUUAAAACGGAACCAGGUCCGGCGUAUAGCACAAACAGGAUAUUCAAACAAAAUAAUAAAGACAGAAAAAUUGAAGAAUGUCACCAAGUAUAGGGUUGCCCGCGUAUACAGGUUAUUCCAACAGAAUAAUAAAGAAAUGGAAUAACAGAAGUUCUCUUUUUGAAUACAAAAGAAUAAUAUUCCUUACCGUAAAAGAACUUAAUAUAAGAGUAGUUUCAGUAGUAGAAUAAUUUUCUUCUUUCUCUCUUACAGUUUAUCUCUCUAGAGUUUCAAUGAAUUCGUAAGAAAAUAAUGAAGGAAUGAGCUUCUAUUUAUAGAAAAAUGGAAUGCAUAGUAACUAACUGAUGAACGGUCCAGAUUGAUUUACUUUUAAUCGGACGGUCCAUAUUUAAAGUAAAAUCUUUUAAAUAAAAUAUAUUAUAUAUAUAUAUAUAUAUAUAAACAAUAAUACUCCCUCCGUAUAAACCAAAAAAAUAAUUUGACAACUUUGAAAAAAACUCCCAACCUUUCAAUUUUCAAUACCGUGGGCCCCACAUGUUCCCCUCCCCCAACAUGUCAAUAUCACAAGGGUCCCAUUAUAUUUAAAUAACUUUCUAUCAAUAAUGUUGAAAAAUAGGUAAAUGGGGGUCUAAAUAAUACGCCAAAUUUACAACAACUACCUCAUAAAAAUCUCUUCAAUAUUUUUAACAACAUUUAUCAUCUUUAUUAAAAUUCACAAUAUUAAUCGACCAGGUCGUUCCCAGGAUAGAGGGGAUUUUCCAAUAAGGAUUUCUCCCUAUUGGCGCGCAAUUAGAUUAUCUAACCUCUCCUUGACAGAACUUCUAGACAUCAUUAAUAUUGCAAAUAAUAACAUUAAUAACAUUGUCGUCUCAAUUAUUGAUUUAAUAAUAUAAAGAAUAUCAACAAUAAUUGAAUCAAAUAACGUGAGAUACUAUGCAACAAUUACUAUAACAAUAAUUGAAUAAAACUGAAUGACUUCUCAUGUAAGCAUCAAUAAUCAAUAUCGUGUGCUACUAUGCAACCACGCGUAUUACUGUACUUUUACUACCGAGUAGUUCAACAGUAUCAACCGUAAAACUUCCGCCGUUAUUUUCAUAAAAAUAUUUUUGUCGUUUUCUCAAUCCAACAAUAAUUCUGUUGUGGGUUCCACCAAUGAUUGCGUCGUUGUACGAAUAUUCCCCGCUAAAACGAAUAUUCUCCGACCAAUCGAAUAUAAUAUAGCAACUUGCAUACUUUACAAAACUUAUAAAUACUACCCACAACUAUAACAUUAUAUUAAAUUUAUUCCAUAAUAUUCAAAAAUGAUAAUUAUAGAAAAUUCAUCUUUAUUCAAAAAGUUGGGGUCUUACAGACUUGACUGUGCUGAUCCAGAGAUAGUUAAUGUACCACCAACGUUGUUGUUUCCUUUUCCACCACUUGCACUUCCUGCUGGCUUCUUAGGGCAAUCACGAGCCAUGUGAUCCUACGAACCGCAGGUAAAACAUGCUCCUUUAUUUGGACUAAAACAGUUCAGUGUAAUGUGUCCCUCCUGACCACAGUUGAAACACACCCGCUUUCCCUUCAAACAUACUCCAUUAUGAUUGUUUCCAUAAGUCGCAUAAGCUUCAAACUUUUUCUUCUGCUGAUUUCCUUGUUGUCCUCCCGCAGUCGAAUUUUCACUCCACUUCCUCUUCUGAUUGUUAUUUCCAACGUUACUUCCACCAGCCUUAUUUUCAUUCUCAGUCUUCCUCUUCUUAUAUUCUUGGUUGUACUUGGUCAAGGCAUCGCUUUCACCUUCUGCGAUAAUUGCCUUUUCCAGUAUAACCGCAAAUGUAUUUAACUGAAAUAUUGAAACCUUGCUAUACAGCCAGGGUUUCAAUCCAUGUUCGAACCUUAUCGCCUUUCGUUCAUCAGUAUUGACUUAAUAAGUGGCAAACCUUGCCAAUUCAUUAAACUUCGCAGCAUAUUCUGGCACCGUCAUAGUUCCUUGUUUCAGUUCCAGAAAUUGCAUUUCCAACUUAUUCUGAGAACUCGCUGGAAAGUACAUUUCAAAAAAUAUCUCCUUAAAUCUAUCCCACGCUAUCACUCCUUGUCCCCCACGAACCUUAUUUGCCUGCCACCAGUAGCUAGCUUCAGACUUCAGCAUGAACGUUGUGAACGCAGUCUUCUGAUCCUCGUUGACUCUAGAAACGUUGAACACUUUCUCCAUUUCCAUGAUCUAGGUUUGGGCUUCUACUGGAUUCAUAGACCCUUGAAACUCUGGCGGUCCAACCGCUUUGAAUUCCUUAAAGGUCAUGACUUGAGCUUGCGGUUGAUUCGCAAGUGCACCUGUUAACAAGGUUACCAACUGCUGAACCGGGUUAGCAUUGGCCUCGUUAUUAUUUUUAGUAGACCCCUCAGGAGGUGGUUGUUGACGUGUUUUUCUUCUUCUAGGAGGCAUUUUCUGUUAAGAUAUACGCUCAUUAGUUCAUUACUCAACUUCUUGAUUAUUUGAAGUUUAACUUAAAUAUUCUAAGAUUAAAGUUAUAACACAUAACAUUUCAAAUAAACUCUGGUAUUUUAUUCAUUCAUAAUGUUUUAAAACAUAUUAAAGAUAGCAUAACCGCUAUUAACAUUCACUUUCCUGAACUAAGCAAGUUUUAGGAUUACAUAUUCAUACUACCCCUUUAUUUAUCUCAAAAUAAGGGAUUCACAGUUUAUAUACUCACUUACUUAACCACGUAUUAUUAUUCUCAUUCUUUCUAUCUAGACAUAUUAAGAUGUCGUAAGGCUUCUCUAUGUUCUUCCUCCAUAAUUCGAUACAUCGUUCUACGAUCCAUCAUGAACUACAACGAAUCUUCAAAUUGAGGUGGAUAAUAAAAGACUCGAUCCUGGGCCCUAUCAAUUGCAGAAUUAAAGGCAUAAUCCAUCCCAUUCAUCUUGGCCUUCUUCACUUGAACUUUAUCCUCGGCACGGUCUGCACGUUAAGUCACCUUUAUCCAAGCGUCCUCUGCUCUCGUACGUUUAGUUGAAUCCUCUUUCAAGUCAUCUUUUAACUUCUCCACAUCAGUCUUCAUCUUCUUGUUCACUGCCAACAAAUCUUCAUGCUGACCCUUGGUAUGAAAUAGGUCCCACUCCGUGUUUCCAAGUCUUGAGUCGAGUUCUUGAAUCUCCGCAUCCUUCUGCUCUAUCGUAGCGUGAUGCAUCUCAACCAACUCCUUCAGCUCCUGAACUUUGUCUUGUAAUUCUAUGUUACGAUCGUACAGAGCAUCAUACAUCUCAGCUGAUAUGGAGCUUUGUGGAAACGCCACAGGAUCCUCUUCCUCAUCAUCCAACUCUAUCUCUUCAGAACUAUCCUCCUCGGGAUCGGUCACAGGUUCAUCCUCCUGGAUCAACUGUUCACGCAUAACAUGAAUAUCCCGGGGUUCCUCAUCUCUAGGUAUCUGAGGUAUUACUUCCCUAGCUGGAAUGGAUCCUCCUUCAUUAGACAUCCUAACAACAAAAUAUUUUAAGUUUACUUAACAUUUUUCGAUACUCGCGAGCACAUAAGUUAUUACACAUAGCACAUAAUGUCUUUUAUUAUUUAUCUUCAAUGGAUAGCUUAAUCCAUUCAUUAAAACUCGAUAAGAGUUAGACACCUCUAUAUUUUCUGUCUUCUUAAAGGUUACUUCCUAAGGUUUCCCCACCUAAGGUUCAUAACCUAAAGCUCUGAUACCAACAUGUGACACCCCCAAAUCUGGGUAUUCCUUUUCCACAGGAUUUGGUGCUCACUAUCCAAAACCAUUACAUCUAACUACCCAUAACAAAGGAUAAAGACAUAAUUUAAAUAACUUAACAAUAAUCUUCCCAUUAAAGGGUUACAUCGUCAUAAAACAAUCCCAAAUAAUUUAAUCUUAAAUUAUUACAUAAGUUUGCGGAAUACAUCAUAAAAUAAAACAAGUCUUAUAACAUAAACAUUUAAAUAAACUUUCAUAAAUCUUCAACACUUGGACAUCUUUCCCUUUUCUUUGCUAGUAGAUGGCUCAUCGACUUUCUCAACUUUAGCUGCAGUGUUAAAUGCAAGAGUGAGCAAACAAUUGCUCACUGAUAUAGAGAGUAGUAAUGAUAACAACAUAAGAUUAAACAACGAAUGCUGAACAAUAAUGAAAUUGUUCUAUGAAUAAAAAAUAGAAAACAAGUUCAAAUUUAAUAUCUGAGGGUCUUAAGACCACGAACUAUGUCCCCGAUAUUUAGGUAUUAUUACCCAACCUUAACAGUCAUUUAGACUAUACAAACCCUUCUUAACGUACUUAGGGGGAUCAGCCCUUUGUACCAUGUAUUGUGCACAAACAUCUAAACGUUACACGUACAAAAUCCCCUAUGUUAGGGUUGUUCGUCUCAGCUUGAAUUUAGAAUUUCUGCACUAAAGAGAGUUUAGCUCGGAACUAACUUAUCAAUGGUUCUAGAAUUUUAGAACACUACUCAAUUAUAGACUAAUUCAAUCAAUAAGAGUUUGCUUGCUACUUGAAGAUUUAAUAUAACAAAAAUAGAAUUGAACAAGGCUAUCAAAGUCAAAGAUCGAAUAUCAACAAUAUACAGUUGAGCACUACAACAAAAAAGCUUAUCAGCGACCGCCUAUCAGCGACCGCCUGUGGUCGCUGAUAUCUAUCUGCGACCGUCUACUCGAGUAAACAUGAUAUACAUGCAAAGUACUAUAUCCAAAAGAGUUAGAAUAAUCUCCUUUGAAUCAAUGUAUUAGAACAAUAUAUUCUUUUGAAUAACAAUAUCAAGAUUUAGGAAAGUGAAACUCGCUCAAUGUAACAAACUAGAUUACAAGAGAUUGUACGAUACACGAGAUAGAAUCAAUAGGCUUGCUGAACUUUAAUGUAAAAUUUAGAAUUAGAAAGCUUGUUUGACAUAAAAGAUAACAUAGCUAUGAAACUUGCAUUCAUUAAUAAAAGAAUGAAGUUAGAAAACUUGCUCAAUAAAAGUUUAGGAUAAGAAACUUGCCUUGUAUGUAAGCUACACAAGUGUAAUAAUGUUCGCCAAUUACCCUACACAUAUCAUUGGAAUCGCAAUAACAAUUAGUUGUAUUAUUAUUAGCUUUAAGGGUUUAAACCACCAUUUAGGUCAUAACCUUAACUUAACAUCUAACCAUGUUGGUUAACACCUUUAACAAAUCUAAAAUCCCUCUAUAAACUAACAUAAACUUUAUCAUUCAUUUCUUACUUUCAUAAACAUUAUUUUUUUAUUCAUUACAUAACUUAAUUAAAUAAUCACUUAAAAUCUUCAUACUUUAUAUUACAUCACGUUGAAAUAUGUUAUUGUAGUUCACGUUAACAUGUAUGCCAAACUAGAUUAAGUCCAUUAAUCAUAACCUAUAAAUAAGCAGAAGUCAUUGCCUAGGCUCAGGGCACGGCGCAGCUGCGCUGUCCCAAGCCUUGGCAUCGGCACAGCUGCGCCGUACACGGACAGGAACUGCAGCAGCAGCUCUGUUACACAGCACACACCAAAACUCAAUCAAAUUUCACAGAAAUCAUAAAACUCAACAUCUAAAACUUUGUGAUAACAUUAAUAAUGAUGUUAUUCAUCAUUCUCACUACCUAAACAUUAUAUAUAUUAAAUUUUAAAAGAUCAAAACCCCAAUUUUUCCAAUUUCAUCAUUUUUUUACGCUUUUAGCGAAUUCGAUUGCUACGAAUUCAUUUCUUAAUCAAUUGACACAAUUCAAACUACGUUGUUUUCGUUUCUUAACAUACUAACACAUUCUAACAUCAAAUUACAGAUUAUAGCAAGUAUUGAUCAUGAAAUUUCGUACUUUCUAAAGCCAUUUUUCAAAAAUAAACACUAUUAUUAUAACUUCUUCCUUACAAAGCCAAUUCUCACAUGUUUGGAAAUCAAAUAGCACUCACAUAUAAUGAUUAACAGAUUAUAAACCAUAUAUACAUGUAUUUGUAUUAAUCCAUCGUAAUUAUCAAUAGAAAUUUCAAACAUAAAAGUUAGAAUUAGAGUUAUACCUUACUCCUUUGAUUGUUUGCUAGCAAAAAGAUGGUGACUAGGUUUAGAAAUCCCUCUCCUUGACAAUCAUAAAGAAUUCAAACUCACUGUGUUUUCCUCUCUUGCUCUCUCUCCAAGCUCUCUGUUCUUCACUAAUAUCUAGCCUUAGGGAAAGGAAUAAUACGCGUAAAAAAAUAUACUAACUCCCACUUUCCCCACUAAUGUCAGGUCACAAACCCAAAAGUUUGUGUCAGUUAGAAAUAAGCCAAAGGCCACAGGGCCUUGUUUGGCUAACCACAAUUUCUCCUCUACUAGAUUAUUUUUAUAUUAUUUUUAUUAUAUAGUUUUUAUUUGUCACACUUGCCACCAAUUUAAAUAGCUUACAAUAAUAAUUAUAAUAAUUAUAAUUUUUAUUAUAAUUAUUCUGAUGAUUAAUAAAUAAUUAUAUAUAUAUAAUUUAAUUAAUAAAUUUGACUUAAACAUUACUUUAUUUAAUUUACCUAUUUUCUUUAAUAUAAAAAAAAAUUUAAUUUAAUUUAAUUAUUUCAUUAAAUUAAAUCUUUCAAAUAAAAAAUAGCAUUAUUCAAUUUAAUUAACAUUAAUCAAUUUAGUCACUAAAUUAAUGCACCACAAUUCAUCAAUUAUUUAUUUUUCUCAAUAAAUAAAUUAUUUAAAAUAUUUAUUUAAUUCAAUAAAUAUUUAAAUUAAAUUACAAAUUUCUCGAUCGUUACACUAUUCAUUCGGUUAGUAUUUACCCGGGGUACUAUUCAUGACAAAAAUUGAUUUCUUUUAUGUCCAAAUUAUUUUUGAUACAAUAUUAUUCUUGAAUUUUACUCCACAAUUGGUGAUCAUGUUGACAAUUUAGAUAUUCUUAAACUCUGGAUAAAUUUAAUUAUAAAUAUUUAAUAUUUAUCCUUUAUCUCGUUUGAUUGAUUCUUUAUAUCAUUGUCAUGAUCCUCAUGCUUAUAUUGUGAUAAAAGUCAUCUUUGGCCCGUAGUGCAUAGAUGGACUAUUGGUUAUUGGUUUUACAGUUGUUUUUCUUUGGCCCGUAGUGCAAAGAAGAACUGUUGAUUGAUAUCUUUGGUCGUAGUGCAAAGAUGAAUUGUUGAUUGAUAGCUUUGGCUCGUAGUGCAAAGUUGGACAGGUGUAUGACAUGAUCAUGACCACUGGUGAUACUAACGAAUAUCCUUGGCCGUAGUGUAUGGAUAAUUCAAUGAUGUGAUUGGCAGGAUCAUGACCAUUAGUUAACAGUUGAAUGUCUUCGGCCGUAGUGCACUGACAGACAAUUGAUUGGUAUGAUCAUUGUUAUUACACUUGAAUGUCUUAGCCUUUGGGGUAAGGAUAUUGAGUAAACGUUCUAUUAAGCCUUUGUGGCAAGGAGAAACUGUUGAUUCACAUUAUUAUAAACAUGAAUUGUGAAUUUAUCUAAAAUCUUUGGUGGUUCAGGUGAAGACAGGUGAUGAAAUUUCUCUUUGUCUUGGUAUAAUAAAGAACUGUUAAUGGGUAUUAUAGGGAUAAAAUUGAUGAUAAACUUUUAAAUCAUAGAAGAUAGUAGAUAUCAUGCUCUACUUGACUCUUCUAAUAGAUUGCUUAUUCCACUGCAGUUGUUGAUCUAAAACUUGUUGUCUAUUAUAUUCUAGCAGUUGUUAUACUGUUGAAGGCUAAUGAUAAUUUAUUCUGCAUUAUCUUAGUCAUAAUAUUUCUUACUGGGCUAGUUGAGCUCACCCUUUUCUUUCAUUAUUCUCUUCAGAAAAUGAGAAUAUAGCUGGGACGAGUCGGGGAAUGGAGUGAUGAUCCAAGAUAAGUGGCUUUAGUAGUCUUCACUAUUCUGUGAAAUAGUGUGAUAAUAAUUGUAAUGAGGACUCCAUUGAGUUUGGAUAUUGUCUAGAAGACAAUAUUUGUGUUAAAACUCUCAGCUUAUAUUUUCUCGUAUUCUACACGACAGUUGUAUAAUUAAGUAGUAUUUGUAUUCUGUACCAUGUAUCUGGCGACCCAAGAUGGGUGAUGUAUACAUAUUUUGGGGGCGUCACAUCAACAACCACCACAAAUAUAAAACCUUUGAAGCCAAGCCUGUGAGACCCCAAAUUUUAUGAAUAAAGAUUUAAAUUUCUCGAAAUAUUUUUUUUGAAUAUUACGGUGUGGAUUUGAUAUAAUGUUAUAGUUGUGGGUAAUAUUUAUAAAUUUUACAAAGUAAACAAGUUGUUACAUAAUAUUCGUUUGGUCGGGGAAUAUUCUUUUUGUUGGGGAAUAUCCGUACGAUGGUGCAAUCAUUGGUGGACCCCACAACGGAAGUAUUGUCGUAGUAAGAAAAUGACAAAAUUAUCUUUUUAUAAAAAUAAUGGCGAAAGUGUUACCGUUAAAACUAUUGAACUACUCCGUAGUAAAAGUACAGUAAUACGUGUGGUUGCAUAGUAGCACACGAUAUUGAUUAUUAAUACUUACGUAAGAAGUCACUCAGUUAUACUUAAUUAUUGUUAUAGUAAUUGCUGCAUCUAUCUCUCAUAUUAUUGAUUCAAUUAUUGUCACAGUAUCAUCUGCAUAAUAUGUUAUAUUAUUAAAUCAAUAAUUGAGACGACAAAGUUAUUUAUAUUAUUAUUUGCAAUAUUGAGAAUGUCUAGAAGUUCUAUCAAGGAGAGGUUAGAUAAUCUAAUUGCGCGCCAAUAGGGAGAAAUCCUUAUCGGAAAGCCCCCUCUUUCUUGGAAACUACCUGGUUGUUAAAUAUUGUGAGUUAUAAUAUUAAUGAUGUAUAAGUUUGUGUUGAUUAAAGAUGAAAUUGAUAGUUCCAUUGUGUUGGGAUUAUUAGUGUUAGUGGAAAUCGACAUUUAUUUCGAUAAUAAUUGAUGUUUGGAAGUUAUAUUGACCAAUCGGGUAAUUAACCGGAUAAAUGAGCAAUUAAUUGCUAUUAAUUCACAUGCUUAUAACUAUGUGUUCACAUGUGUGUACUAUUGAUUCACAUGAUUUACUAUUAGGGGAGUUGGUGCAAGAUUGAUAAUACUUGCAUGACUAAAUUAAAAAUAGAGGUAUAGAUGAAGGUACUAUACUGUAAUUAUUUUUUUCACAUGUUUAGAACUAUUGAGUCACAUGAUUUACUAUUGAUUCACAUGAUUUACUAUUAGGGGAGGUGGUGCAAGUUUGAUAAUACUUGCAGGACUAAAUUAAAAAUGAAGAAAAAGAGGAAGGUAUUAUACUGUAAUAUUUCGAGCCCCAAAACGUGCAAUUAUCGAAACUAUAUUUUCCUAUAAAUAGAAGCUCAUUCUUCCUUCAUUUCUCACCAAUUCACUAAAGCUUUAGAGCAAUUAUUAUAGAGAGAAAUUAUAGAGAGAAAGAAGAAGAGAAGUCUGCUACCUCACUAUUUUAGUAUGCAGUUUCUUCUAAGGUAAGGGUAUUAUUUCUUUCGUAUUCAUGAAGAGAGUUAUUUCUUUCAAUACUCGUAAGGGUUGUUAUUCCAUUCUUUAUUAUUCUGUUGGAAUAACCUGUCUGUGCGGACUACACACGCCUGGUGAAUUCUUUUGUUAUUACAUUCUUUAUUAUUCUGUUGGAAUAACCUGUCUGUGCGGACUACGCACGCAUGGUGAAUUUUUUUUUAUUCUAUUCUUUAUUAUUCUGUUGGAAUAACCUGUCUACGCAGACUACCGCAUGCAUGGUGAAUGACCCUUCGUAUUCAUUCUUUAUUAAAUUAUGUAAAUGAUCUGUCUACGUAGAUUACCGCAUGACGGGUAAAAAUCCAUUUGCAGUUUCAUAUAUUCUAUUAUACUCAUAUGCGAUAUCAUUUCUUUUGUACUCGUCAUAUAAUAUCAUUUUCUUUGGAAUUUUUCUUUUACGAGUUACUAUUGACAGAUUACUAUUCACCUGAUUAUUAUUCACUCUAGUAUUAUUCACUCAGGUAUUCGGGGCACUUUUCGUGUCAGAGUAUUAUUCACGGGUUACUAUUCACCCGAUUACUAUUCACUCUAGUAUUAUUCACUCGGAUAUUUGGGACACUUUUCGUGUCGAGGUACUAUUCACGGAGUACUAUUCCUGAAGUACUAUUCAUGAAAUACUAUUCACCCAAAAAAUAUAUUUCUUUUCAGUCCAAAUUAUUUUUGGGUACAAUAUUAUUCUUGAAUUUUACUCCACAAAACAAUAUCAUGUUGACAAAUUGGACGUUAUUGAUUCUUGGAUAAAUUAAAUUAUAAAUCUUUAAAAUUUAUCCUUGAACUUUUUUUAUUGAAUUAUUAUGUCAUUGUCAUCAUCCUCAUGCUUAUAUUGUGAUGAAAGUCAUCUUUGGCUUACGUGCAUAGAUGGACUUGGUAUGAUUAUGACCAGGGAUUAUUCGGUAUAAUCAUGACCGUAAUGUGACGAAUGAUAUGGUGAAAGUCCUCAUUGGCCUGUAGUUCAUUGAUGGACAGUUGUUGGUAUGAUUAUGACCAGGGAUUAUUUGGUAUAAUCAUGAACAUUGAUGAUUACAUGAGUAUCAUUGGCCGAGAUGCAGGGAUGAUUCGAUUUUAUUUAUUAAGUUGAGUCUCAGCGAUAAAGUUGAUGAAAAACUUUUUAAAUCAUAGAAGAUAGUAGAUUUUAUGCUCUACUUGACUCUUCUAAUGGCUUGCUUAUUCCGCUGCAGUUGUUGAUCUAAAACUUGUUGUCUAUUAUAUUCUGUCAGUUGUUAUACUAUUGAAGGCUAAGGAUAAUUUAUUCUGCAUUAUCUUAGUCAUAAUAUUUCUUACUGGGCUAGUUGAGCUCACCCUUUCUUUCACUGUUCUCCUCAAGAAAUGAGAAUAUAGCUGGGACGAUUCGGGGAACGGAUUGACGGUCCAGAUGGUUGUUUUAGUUGUCCUCACUAUUCUGUGAAAUAAUAUGAUAAUAAUUGUAAUGAGGACUCCAUUGGGAGUGGAUAUUGUCUAGAAGGCAAUAUUCUUGUUUAAACUCUCAGUUAUGUUUUGUCGUAUAUUACCCGACAGUUGUAUAAUUAAGUUUGUAUUUGAUUUAUGUACCAUAUAGUUGGCGACUCAAGAUGGGUGAUGUAUACCUGUUUUUGGGGUGUCAAAGUUGGUAUCAAAGCUUAGGGAUAUGAUCUCUGGCUGAGAUAUGAGACAAGAACUAGGAGGGGAGAGACUGGGAAUUCCUUCGCUAGUAUAUAUGACCUACCUAAGUUUAUUUGGUAUUUAAUUGGUCGAUCAGAGUAUAGGAAUAAUAUGUGAUAUGUCAAUUAACCCUUGUUUUGUGACAGUGUUUGAAAAUAGCAUCUAAAAAUGUUGAGAUCAGCAAUGAAGCACAUGAGACCGUUGAGUCACCAACGAUUAAUACCUAGGAUAAUGUGCAACAGGAAGAUAAUAAUCCUCAGGUAAAUAACAACACCGAUUAGAUGAUGAACGAUGGGAUGUUCAGAGGCUUUAUGCAAUUCAUGCAACAUCAGACGAGAGAGACUCUUGUUCAAAAUGCAGGUGGAAACACUGUCAACUCUCGGAUGGUCACCGCUAAGCAGUUUAAGGAGUUGGGACCACCAGAGUUUUUGAGAGAGCCAGAACCACUUAAGGCGGAGACGUGGAUAAACAGAUCACCAAGAUAUUUGAUGUCUUGGAAUGCUCAGAGGAGCAAAAGGUUCCCUUUGCCACCUUCAUGUUGCGAGGAGAGGCAGAUUACUAGUGGGAAUCAGUAAAACGUACUCAGCCUGCCGCACUGAAGAUGUCUUGGGAGAUGUUCCAAGAACUGUUCAACAACAAGUACUUUCCUGAAAGUAUUCGUCAUGUGAAAGAGGUAGAGUUCAUCAAGCUUGAGUAAAACAAUAUGACCGUGGCGCAGUACGAAGCUAAGUUUGCCGAGUUAUCUCAGUUUGCGUCCCACUUGGUUGAUAAUGAAGAGAGAAUGACGCGGAUGUUUCUAAGAGGUUUGAAACCCGAGAUACGUCAAUAUCUAAUUUCUCACAAACUGUGUUUGUAUUCAGAUGUUAUGAAUAGGGCUCAAUUAUUGGAGUGUGAUAAUGAGUCAGCACAACCAAAAGGCAACGACCAACAACACGAUAAUAAUCAUACCGGUGGCAACGGCCAUCGGAACAAUGAUAACCAUCGUGGGGGAAAUUAUUAUGCCAAGAAUGGUAACCACUUCGGUGGUAAUCAUGGCCAAGUUAAUAGAAGCGGAAAUUUCAAGAAGAGAAGGUUCAAUAAUGAUGGAAAGACGUCAUCACCAGCACCCGUUGUUAAGGAAGGAGAACGACCGCCGGUCGUAUGUUACAAAUGCGGAGGGGAGGGACACAUAAGUCCAAACUAUUCACAGCCUUCCAAGGUAUGUUUUAGUUGUGGAAAAGAUGGUCACAUAGCUCGAUUUUUUUCUUGUAGCGAAAUCAAGUCCAGUUGGGACAGUGGCACCAAAGGCGGAUACGGACAAAACAAAGUCGGUGGUUUCAGGAAGAGCGGUUUUUAUGACUUCUCAAAAAGUGAGUAACCCGAACGAAGUUAACACGGGUUAGUUAAUUAUAAAUUCUUGCGAAGUCUAUACCUUAUUAGAUAUCGAUUCUACCCAUUCUUUUAUUUCUCUUGCUUGCGCUCAGCGUUUAAAUUUGACUCCAGAGAAAUUAGACUUUGACUUAUUGGUUGAAACUCUGUUAGGAGAAACCUUCGUUACACCCACUGUUUAUAAAUCUUGUUUUAUUCAAAUCGACACUUUCACGUUACCUGUCGAUCUUAUCUCUUUGAAAAUACUUGCCUUUGAUGUGAUUUUAGGAAUCGAUUGGUUAACUACUCAUCAUGCCAAAAUUGAUUAUUUUUGUAAGGUUGUUAGCUUUCAUAUUCCUAACCAACUUGUUAUGCGAAUUCAAGCAACCAAACCACUAAAGUCAAUCACUGUCAUAUCAAGCCAUAAGUAAAGAGCCCCGAGCCUUUCGUUGGUGACUUCCUUGUGUGGAAUGCAUCGAAGCCGAACUUUCUGUAGGGGACGUCGUGAAUAACAGUGGCAAGUUGAUAGGUAUCAAUGUGACGUGUUAUCCAAGUCUUGGGAUGAGAGUCACAGUUUUGAAUGAUAUUUCUAUUGUUAAUAAAUUUCCUAGCGUAUUCUUGAAGACUUCUUAGCCUACCCCUAGAGCGUGAAAUCGAAUUUUUUAUUGACCCCAAUACAAAACUCAUUUAUAAAACCCUCAAAUAUUUUCUUUACCCAAAACGAACGUAUAAUGUGCCAAUGACGUUGGCUCGAGCUGUUGAAGGUUACGACUAUACCAUUAAAUUCCAUCGUGGGAAAAGCGAACGUGGUAGCUGACACAUUAAGUAGAAGAUCGUAUGCGUUUACGAAGUGUGACGUUGUUAACACAAAAACCCAUUUCGUAUAACUUAUAAAUAAUGAAGAUGGAGUUAAUGACUCUAGAGACCCACGUGAAGAUAACGAAUAUACGAGUAAAAUCGACUUUAAUCGAUAAAGUUAAAGCCGCUCAAACUACACACUCGGAGCUAGUGAAUACGAAGAAGAAGGUUCAAGAAGGCGUUAUUCUAGAAGCAAGAGUCGAUGAAGAGAGAAAAUCUCAAUCCUCGAUUUAAUUGGGCCAUUUGAAAUCCUCGAUGGAGUAGGAACUGUGGCCUAUAGACUUGUUUUACCGCCAAGUAUGUCGCGUGUUCAUAACAUUUUUCAUGUAUCGAUGUUACGUAAAUAUGUGGACGACCCGAACCACAUUAUUAAAUUGGAACUAGACGAGAUAGCAGAAGAUUUAACAUAUGAGGAUAUACGUGUUAAAAUCUUGGAUAAGAAGGAUCGUAUUCGACACUCAAAUUUUAUACCUCAAGAGUUAGAAUCUGAAAUAAAGUCAAGGUAUCCUUAUCUCUUCGGCAUACCAGGUACGUACUUAAAUUUUGAGGGCGAAAUUUCAUAAGAAGGGAAGAUUGUGAGAUCCCAAAUUUUAUGAAUAAAGAUUUAAAUUUCUUGAAAUAUAUUUUUUGAAUAUUACGGUGUGGAUUUGAUAUAAUGUUAUAGUUGUGGGUAAUAUUUAUAAAUUUUGCAAAGUAAGCAAGUUGUUAUAUAAUAUUCGUUUGGUCGGGGAAUAUUCUUUUUGUCGGGGAAUAUCCGAACGACGACACGAUUAUUGGUGGACCCCACAACGGAAGUAUUGUCGUAGUAAGAUAAUGACAAAAUUAUCUUUUUAUAAAAAUAACGGCGAAAGUGUUACCGUUAAAACUGUUGAACUACUCGGUAGUAAAAGUAUAGUAAUACGCGAGGUUGUAUAGUAGCACACGGUAUUGAUUAUUGAUGCUUACGUAAGAAGUUACUCAGUUAUACUCAAUUAUUGCUACAGUAAUUGUUGCAUCAUAUCUCUCAUAUUAUUGAUUCAAUUAUUGUCACAGUAUCAUCUGCAUAAUAUGUUAUAUUAUUAAAUCAAUAAUUGAGAUGACAAAGUUAUUCAUAUUAUUAUUUGCAAUAUUGACAAUGUCUAGAAGUUCUAUCAAUGAGAGGUUAGAUAAUCUAAUUGUGCGCCAAUAGGGAGAAAUCCUUAUCGGAAAGCCCCCUCUUUCCUGGGAACGACCUGGUUGUUAAAUAUUAUGAGUUAUAAUACUACUGAUGAAUAAGUUUGUGUUGAUUAAAGAUGAAAUUAAUAGUUCCAUUGUGUUGAGAUUAUUAGUGUUAGUGGAAAUUGACAUUUAUUUUGAUAAUAAUUGAUGUCUGGAAGUUAUAUUGACCAAUCGGGUAAUUAACCGGAUAAAUGAGUAAUUAAUUGCUAUUAACUCACAUGCUUAUAACUAUGUGUUCACAUGUGUGUACUAUUGAUUCACAUAAUUUACUAUUAGGGGAGUUGCUACAAGAUUGAUAAUACUUGCAUGACUAAAUUAAAAAUGGAGGUAUAGAUGAAGGUACUAUACUAUAAUUAAUUUUUUCACAUGUUUAGAACUUUUAAGUCACAUGAUUUACUAUUGAUUCACAUGAUUUACUAUUAGGGGAGGUGGUGCAAGUUUGAUAAUACUUGCAAUUAAAAAUGAAGAAAAAGAGGAAGGUAUUAUACUGUAAUAUUUUGAGCCCCAAAACGUAUAAUUAUUGAAACUAUAUUUUUCUAUAAAUAGAAGCUCAUUCUUCUUUCAUUAUCACCAAUUCACUAAGCUAUAGAGCAAUUAUUAUAGGGAGAAAUUAUAGAGAGAAAGAAGAAGAUAAGUCUACUACUUCACUAUUCCAGUAUCCAGUUUCUUCUAAGGUAAUGGGUAUUAUUUCUUUCGUAUUCAUGAAGAGAGUUAUUUCUUUCAAUACUCGUAAGGGUUGUUAUUCCAUUCUUUAUUAUUCUGUUGGAAUAACCUGUCUGUGCGGACUACACACGCCUGGUGAAUUCUUUUGUUAUUAUAUUCUUUAUUAUUCUGUUGGAAUAACUUGUCUGUGCGGACUACGCACGCCUGAUGAAUUCUUCUAUUAUUCCAUUCUUUACUAUUCUGUUGGAAUAACCUGUCUACGCGGACUACCACAUGAUUGGUGAAUUCUUCUGUUAUUCCAUUCUUUAUUAUUCUGUUGGAAUAACCUGUCUACGCGGACUACCGCAUGCAUGGUGAAUGACCCUUCGUAUUCAUUCUUUAUUAAAUUAUAGAAAUGAUCUGUCUACGUAGAUUACCGCAUGGCGGGUGAAAAUCUAUUUGCAGUUUCGUAUAUUCUAUUAUACUCGUAUGAGAUAUCAUUUCUUUUGUAUUUGUCAUGGAAUAUCAUUUUUUUUGGUAUUUUUCUUUUACGAGUUACUAUUCACGGGUUAGUAUUCACCUGGUUACUAUUCACUGUAGUAUUGUUCACUCGGGUAUUCGGGACACUUUUUGUGUCGGAGUACUAUUCAUGGGUUAUACUAUUCACGGGUUACUAUUCACCCGAUUACUAUUCACUCUAGUAUUAUUCACUCGGGUAUUUGGGACACUUUUUGUGUCGGGGUAUUAUUCACAGGGUACUAUUCUCGAAGUACUAUUCACGGAGUACUAUUCACCAAAAAAAUAUAUUUCUUUUCGAUCCAAAUCAUUUUUGGGUACAAUAUUAUUCUUGAAUUUUACUCCACAAAAUAGUAUCAUGUUGACAAAUUGGACGUUAUUGAUUCCUAGAUAAAUUAAAUUAUAAAUCUUUAAAAUUUAUCCUUGACUUGGUAUGAUUAUGACCAGGAAUUAUUCGGUAUAAUCAUGACCGUAAUGUGACGAAUGAUGUGGUGAAAGUCCUCAUUGGCCUGUAGUUAAUUGAUGGACAGUUGUUGGUAUGAUUAUGACCAGGGAUUAUUCGGUAUAAUCAUGACCAUUGAUGAUUACAUGAGUAUCCUUGGCCGUGAUGCAGGGAUGAUUCGAUUUUAUUUAUUAAGUUGAGUCUCAGCGAUAAAGUUGAUGAAAAACUUUUUAAAUCAUAGAAGAUAGUAGAUUUUAUGCUCUACUUGACUCUUCUAAUGGAUUGCUUAUUCCGCUGCAGUUGUUGAUCUAAAACUGUUGUCUAUUAUAUUCUAUCAGUUGUUAUACUGUUGAAGGCUAAGGAUAAUUUAUUCUGUAUUAUCUUAUUCAUAAUAUUUUUUGCUGGGCUAGUUGAGCUCACCCUUUCUUUCACUGUUCUCUUCAGGAAAUGAGAAUAUAGCUGGGACGAGUCGGGGAACGGAUUGACGGUCCAAAUGGUUGUUUUUGUAGUCCUCACUAUUCUGUGAAAUAAUGUGAUAAUAAUUGUAAUGAGGACUCCAUUGGGAGUGGAUAUUGUCUAGAAAGCAAUAUUCUUGUUUAAACUCUCAAUUAUGUUUUGUCGUAUAUUACCCGACAGUUGUAUAAUUAAGUUUGUAUUUGAUUUAUGUACCAUAUAUUUGGCGACUCAAGAUGGGUGAUGUAUACCUAUUUUGGGGCCGUCACAAAGCCCAUACACUCCCAUUUUAGAUCAUAGCUCCUAUGCCCAGACCCAUUAAGAGCAUACCCAGCCCCUACUAAUAUGCACAAUCUAAGCUCCCAUGAUCUAAAGCCCCUGACUUUGCAAAUAUAGAUCGAUAGAUAGAUUUUCGGGAAGGAUCACAUUUUGGUAGAUAGAUGGUUUAAUUUGUUUAACUAUUUAUUAUAAAAUUGAGUAUAAUUUAAUAUAAUUAAUUAUUUAGCUUACCUUCUCUCUCCUUGUCUGCAUUGACACAUAGAUUUAUUGAUUGCCACGUCCUUCUUCUGUUAAAUGGUUAACAGACAUAGACGACAAAAUUAAUUUUUGUAAAUAAAGUAUAGUUCAAUGAGUUGACCGUAAAAAAAUUUAGUUUAGUGAUGCAUUUGUAAACCGAUGUUGAGUAGAGUGGAGAAAAGUGUAUUUAAUCCGCUCCAAAAGUCACCACUUUACAAGUCUCGUCAACAAUCAGCACCAUGUAAACACUCACCCUCUUUGGUGAACUUGAAGAGUUUGAAAAUCAACUUAGGAGGUAUGAUGAUGAAAAUGAGGCACCAAUAAAGAAGACAUUGACACUUCAAGCUGAGAGUAACAAUGAAUGUGAUAACGAAGAUUUUGAUAAAGAAAUUGAAAUGCUCUCAAGAAACUUGAGAGACUAUUUCAAAAGAAAAUAAAAAAGGUAGCUCAACUCCAGUGGGUAAGUUCAAAACAGAACAAGAAGAAGAAAUUGUCCAACUCUAUUUCAUAGGACUAGAAGAUGAUGAUCAACUUGAGGUAACAAAUUUUCAUGAAGCUUUUGAAAUAUCUAUGCCUGAUUAUAUUGCUUUACAAAAUGAAAAUCAACAACUCAAAAAAAAAACUGUUUAUUUUAAGAAUUGCGUAAAUGCUAAUGAAUGAAGUUAAGUCAUUUAUUAAAGAGAGAAAAGAAAAUGAAUAUCUUAAAAAUGAAAAUGAAGUUUUAAAAGAAAAUUUAAAAAUGAGAGAUGAAUGCAUAAAUGCUUUUAAUGAUGGAAAAAUGAUGAAUGUGCAACAUGAUGAUAAUGUCACAAAUGCAAAAAUAACAUCUUUAAAAAAUGAUCUUGCUAAAUUUGUGCAAUGAGAAGAGAACCUAAAUGUUAUGUUAGGGGCACAAAGGUCUAGUCUUGAUAAAUAAGAAAUUGGGUAUAAUCCUAUUAAAAUGUGAAAAAUAGAACUAAUAAUAAUAUUAUAAUGAUUAAUAGAAAACCAAUGCAUAAACCACUUUAUUGUUCACCGUUUGUUACUUGUAAAAAAUAUGGUUUUAAAGGUCAUUUUAAAAUGUGGCUUUAUUAGAAUAAAGCAAAUUUGGGUAAAGAAAUGUGAUUUAUAUGCUACUAACCUAAUAGGACCCAAGAAGAUUUGGGUACCAAAAUGGUAGAGACUAUUUGUUCAUUUUGUAGAUGUCUCAAGGUCAAAAAGGAGACAGAUAAUACUUAUAAAUUAUUUGGCAAAAUUCGCAAGUACCUUAUUUUUUUAAAUAGAUUUUUAAUUAGAUAUAUUAUGAAAACUCUAUGGAUUUCGUAUCAUAUGGCUUCAUAACAUCAUUUAUUAUAAAGUUUUUAUUGUGCUAAAUGCUCCAUAUUUAAUACAAACGACAAUCUUGAUGAGGAAUAAGUGAAUAUUAUUUUUGAUGAACUUAACCAUGAUCUGUUAAAGGAAGAGAAUGAGGUUUCUGCUGGAAAUGACUAUCUGAAUUGUGGAACCCAAACAGUUCAAUCCGGAUAGUCUAAGCCGUCUCUAUCAGAAGGAAAGAUAGAUGAAAUCAGACAAUUUGACCCGUCUGUUUUAGAAGAAAACUCAAAUUUACAAACACCUAAAUCCAAACAGAUCGAGUCGUCUACUUUAGAAGACAAAACAUAUGAAUAUUCGGAUGCAGUAACUUAUAUUCCAGAGGAUGAAUCUCAAAAGCAAAUGACUACUGCCAGGCUUCCUAAAUCUUCUAGAACUAUGGGAAAUCAUCAUCCAAGUCUGAUCAUCAGAAAUUUCAACAUUAGGAUGUCCACAAGAAGAGGUUUUGAAGAAAUUUGUUUGCUACACUAAGGAGCUUAUCUAUUAAGCUUAUUGUUGGUAACAAAAUUGUGGAUAUAUAGGUAACAAAUCACAAAGGUAUGGUCAUUUUAUUUAAUUGCUAUAUGUGAUAUUGUUAUAAGCUUGCUCCCGUGUCUUUAUUUUAUGAAUUAUUUUUUGUUUGUCACAAAUGGGAUAGAGAUAUAACUAAAUUGAUGAUUUUUUUUUUUUUGAUAAUAACAAAGGGGAGAAAUGUUUAGAAAAAUUGAUGAUUAUGAUAUCUGAUGGUUAUAUUGAUUAUAAUAUGUUUAGAUUUUUUUGAUAUCAUAUUGAUGAUAAUGGUUGGAUAUUUUGAUUCAUUAUCUGUUAUAGCUUAUCAUUAUGCAUUAUUUAUCAUAACAGUUAUGUGAUCUUUAUAUCUCCUAUAGGCAUAAAUUUAUGGGGAGCAUGAUUGCAAGGAAUAAUAUAUUGUCAUCAUCAAAAAAGAGGGAAAUUGUUAGUUUUAUUAUUUGUGAUUUUAAUAAUGACAAUAUAUUUGUAAAUAUAAUUUAUUUAAUGUAUUGAAUUAAUUUUGUAAUGGUUUGUUGAAUAUGAUAUAUAGUAAGUUUGGUUCAUGAUAAUUUAAUUUGGUUAUAAUUCAAAUUGUUAUUACGUGCAGGAUUGAAUUGAAAUAUUUUCUUCCAGGUUGUUAUUUUGUUAAAACAGGUUGUUUCAAUUUUGAAUUGGAAUAUGUUAAGGAGUUUGUUUAGCAGUGUAAUCUAUCUAUUAAAUAUAUUAAAAUGCAGUACAUGAUAUCAUAGCUUGACAUAUGUCAUUCUCACAAUUCAACACGUGUCCUGUCUAAUUAAUAUUCCUUAAGACCCUUAACAAAAGUGCCCAGCUAACAUAACAAAUGAGGAUGAAAACAAACUUUAAUUCAUUCCCCUAAAUUUUAGAUUUAUAAUCCCCUAAAUCAUGCUACAAAUCUAAACUAUUUUGAUAAUAUCAACUGUUUUGAUAUUAUCCUUUGUAAUUUAAUUAUUAUUUAAUAAAAUUACUUUUUUAUGCUAUUAAUUAAUUUUUUAGAUUUAUAAUCUUCUAAAUAACUACAAAUCUAAACAGUUAAUAACAUAAUGUCAUUCUCUUAAUUUUUUAAAUUUACAAUCCUCUAAAUCACUACAAAUCUAAACUGUUUUGAUAAUAUCAACUGUUUUGAUAUUAUCCUUUGUAAUUUAAUUAUUAUUUAAUAAAAUCAUUACUUUAUCUCAACACCACCCCCUACAAUGUAUAUUCAUUUGUUUUUCUGUGUAAAAUUUGAUCAUCGCACAACAAUCUACCAUCUUCUUAUUAUAUUUUAAUUUAUUAAUUAUACAUACAUAUUUAUUGAAUAAUUCCGCCCGCAACGCACGAGUUUGUAUCUAGUGUGGUCUAAUUUGGAGUCUUUAAAUUAACUGGUUUAGAUAUUUGUGUAGAGUAUGGGCUCUAUCUACUCGUUAAUUUUAGCCUAUGUUGAUUACGUAUCUUUGAUUUUCUAAUUUUGAGAAUAUUUUAAGCUGUUAGCUAUAUCUAUAGUUCUGAAAUAUCAAAUUCUCGAAAUGAAAGACCAAGUCAUGCUAACCAUUUCAUAUAGUCGUUGGACUGAGUUCUAUAUAUUUUCUUCAUGUUUGUCUAUAGUGAGCAGGACUCUUGAAGCUUAUAGCAGCCAUAUUACACAGAUUAAUCAAGAGCUUUUCAAAGUUAUUUUCAGCUACUCAUUAUAUUGUUAAUUUAUUUCAGUUAAAAAUUAAGAGUCUAUUAUAAUCUAUAUUUAUUGUAUUAAAUUUUAGUUCAAGUCUUGUUUGGCUUGAUCGAUCCAAUAGUGGAUAGGUUUGUUCGAAGAAAACUUUUAAGGUUGCAGAGGUGCAAAUGUCUCAGUGGUGAGAAAGGUUGCAAUGAUGCAAAGGGGCAGAGGUGUUCAUCGCAGUGGAAAAUUUUAUUUGAACAGGGAGUUCUUUUUAUUAUACUUAAUGGAGUCUUAAAAGUUUAAUAAAAAGAGUCCAAUACCGGUUGGUUUUGAACGUGGAUUAAGCCGUUAGAGUUUAAGGGCAGAACCACGUAAAAAUUCUUGUCUGUGGUUUGUUAAUUCUUCUGGGUUGAUAAUUUAUUUCUCACGUUGCAUCUAAUCUCAUUCAUAUUACAUUUUAUUGUUGGUAGGAAAAGUAUACUAAUCUAGACACUAUCUUCUGUCUUUAUAACAAAAGUAAAAUUGACUCUAAAGCAGACACUUUUAUUUGUCUGUUUUAAGUUUAGCAGCAAGUUCAGCAGCAGGAAAAUAAAAUUAGUCAUUGUUAGUGUGCUUAUUUAUAGAAUUACAUCCACAUCUGUAAUUCUACUGAGAUUUAAUGAAUGUUUAUUUUGCCGAUUAAAAAACAAAGGAAAAAGAAUAAAAGUAAUAAGAUGUUCGAAACAUUUGAUUGUAUUAUUAUAUUUUUGUGAGCCAAGGUGAAAGCAAAGCCACCUAGUGGUAGUUGUUUUAUUUAUAAUAUGGUAAUAACAACCAUGAACUGAUAGUUGAUUUAUUUAUUAUAUGCUAAUAACAGCUAUCAGCUAGUGGUUGAUUUAUUUAUUAUAUUCUAAUAAACAGCCAUCAACUAGUAUAUAGUUUCUUGAUCAACUGUUCAUAGGAAGAUUACUGAUCGUUCAUUUAGGCGUUGGGGGGACUAAUUUGAACACCAUAGAUAACUAAACCCGUCUCCAUAGUCGUGUUUUCACUCCCGUCGAGAGCAAAUUUGAAAUCUCCAGAGUCAAAGCUAUUCAAGAAUUCCCCAGCUUUGAGUGAAAUCGGUGUGUUCCUCGGACAAUCCAUCAACCUAUAUCCAUUCACUUGCGUGGACCCAUCCGGAGGAGUAAGUGUAAGACUCACCGGACUUUCUAUGUUAAGGUUGUCUUUCAGCAGCACCACAAAAGACACCUCAUAAGUUCAUUUUUCAAGAGUUUCUGUCGGAUAUUUUCCAUCAACAUGUAGGACUAAGCUACCAAUUAAUUCAGCACUGGCAUCACUGAAAAAAAAUGAUAGUAGAAUUAAAGUCAGAAACUUUUGAUAUAAGGAGCUUAAAUUCAUUAAG
rnacentral:lncRNA from 1 species